UAUAUAUAUUAUAUAUUGUAUAUGCUGUUAAUGAGUUAAUAUGGUGCUUGCUCCUAGUUGGAAAUUUAUGUAGUCAUCUACCUAUGAUCAAAUAAAGAUGAAAAAUAAAAUAAAAUUGAGAGCAUCUUCCUCUCCCCUGCUUUGCUCAUCCCUUGUUCUUCCACUUCAGCCCCACUAUUACACCAUUUUUUCAGCCACAAUUAUAAUAGCUCCAUGAGCAUAUUAACAUCAGUGGCCACAGUUCCAUGAUUUGAGUGCACAGAAAGGUUUCAAAAAUUGUCCCAAAAGUACAGUCGUUCAAAGUGAAAGAGAGUUUUCAAAGCUUAAUUACAAGUUCAUGUUAUUUACAAUAGCAAAAAGCUUUCAUUCUUGCUUACAAACUUGUAUUUCCAAGUUCUGUAAACCUUGGAAUUUCACUUCAUCCAAAUCCCCUUCCAAAGCAGGAAAAAAUGGCAGCAGCUUUGAUUGGAGAGGCUCUCAUCUCUGCUUCUAUCGAGGUGUUGUGUGACAGAGUUACUUCAGCCGAGUUCAUAGACUUAUUUCAGCAGAAGAACUUGAUGAAACACUCCUCAUGAACCUGAAGACAACACUGUUGAUUUUGUUUGCGGUGCUCAAUGAUGCAGAGGAGAAGCAAAUUGUGAACCCUGCUGUGAGAGAGUGGCUUAACAGCUCAAGCAUGCUGUCUUUGAUGCAGAGGACUUAUUUGAUGAGAUUGACACUGAAGCUUUGCGAUGCAAGCUGGAAGGUGAGGAUCAAACCCACAAUAGUUAACCAACAAGGAUCUUUUUGAUUGUUUGAAAGAAGAGUCUUUGAUGAUUUGAAAGGAGAGGGUUGCUUUAUUUCUGUUGGAUGCGUAAUUAAAUCUUAUUUGGAGUUGAACAAGGAUUAGAUUAGCUGUAUAAUUAGUGGUAAACGCCUUUUUCUAAGGGUCAUUUAGACUCCUAUUACGAUUAAUUUGUUGUUUCUAAUUUGGACUUAUAGGAACAGACCAAAUAUGUUCACACGUGGCAUCGCUCAAGUCAUCAUCAUUUCAGACUGAAAAUCAGCCUUCAAGUGUCUGUUGAGCCAAUAAACCUUUCUAGAUAUAUCAAGUGCAAUGGAAAUUCAUGAGUUACAUAGAGAUUUGUAAACAUUUUGAAGAUUGCAACACCUGCAAGUGAGAUAGGCGGUGACGAAAUCAGAGCUGAUUUUGAAGCCUCUGAUGCCCCUGUUGUUGCAAGUUGCACCUGAGAACAUGUUUUUUUUUUCUUUGGGGUAAAAAAACUGGCAACAUGUUCGGAGCUGACAAUUCAAUCCCUGAUGAACUAGAGAAGCGAAGCUCCGGUAAGGAAUUGGUCAAGGUUGUGACAGGGAUGAUUGAUGGUGAAAUGGAUGCUAUUUCUUAUUGCAGCCUGUUCUCAAAGUUCUUGUUGGCAAAUGCAAGAGAUGGAGUAUUUUGAUUGGGAGGAGAUAUAAUGACAUGGCUUGACAAUUCUAGAACAGCCCAUCAUUAAUCCCAGAAAAAAUCCAGUUUCUGCUAAACAAUCACUUAUGGCAAGGCCAACUCUGUAAAUGGAAUUUGUGAUCCCUUGAAAUUGUACACAUUUUUUCUUUUUGAGGAAUUUAAUCAAACAGUAUUCUAAUGUAUUAUGAUAGCACUACACGCUUUUGUUGUAACAAAUUACAAGGAGGAAUUUGGAUUGAGUUUCUUGUAUAAGCACACCUUACACAAAUUUGGUAUAUUUUCUUCCAGCAAGUCUGUUUAUUAACCCCCUUAUCUGAAAUUAAUUGUUAAAAGUUUUGAUUCAUCUUUAAUCAGUGUCUAACCCUUGUUGAAUAACACUCCUCUUUCUAAUUUAUAUUUGAAGUUUGAGGUUUCAAUUUCAAUUGUGGGCUUUGAUUUUACAGAUUUUGUUUGUCAAUUUCAGUUUGGACAAAGCAUAUGCAAACAAAAUAAGCAUUUUAUGUUAUACUUUUGAAAUAGGUGUUGAUUUGAUUUAAUCAUAAGUUUUGCUGGUGCAUUUACUAGGCUAUCAUUCAAUACUUUUGAUCAUAGAACUUCUUUGGUCGAUAUUAUCUUUGUUAAGUUUAACCAUAAAUUUAGAGAGGGGACUUCAACAGAUUUAUAAUCUCAUCAUUAUAGUAUUAAAAAUUAGAGAUUAAGGCAUUGUCUAUUAUCUGAAUUCUGCUUACUUUUAGUUCAUAUGUUUACAUCUUAGCAUAUUCAUGCGAUUAGUGCGGCUCAUACCACAAAGGCAACUUUAGGCUCAUCAAGUGCUAAGCAAUGUCAAGCUUCCAAGUGACAAGUUCUCUACAUAGUUUGAGACCUACACUUACUAGAUAUUAGAUCAUUUCGAUCAUUUCCAUAUGUUUAUAUGUAAUUGACAUGUUAUAACAAUUUUUGUAGCGUUAUAUAAUUAUUUAGCAAUUUAAUUAUUUCUUUGCAUCAAGAAAUAGUUCUUAAGUUAUUAAAAAAAAAAAAAAAGAUUUAAAAAAAAAGAUUUGUUGAUGCUUAAAAAGCAUCAAGAACAGGUAGUUUCUUGACGGUUUAGUGACGUUUCAUAACUGUAGGAGGCUUUUUCUUCCGACAGCUGUAAAUGGGCUGGGUUGCCGUAAAGGGCAGACUGAUGAAAUUGUCCCCUUUUGUCUGAGCUAGAAAAUUAAGCCCCAAAAUACUUCGAAAGGGCAGCAGAGCCUUAGGAAGUAUUUUGGUUACCCUCACCAACUAAAACAACAACAACUUACAGGUAAUUUCUUAAUGCUUACAGAUGAACUCUUGAGCUUGGCAUGAGAGACAUGUGGCAUGGAAGCAAAAUCAACAUGAGUUUAGCACUGAGGGGAAAUUUAGGCUCUCUUGGGGGAAAAAGGGAAGUGUUAAGGUGAGAGAGGAGAAGUUUGUAGGAGAUUUAGCUAAGAAAGGAGAAAUAUAGAACAAUGCUCUUCUGGCAGCUUGACAGAUGCUCUGUCUGCCAGAAAAGGAAGAUGGAGAAGAAAUGUGAAUAGUGCACGAGUUUGCUAGAUUUUUGCAGGUAAGAGAGGAAGCUUGCUCUCUGGGUCUGAGUUGAGUUUUGUUAGGUGGAAGAGACCUCAUUUUAUAGCUCCUGGAAACCAUCACUUCCCAAGAAACCCUAAUGGCUUCUACCCAUUUUGGCCAAGCUUUUCCAUUCCUUUCUCAUUUCCUUCCUUGACUUUACCCCUCUUGAUGAAAUCCUCUCUACCUAUUUGCACCAGAUCAGAGUUUUUUGAAGCUUAAGGCCCCCUUUUCCCGCAGUUGUCUCAAUGGGAGACUUUCAUUCCUAGUCAUUUCCUUUAUUGCUUUCCUUUCUUUUUUUCAUGGCCAAGUCUGGUGGGGAAAGGAGUUGGGAUAAAUAUGCUAGUUUGAAGGGUGCUUCUCUUCUUGGCAUCUUACACACUAAUACCCCUUGGUUCCUUGAAUGUUUUGGCUUUGAAACUUGCUCCCCUCCAUGUAUUGGAACCUCCCAGCAGCCCUGGUCAAUGAAUCUUCAGACCUUCUCUUCGUGGCUUUUAUUUUUUUAUCAACUGGCUAGGGCUUUUGUGGCUCAUUGGGGCAAUUGUAUGGGCUAAGGUGGUUCAUUAAGUAAGUGGGCUAUUUUUAUUAAACAUUGAGCUUUUUGGUUGAGUCACUAGGCUAUUUUGAUUGGGCUAUUGGGCUAUUGUUUCCUCUCUUGUGCUCACCCACAUGUUUGGACCAAAGAAAUGAGCUUGAGUCCUGAGGCUCCCAAGCGACCCGAGACUUUCCAUUUAUCGGUCCAUCAAUGGGCCUCAUGUUGAUUUAUUACCAUCCAUACCACACCCCACUCAAGCAAGCCCCGGGCAUUUGAGUGGCUUGGGCCCACUUAGGCUUGUAGUGUGGUUGGGUGCAAAAUAACGAUUUCGUGCUUGGCAUGUUUUAAUUUUAUCAUCCAUGGGAAAGGCUGCGAUGUUUGAUUUCGGCAUGGGCUUGUAGAGCUGGUAUGCUUUAUUUCAACUCCUAGCAUGACGAAUUAUUUAUUUAGCAUGGCACGUGAAUUACAACUCGCAUGUGGUGGGUUUUUGUGUACUACACCUUACGCCUCUUCUUAAUAGAACAUCGUUUCUGAUAAUUUAUUUGGGCCCAACCGUGAAUUUUUUGGAUCUCAAUAAUAACCAUCAUGAAACAUUACAUUUUGACUGACAUCAAGAAAUGGGGUAUCCCUUUCUUGAUAGUGGCAUCCAUGAUGCCUUCCAAGCCGUCAAUUAAGGGCUAUCGCGAUGCAUUUUAGUUGUCAGCAAAAGGUGUUUUUCUUGUACUAUAUUCACUCAAAAUCGUGUUUCAUUUAAGAUUAGUAGUAUGGUUGAAUACCAUUUGUUUUGUUAAAGAAUAUUAUACAUUAGGGAUUUUUGUAGAAAUGUCAUUUGAACUUAUACCUUAGUUUCAAUUUGUCACCUUGAAGAAAAAUUUAAGAGAAAUAUCACCUUAAUUUUUUAAAAUCCAUGAUUUGUCAUAUGACUUUAAGAUCAUCCAAUUUUCCAUCCAUUUUAAGGGUAUUUUAGACUUUUCAUUUUCAAGGAAAAAAAAGAGAUGAAAAAAGAGACCUCUCUCUUACUUUGUCCCCCAACCCAACCCCACCCGCCCCCAAAAACACAUCACAUAGGAUUGCCUCCCCCUUCCCCACUUUUCUUUUUUCUUUUUGUCAUACUUUUCCACUGUGUUUAUGUUGAAGGAUCUAAAGUUUGCUUGGUCACCAUCUUUUACGUAGGCUUCCUAAUUGUUGGUUUGGGUGGGUUGUGGGAAUUUGUGUGUGGAGGGCAAGGCUCUAUCUGACAGGACCCACCUCGAAUUCCUCGAAACCCGAGACGAAUCUUGUAGAAUUUCCGACAUCACACCGAUGCCGGGUCCACUUCUGAACUAAAUCCUCUUUUCCAAAAUUAAGGAAAAAUAGUACGAGGCUUUCUGCCAAAAUUUCGGCAGUCUUCCCUAUAAAUUUAACGUUUCAGCUUUGGAGGCCGUUCUUUCAUUUCUGCUUUGGUGGCCGGAUGAGAGAACGGCCGGCUAAAACGUGGCCAGCUGGCACUGCCGUCACGAGAGAGAGAGAGAGAGAGAGAGAGAGAGAGAGAGAGAGAGAGAGAGAGAGAGAGAGAGAGAGAGAGAGAGAGAUGUUUAUCAAACCAUUUUUGCCAAAAUUACGAUUAUGCAACUGAGGGUAUUUUGAUCGUAUCUUUUUCGUUAUAACUCCGAUUCAAGCCCACUACAUAUCUACGGACUCAUCUCGCCGUGCUCUAUGCAAUUGUAUAGUUGAAAUUCCCAAAUUCCAUCCCAGUCAAAAAGUCAACUUUAAACCUUAUAAAAUAUUCUAAGGGCAAAAUGGUCUUUUAUCUAAUUAAAUUAAUAAUUGAAAAUUUAUUUAGGACCGGGUCGUUACACUGUCGUUGAUGGACUGUGCGAUGGCACUCACACAAAGUCCUUAAGAAUAAAACACACACACACCAUGAAGAGAGUAAAACAAAUGCACAAAGAUUUAUAAAGGUUUGGCCUCCUGCCUACAUCCUCUUGGUGAUCCACCCGAGAAAUUCACUUGUACGUAAGAACAACUUUGGUUACAACUAAACCCCCUUAGCUUUCAUAAGAACCCUAGAUCUCUUUUCUCCCACCCUUGCUCCAACCCUUUGAUGCCCUUGUAAACACUCAAGAAUUCAUCCUUGAAUUCUAUCAUGUGUUACAUCUUCUCUUCUCCCCUUUGCCAACCUAACCCUACAAGUUAUAUUUAAAAUUCAUUGGACUUUAAGUACAAGUUAACUAGGAAUAGGAAACAUAAAAGACCCCAAAAAUUGGAGAAAAUAUGUCUAGAUCUCAUUAGGAAAUUGCACAACACGUGCGAUCCUCUCGAGCGCCUGCAAAAUCAUCCCUUUGCCGCUCGAGCUGCCGAUAGCUCAUGGGAUGGGGGAAUUAGAAAUUUUUUUUUUUCAAUUUUAAUUGUUUAAAAGAUAUACAAUUUAUUAAUAAUAAUUUUUCCAUUUUUAAAAUACCCUUGAAAAUAGAAAGAUUAAAAUGCCCUUAAAAAUGGAUGGAAAAUUGGAUGGUGUUAAGGUCAGAUGACAAAUCAUGGAUUUUGAAAAAUUAAGGUAACGUUUCUCUUAAAUUUUUCUUUACAGUGACAAAUUGAAAUUGAGGUAUAAGUUCAAGUUACAUUUCUGCAAAAAUUCUUAUACAUUAUGAUAUUCUAACAAUAAUUGGCUAAAAUUGAUAUGUUCCCUCUUUUAUUUUCUUUUUCUCUUUUCCUUUUCAUUUUAUGAUCCAAUCCUUUUCAUAUAUUUUUGUUCAAGACUUUGUUUUAUAAUGCUCUAUUACUAAUUUGGUACAGGUCCCUAAAAUCUCGGAGCCGCCUUAGUACAUUCAUAACGUACAUGUUCAGAGUUCAAGAAUAAUGUAUAGAAUGUGAAAUUGACGAUGCCGGCCUUUAUGAGGCAACAUCUUUAUUUCUUUGGUUAUUCCAGUUUAGAAUAUUUGCACAAAUGAGAUGACUCCAAGCAUAAAGUCACAUUCGACCAAAAAGCAUAAAGUCACACACAAAAAGAACACGGACAAUUGCUAAGUUUAUCCUUGUACCCUUAUUUUAUUGAUCCGACCCAAUUGAAAAAUAAAAAAAGAUGAUAAAAAAUAUUGUUCACUGCUUUAAAAUCUAUGAGUAGAGUCCUCCAUUUGAAAUUUGGUCAUUAUACAAAAUUGGAAUGAAAAAAGAAAAUCCUAAAGCUAUAUUUGAUAUAUUUCAUUUUCAUUUUUUGCUGGGUGUUAGGGCUCGUCAAUGGGCCGGGCCUGGCUAGCCCGGCCCGAAUUUAAUGGGCUUGGGCCAGGCCGGCCCAGGCUUUAAAGAGGAGAGAGAAAAUAUCAGGUCGAGUUUUUUAAGAAAAUUCAAAGCCCAAGCCUGACCCAUGAGCCGGGCUUGAGAAAGCCCAUCGGGCCGGGCCGGGCCUAAACGGGCCCUACUUCAUUCAAAAAAAAUCAUUAACUUAAUCAUAAGGUCAUUUUAGUCCAAAUUUGAGAUUAAACUCACUUAAUUCUAAUAUUUUUACUUCAAACCAAAUUCAUAAAACACCCAAUAAAGUCACACAACUUGUAAGAUUUUCCACAAAAAUAAUAAAACCAAGUAUUAUUUUUGAGGUUAUUACAUAAUUAGAUCGUAAUACGUUUUAAAAAAUAAUUUUUAAAAAUAAUAUUAAUAAGUAUCAAAAAAAUAUUUUUUUAAAGGAUGGUAUGAAUAAAUAUGCAAAUAUUUGGUGAUGUGUUCAAGAAAAGGAUGAUUAUAUUUGGUGGUACGAUUAUGUUUCGUGAUACGAUUAUAUUUAGUGAUGUGAUAUGUUGUUCAUCUUAUAUAUAUAUAUAUAUAUAAUUGUUGAACUAAUAAUUGACACAAAUUAAUGUGUUAAUCAUCCAAUUAUAAACUAGGAGUGAAUAAAGAAAAGUAAAUGAAAUGAAACAAAUUAUAUGUGUGAUUUAAGUGAUAUAAUCCUAAACCUAAACUCUUAUUUAUACAUAAUUAUAUAUGUAUGCGGGCCUAACGGGCCGGACUUUUGUGGGCGUGUCGGGCCGGGCUUUCUUGGGCUUAAUCAGGCUGGACCUAUGGGUCAGGCCGGGCUUCAAACACCCCAACACGAGCCUAGCCUAGCCCGCCUUGGGCCGGGCCAUCUCAAAGCCCAUAACGAGCCGGAUCGGGCUUUUUUCGAUUGGCCGGGCGGGCCCCCUCGACCCAUGAGCCCGCGGGCCAAAUGAUGAGGCCUACUGGGUGUUCAAUUUUUCUUGUUUCUUGUUGAAAAGAAAAAUGAUAAUUAAUAAAAUCUGAUUUGGUGGUUGUGCUCGUCACAAAUCAAUGAAAUGACAGCAGUGAUUUUGCAAGACAGCAUACCUUCUCUUGGGGUGCUUUUCAUUUUGCAACAUUUCUUUACGUGUAAUUUCCAGAGGAGGGUUUAUCAUUGUAUAUAGCUCUUCGGGUGGUUUUUUCUGCAAAACAAAUGUCACAAGGAAGGAGGAGAAACGGAAAAGAUUUACUUGGAAUGUCUCAAGUCUCCUUUGAGAUAAAGGCAUCGAAUGCACAACAUUGUUUUUGUGCUAUUUCAUAAUUAAAGUGUGCUUCCCAAGUCUCCUUUGCGUUUUGUAACUUGUAAUGUUUGUUUUUUUGUUUCCCCUGUUUUGUCUUUUAUAAAAGAAAGAGGAAUGCUAGCAACCUUCUCUCUAAUCUUCUCUUUUGGACCUUCUCCCUUUUCUUUUUGACAAGUGUCAUUUUCCAUACACUUAAAACAAUGACAUUAAUGCAUCACACAAUUUAGUUUUUGUUUUCCAAGUUUACCAUUUUAAAAUGUAUUGGCUUUUAUAUUUCCUUCAAUUAUUCACAUUUUGUUAUAACUUGUUUAGCACAUUAUUUUUUUUAAUUUAAAAAAAGUCAUAUUUUUUAAAAAUAAAAAUAAAGUUUGUUUCAUGACAUUGUUAUCAUUUUUAUUUUGUUUUUAACAAAACACGCAUUCUCUUUGGAAAAAUUAAAAAUUAAAAAACAAUUCAGUUUUUAUUUUCUUAUUUAAUUUUUAACAAGCUAGUAAGAAAGUUAUAAAAAAAAAUUAGCUUGUUAUUAAAAAAAAAUUAAUACAUUUAAUAAGGGUAAAUUUGGAAAACAAAAACUAGUUUGUGUGAUGCAUUAAUGACAUUGUUUUUAGUUUAAGGAAAGUGACACUUGUCAUGAGAAGAAGGGAGAAGGUCCAAAAGAGAAGGUUAGAGAGAAGGUUGUUAGCACUCCCCAUAAAAGAAAUACAGGUCUGAACCACACGGAUCUACUUGCAUAAUAAUGGACCAAAUUUAUGAUUUUUAGAAAGAACCUUCUACUGGUGGAAUCUUGGGCUACUGUUGUGGCUCUCCUCUGUGUGCCUCCUUUUUAGAAUGGUAAAAUAUUCAAAAUACCAGAAAAUGUUCAUGAUUAAUGCAAAUAUUAAGAAUUGAAAUUAUUAAUUAAAUGAAGAUAAUAUGGUAAAUUCACACUUUUUCAUAUUAAAAAAAUUAAAAUUAAAAGAAAUAUCAGAUAAUUACUCUUAUUUUUAUGGAACACAGCUACCCAUUAUCUUUUUUAAUUAUAAAAUAAAUUUAAAUUAUAAAAAAAAAAUCCUCUCACAUGCACGGAAGCGCGUGCUCAGAGGCUAGUUAAAAAUAAUGAACUUUGCUUCUGAUGUCUAUACCAGACCCACUCAACCUGCUUUAUGAUUAUACAAAGAACAAACUCGUCCUUAGACUCAUUUGGUUAAACUUAGAAAAUAAUGAAACAAAAAUAUACACACCCACAAGUAACACAGCCAGGAUUGAAAACAACUGGACAAAGAAAGGCAUGUUAAAACAGAAUUUUCAACAACUCAUCACCAUUAGACAAGAAAAAGAAAAAUCAAUACAGAAACAGAAAGAACAGAGAAUAAAUGUGGUGGAAGAAAAACGUUGAAGCCAUUUGUGAAUCCAACAACACUACCACUCUGUUUCUCUCCUUUUGUUCAGGCGGAUCUGCAUAUAUCCUAAGGCGUAUUACGGAAACAACUUCUUGCCGUUAUACUUGAAUGUUGUGGAUGCUUCAACGUUGCCAUCUGGGUGGAGUGGAUUUGUCCAAUUCACCUUCACUAUGGUUAAUCAACUAGACAGACAUAAGUCAGAAACAAUAGGUAUAUAGGUCCAAAUUGUUGUUAUUUGAAAGGCUUCUAAAUUUUAACAUUUUGAUUUCUAAAUUUUGUUUUAAUAUUUCGGCCCACUUAGUUCUUCUCAAAAUAUGUCAUCAAUAUCGUUGAAAGGUUGAACUUAGUGAAUUAUUAUAGUGCAGUACGGUAAAAUAGGCACAUGAUAUAAUUUGUCCACAUGUUCUAAUAUAAGUGAAUAUUUAUUGAUAUUAUUUUCAAAAAUAAAAAAUAUCAACCAUUACAUCCUCCCAUAUUAUAAUACAUAUACAAAUUAUACCACAUUAUCAUACUCUAAUACCAUUUUAUAAUUUCUCGUACUUAGGAGGUAUAGAGCGAGUCAAUGACAUUACAUAAUAUAUAAUUGUUCAUAUAAUGGGGCAACUAACGUGAUCAACAAGUUGUGGUGAUUAAUUUAACAUAAUAAAAAACAUACCAUUUACUAUGUAACAAUUUGUUCUUUUAAAUUGGAUUGUCAUCACUUUAAUAUGUUAUGUUUCUUAUUCUAGUCUCCCAUGUUAAGUGCUUCAGCAUUGUUUGUGGUGUGUACACAAAUUUUCUUAUAAAAUGUUUUAAUGCUUCUCACAUGUAUAUCAGAUAUAGACAGUUGAUGUGACUUAGAAAUCAAAUUGUCAAUAAAGAAAAAAAAUAUAAUUGGUGAUCGAGGUCCAAUUUAAUAGAAAAUAGUCUUAAUUUGUAUAUUAAAGGUUUCAGAUUCGAAUCCUCACUGCAUUAUUGUUGUAUGCGUACACGAGAAAUUCUAUUUCCCAAUAAUUUAGAUUAUCACUUAUACUAAAAAAAAUAUAUAUAAUAAGUUUUACGAAUGCAAACAUAAAAUUACACCAAACAAUAAUGGAAUAGAAAGAUGGAAGUUUUUUUUUUUUCCUACAUCUAAAGUAUACUUUAUAUAUAUAUUUAUUAUGGGAGUUAUAACCGUUUAAUUUUCAGUUUUUAUUUUCUAUUUAUUGUGUUAAUUUUUAUGGUUUAAUAUGUAUGGAGAUUACAAGUAUUGGAUGUCUAUAAAGGGCCACUCCUCCUUCACAUCUGAAACAAACCACCAUCUCAUUUCUGUAUUUUCAUACUUUCAUAUAUUUUCUACUUUCCAGAUUAUUAUUUUUGGGCAACGGUUUUGUGACUUGGAGAUUUCUAUCCGAUUGUUAACAUGCUCAUAACGGACCUUGAGCUUGCGUAUUGGGGAUCGUAUCUUGGAGCCUUGUAGACCUUUAUUACGUGCAUGUAGGGAGGCUACAAAUGCUUUAGGUCAGCGUCUUUGACGUACUUUUGCUUUCUUUUUUUACUUAUUUCUUCGUUUCUUUAUUUUUACUUUACUUUUAAAUCUUUAUUUUAUGUAUUAUUUAUAUUUAAAAGUUUUGAAUAAGAGUUUUACAGAAAAGGAAAAACACAAUUUCAAAUAACACAAAUUUCUCGUUUUUUGUUCUUAAAAAAGAAGAAGCAUUGAUUGGGGAGUUAUGGUAAACUCAGUUUCAAUGGUUGCGAUGAGAGGCGGUGGCGGCGAGGAGAGGACGAAGGCUUUGCUGCCGACGGGGUGGUGUGGCUGGCUGCUUGGUCCUGGGUUCUCCUUUAAUUCUCUGUUUUCUUUUUUCAUUUUCUUUUUCUCUUAGAGUUAUUGAUGUUAAGUGAAUGGACAGAUGCCAAAAUAGGGACAGAAGAUGUGAACCCAAUUAUAUACAGCUGCUGCUAUAGCUGAUUACAUAAAGUAACAAAUUAAUUAAUGCUUGAGUGGAGGACAGGCUUGAGUGGAAGAAUUGAUUAAGGCUUGAGUGGAAGACAAACUUCAGUGGAGGAAAGUAUAGAUAAGGAAAGCAUGCCUCGUUUAACGGCUUUAUCUAAUAAAGAUUACUUGUUGGCACUUGGAGUUUCUUAGGAAUGCUGGUUUUGUUUCCUUGGUGGACUUGAAAGGUGGUGCCUUGGCUCGGACAUCUCCCAAGACAUACAACUGCUCAUUAGCUGAAUAUCUCGCUCUCUUUAAAGAGAUCGAAGCAAACACAAUUUGCAAUUUGUGUGAUUCAAGCAUGAAUAUCUGAUAUAGUAACUAUACCAUUUGUUGGUUUGAUAAGAAAAGUUUGGUUAGCGAGGAUGAAACCAUAAAGUUCCCAAAACACACAAAGAACACGGACAAUUGCUAAGUUUAUUCUUGAGUUCACACAUAUUUGCACAAAUGAGAUUAUUCCAAGCAUGAUUAUACCAUUUGUUGGUUUGAUGUGAAAAGUAUGGGCAACGAGGGGUAAAACCAUACAAACACACACGAAGAACGUGGACAAUACUAAAUUUAUCUUUACGUUAUUGAUCCGACCUAACUGUAAAAUAAAAAAGAUGAAAAUAUAUAAUGUUCAGUACUUAGAUCUAUGAGCACUUGCACAAAACAUCACUUUUGGUCUUUGGUAAAUUUUUAAAAUAAAUGAAUUUUUUACUUAUUUGUGAACUGAAAUGCCUCUAAAAAAAUAAUGAUAGUUCGAAGAAUUUGAUAGAAAUUAAAAAAUAUCCUCAAAUUACUUGGAAUUGAAGACCACAUAGGCAAAAACACGAAAUUGAAACCUCACUUUAAUGAUAAAAAUGGUAAACUACAAAGACAAAAAUGACGUCUUGCCUUAUAAAUAAUUGGAAUUUGCUGGUGAUAAUAGUCGAUAUCAUCUUUUGUCGGUCCGACCUAAAAAGAAGAAAAAGUUAAAAGCAUCUUGUACCAAUUUUUGCCAAUGUGGGCCCAAACAAUUUGAAGAAGUCCACCGGCAAUUUCUCAAAAGCUAUUGUGUGAGUGUGAAGCUAAACCAAUAUUAUUUUGCAUAUCCGACCCCACAUCCCCAUGUGAUGUGAGGCUACAGAGGUGUUUCCAAAACGAAAUAUGAUAUUUCAAAACGUAGCUAUGUAUAGAGUCAUUUGUAUUUGCUUUCACAAUAACAUUUGAUUUUAUAUUUAUACAUUCUGAUAUUUUAACAAAUAAAUUGACUAAAUUUGGCCAACAGGAUUUAGCCGAAUAGAAAAGUUCUUAUUUAUGGACUAGUAAUUUUAAAUUUAAAAUUUAGACUAUCGCAUGUAUUUAAAAAAAACUAAACAAUUGGCUUAAUUUGAUAUAUUUCCUUUUUUUCCUUUUUGCAUUUUAUGCUGGUUGCCGUUAUUAAGUUUUAUCCUUAUUUUUUGUUGAAAAGAAAAUUGAAAAAAAUAAUAAUAAUUCCUACAGCUAGCAACUUCUCCACCUACAAAAAAUAAUAUUUUUUGUUUUAUCCUCAUGUGAGGCUACAGAAAAUUUUUGAAAACGAAACUGGAUAUUUUAUCUCUAACGACAGCUUUCAUACUUCGUUUACCCUGUGUUUCCAAGUUGUGCUAGCUAUUUGCAAACCUUGGAAUAUUACUUCAUCCAAAUCCCUUGCAGAGAAAAGAAAGAUAUGGCUUUGAUCGGAGAGGCCCUCAUCUCUGCUACCAUCCAGACGUUGUGUGACAAAAUUGCUUCGCCUGAGUUCACCGACUUAUUUCGGCAGAAAAAGCUCGAUGAACAACUCCUCAACAAGCUGAAGACGACGCUGUUGACCUUGUCCGUAGUGCUUAAUGAUGCAGAGGAGAAGCAAAUUGAGGAACCUUUAGUGAGAGACUGGCUUGACAAUCUCAGACAUAAUGUCUUGGCUGCGGAGGACUUACUGGAUGAAAUCGACACUGAAGCUUUGCGAUGCAAACUGGAAGAAGGUGAAGGUCAAACCCACAAUUUAACCAAGAAGGUACGUGAUUUUUAUCAACGCAUGAAUGUUGAGAUGAAAGAUUUAUUAGAAAGAUUAGAACAAUUUGUACAAGAGAAAAGUGCUCUUGGUUUGAGAGAAGGUGCUGGGAGGAAGGUUUCACGAAGAACAACAACUUCCUUGGUUCAUGAACCUUGUGUCUAUGGUAGAGAUGAAGUCAAAGAAAAUCUGUUGCCAAUUUUGUUAUCUGAUGAUGCAAGUAAGGAUGAUGUGUCUGUCCUCACCAUUGUUGGAAUGGGUGGGAUUGGCAAGACAACCCUUGCCCGACUGCUUUAUAAUGACGAUGAGGUGAAAGAACAUUUUCCACUUCACGCUUGGGUUUGUGUUACGGAAGACUAUGAUUCUAAUAGGAUAACUAAAACUCUUCUAGAGUCAGUCACCUCAAAGUCUUCUAAUAUGACAGAUCUAAAUUUACUUCAAGUUGAACUAAAAGAACAACUCAAGGGAAAGAAAUUCUUAUUUGUUUUGGAUGACCUAUGGAAUGAGAAAUAUGGUGAUUGGAAACGCCUCCAAACUCCUUUUACUUCUGGGGCAAGGGGAAGUAAAGUCAUUGUAACAACACGGAGCCAACAUGUAGUAUCUGUCCUGCAAAGUGUUCAUGUUCAUCACUUGGAACCCUUGUCGCACGAAGAUUGCUGGUUCUUACUUGCAAAACAUGCAUUUGGAAAUGAAAAUUGCAGUGAUCCAAACUUGGAAGAAAUUGGCAAGAAAAUUGCACACAAGUUCAAUGGGUUGCCUUUAGCUGCAGAAACACUUGGGGGUUUGUUACGUUGCAAUAUAGAUUCAGAGGAAUGGAAUACAAUACUAAAUAGCAGUAUUUGGGAGCUACCCUAUGAUAAAUGUGACAUUCUUCCGGCUCUUGGGUUGAGUUACCAUUAUCUCUCCUCCCAGUUAAAACGAUGCUUUGUUUAUUGUUCAAUUUUUCCAAAGGAUUAUGAGUUUAAAAAGGAAGAUAUAGUUCAAUUUUGGAUGGCAGAAGGUUUAAUUCCAAAAGCUGAGAAUGGAAAGAGCAUAGAAGCGGUAGCUAGAAAAUACUUUGAUGAGCUGUUGGCACGAUCGCUAUUUCAAAAGUCAAGCAAAUCCGGUUUCACAAUGCAUGAUCUCAUUAAUGACUUGGCCAUGUUCAUGUGUAAGGCAUUUUGCCUUAGGUUGGAAGGGGGGGAAUCACAUGUCGUAGAAAAAGUUCGGCAUUUUUCAUAUGCUAUGGAAAGAUUUGAUGCAGCUCCAAAAUUUGAGCCAUUACAUAGGGCUAAGUUUAUGCGGACCUUUCUACCCAUAUCAUUAAAUUUUGUUUCCACUUCUUAUGUAACUAAAAAGGUUCUACAAGAUUUGUUGCCGUCACUAAGAUGUUUACGGGUGUUAUCAUUGUCACAUUAUCAAAAUGUUACUGUGUUACCUGAUUCUAUUGCAAACCUCAUUCACUUGCGCUACUUGGAUCUUUCCGGUACCGCAAUUGAAAGGUUACCUGGGGUACUUUGCAAUCUCUACAACUUGCAGACAUUACUAUUGUCAAAAUGUUUCUCACUCCUUGAAUUGCCUGCAGACAUUAGAAAAUUGACUAAUUUACAGAAAUUGACAUUGCUCGGUUGUAGUUCUCUUAAUAAAUUGCCUGCAGGCAUGAAGGAGUUGACUAAUUUGCAUCAUCUUGAUGUCAGUGGAACUAAAAUUGAAGAGAUGCCGGUGCAAAUGGGUAGAUUGAAAAGUUUGAGAACAUUGACUGCAUUUGUUGUGGGCAAAUCUACUGGGUUAGGCAUAAGAGAACUGAGGCAGUUCCCGCAACUUCGAGGAAAACUAUCAAUUUUGAAGCUACAAAAUGUAGUUGAUGCGAGGGAUGCACUGCACGCCAAUAUGAAGCACAAGAAAGAUCUCAAGGAGUUAAAGUUUUCAUGGGGUGCGGAGGAUGCUGAUGAUUCCCAAAAGGAGAAAGAUGUACUCGACAAGCUCCAGCCUUGCGUGAAUUUGGAGAAAUUAUCCAUCAAAUUCUAUGGUGGAACCAAUUUUCCGAAUUGGUUAGGAGACUCGUCUUUUUCUAACAUACAAGUCAUGCAUCUCAGUGACUGUAGUUAUUGUUGGUUGCUCCCACCAGUUGGACGGCUACCGGCACUCAAAGAGCUCUGUAUAAAAAGAAUGAAGUCUUUGAGGACGAUUGGCGUUGAAUUCUAUGGCAGAAAUGGAGCUUAUCUGACUCAGCCAUUUCGAUCUCUGGAGAAGCUAGAGUUUAGGGGGAUGCCGGAGUGGGAGGAAUGGGUACCAAGUGGAAGUGCAAGUGGAGGUGAAUAUGGUCCAGACUUUCCUCGUCUCCAAAAGCUGAUUCUAAACGAGUGUCCGAAGCUAAGAGGAAGUUUGCCUUGUGAGUUGCCUUGCUUGAAGAAGCUUACGGUGUAUGGGUGUAAGGUUUUACAUGAUGGAAGGACCGCUACCGCAACUACCAAUAGUGUUAACUAUAAAUCUCUGGAAGAAUUGGAUAUAAGUGGUGGAUGCCAAACUCUGUUAUCAUUAUUAGAGACAAAGCUCCUGUCCCGACUUCGGAUUCGAAAUGUUGUUGACAUACAGUGCUUGCCCAACUGCAAUCGUCUUCAACGUUUGACUCUUUGCCUAACGCUGUCAUCGUUUCCCAAAGAUGGCCUACCCACUACAUUGACAUCACUUUAUAUAAACAAUUGUAGGAAAUUAGAAUUCCUACCUCAUGAGAUGUUGGCCAAAUUAACAUCGCUUGACUAUUUGUGCGUACAAAAUAGCUGUGAUUCAAUGAGGUCCUUCCCGUUGGGCAUUUUUCCCAAAUUGACGACGCUUCAAAUUCGUGGUUGUGAGAAUCUGGAAUCUUUUUCCUUGAUUGAAGAAGAAGGAGCUGUUGACAAUCUCAGCCAUCUCAAUUCCUUGCGUGUCUAUAACUGUCCAAAAAUGGUGUGUUUUCACGAGGGAGAAUUGCCCACUCCCAACCUGAGUCACUUUGUAGUCAUUGGUUGCGAGAAUUUGAAGUCAUUGCCCGAACGCCUUCACACCCUCACUGCCCUUCGAUCUUUGAAUAUAUGGAAUCUUCCGAAUCUGGAGUCAUUUGCAGAAGAUGGGGGUUUGCCUCCCAACCUCCGAUCUUUUAUCAUUAGGAAUUGUAAGAGACUGAGGGCACUUGACUCAGUGGGUUUGCAAGCACUUGUCUACCUUCAGAUCGAUGGAAGUGACCAUGUCUUGGAGACGUUGCUGCUCCCUACCACUCUUCACACUCUCUGCAUCUCUGAUCUAUCAACUCUGAAAUCUUUGGACGGAAAGGGUCUUGGACACCUCACUUCUCUUCAAACUCUAAAAAUUUACAGCUGUCCAAGUCUUCAAUGCCUGCCAGAAGAGGGUUUGCCGCCAUCUCUUUCUCAUCUGAGUAUCCGCUGUUGUCCUACCCUGGAGGAAAGGUAUAAGAAUAAAACGGGACAAGAUUGGGCAAAGAUAUCUCACAUUCCUUGCAUCGAGAUAGGGGAAGAAGUGAUCAUAUAAUAUGAGCUAUUCCAUAUUUCACGCUCAACCCUCAACUCUCAAAUCAAAGUCAGGUGAGGUAUGUGCCUUCUCUUACUUUAAAAAACUGCUUCUCUUCUUCUAAUUGAAUACAAAAACCAAAACACAUAUUCUCUUUCUCUUCCAAAAACCCAAAUACAUGUUGGACAUUGCCCAAAUUUGUCUCCAAAUUCCUAGUUUAAAUCAAAUUUAAUGCCUAUGGAUAGUUUGUUAAUAGGUUCAUGCCAUGAAUUAAUCUUUGGACUUUCCCAGGUACUGCAGGUUUGUUAUUAAUGUUGUGGCCUGAUAUUCGUCGUAUCAAUACGUUGAGGAGAGAGAUCGAUCAGCAAUUACAAAAUUGUUAGUGAAUUUAGCUUGUUUAUCAUCUCUCUCCUUUUGUUUGUUAAGUUUUGUUGUUCUAGGUUAAACCCUUGUCCCCGCAUUUCACAGCAACUCUGUGUUUUUCCACUCUGUUUAGAUUUCACUAGCAGGAGAGCCCGCGCGAUGCUGCGGGUUUUGAAAUUGUGUAGACAAAAUUAGAUUGUUUAUAUAUACAAUGAGAUUUAAUUUAUAACAUUAUGUUUAACUACAGGAGUGUAAGUUGCAAAAAAGUAUAUAAUAACAUAUUUUACAGGCUACUUGUUAUGGUAAAAUACUAUACUUGUUUGUAUAUACAUUGAGAUGUUUAUAGUAGGAAGUAGGCAUCAAAAUAGCAAAAGUUGGAUAGUUUUGUACAGAAUGUUAUUUAAUUGGGCAAGCUUUGUUUUGCACUUGCUUCAUGAUUUUUCUUCUCUUUCAUGGAAGUCUUGAUCCUGUUAUAAAAAAAAGUGAGAAAAUAGUAAAUGUUAAUAUUGAUGAAUGGGGGAAAUUGAGUUAGGACAAUAAUCAUAAACAUUUAAUUAUGUAUAAACAGGAAUAAUAUAAUUUAUUGAUUUAAUAAGAAAGUUAUAAAUAGUUUUUCAAUCUAGGAAAUACAAAGUUACAAAAUUAAGAGAACUAAUGAGCAAGUUGUAGAUGGUUUUCUAAUUGAAGUAAUACAAAGUAAACAUAUUUUAAAUUUUGUGUUUGUCUAAAAGAAAAGUUGAAGAGAGGCAAAAUAAUUAUGGUUGAAUAUAUGGAGAAAAGGAUGUCAAUAUAAUGUUUAGGUUUUUAUGUAUUAGGAAUAUAUGACUUUUUUGCUGUUAUUUAGAGCAAAAAUUAUUUAAGGGCUUGACAUUUCUGUUAAAAAACGGGUAGAAUCUACCCUGAAAAAUGGACAUUUUGCCAAAAAAUUCACCUGUAAACUAAUUAGUACUGAAUACCGAUUGGCGAAGGCAAGACAAUCAUAGUUGUGGAGUACAUAGUUAGAAAGAUGAAUGUGCAAACGUACAUCUAACCCCAUGAUAUACAUCUAACCCCAUGUGAACAUGAUUUAUUCUACAACAAUGAUUAUCAAUUUUCUAAUUGCUCAUUUUCCUAACCCUAAUCAUCACAAACCCAAAAUUAACUCUAAAAAUUUCAAAUAAGCAUGGUUCUAAACCAAUUUCUAACUUACUUAGCGAAGUCUUUUCUAUAAAUGAUAGUUGUUGAAGAAAAAGGGAAACGAAAAUAAGCUUUUAGUGUAUAAGUACAUUGAAGCAAAACAUGAAGAGAAUCCAAUAUAUAACUUCAAUAUAUAACUUUAAUUUUCUAUAAGUGUUGAUCUAAAUUUACAUCCCUUACCACUCUUCAAUUUAAAAAUAGUUUUAGCUACAACAAACAACUUCAGAGAGAAGAUUUGGCCCUGUUUUAUAAGGCAAAACCUCUCUAACCACAUGACAUACAUCUAACUCCAUGUGAACGUGAUUUAUUCUACAACAAUGAUUAUCAAUUUCCUAAUUGCUCAUUUCCCUAACCCUAAUCAUCACAAACCCAAAAUUAAUUCUAAAAAUUUCAAAUAAGCAUGGUACUAAACCAAUUUCCAACUUACUUAGUGAAGUCUUUUAUAUAAAUGAUAGUUGUUAAGGAAAAACGGAAACAAAAAUAAGCUUUUAGUGUAUAUGCACAGCACAGAAAUUGCAUGUAGCUUUCCGAUUUUUAUCCCAACUUCGUUUCUGUGGAAUCACAAAACUACAUACGCACAGCACAGGGAAGGGAAAAAAAAAAAAAGGCACAUUUAAGAGACACCUAUCUUCUCAUUCUACAUCACAUCCUCUUUUCCUAGCUUUCCAACCUUGCAACCAAAGCAAACAUCUUUCCUGAUAAAGGGUAGGAAAGAAAGUGGUUGUGUGAAUUGGGAUGAGAGAGACAGAGACAGAGACAGAGACAGAGAGACAAAGAGAGAGAGAGAAAAGAGAAAUCAAAGUAUAUAUAUAAAUAGUAAGUAUAGUUUAUAUCAUGCAAAGUUUUGAUGGUUUCGUUCAAAAAAAAAACAGGGAAAAAGUUUUGAUGGGUAAUUCUAGUAAUAAUGUUCUUAUAAUUCUAUAUAUAUAUAGAUAUCAAACUGUACUACCAUAUUCUUCCUAUAUAUACACUUGGUCGUCAACUACCUCUCUCUCUCUCUCUCUCUCUCUCUCUCUCUCUCUCUCUCUCUCUCUCUCUCUGUGACCUGCAUUUAUACAGAACCAAUUAUUCCAUCUUCACUAUACAUUUUCCUCAUCUUCCCAUUCAUAUUUUAUGGCUCUCUUGUUCUUCCUCCUAAUUCUUUUGGUCCCUGCAAGCAAUACUAAUUGGCCACCAUCACCUGGCUACUGGCCAAGUUCUAAAUUCAGGUCUAUGAGCUUUUAUAAAGGAUUUAAAACUCUCUGGGGUCCUCAGCAUCAAAGCUUAGACCAACAUGCAUUAACAAUCUGGGUUUAAUGAGGCCAGAAAAUUUUAAGAACUUAUCUACCAAGCAUACCAAACUGACAAAGCAAACCAUAUCUGUAUUUUAUCAUCAAUUUCAUCAAUUUUAUCACCAACAACAGAUAAAAAAAGGGAAUUUUUUCAAAAAAAAAAAAAAGGAAAAAACAUAAAUAAAAAAAGGGGCACAUUUAAGAGAGACCUAUCUUCUCAUUCUACAUCACAUCCUCUUUUCAUUUUGAAGCGGUCAUGUGUUGUGAGUUUCUUGUUUUAUAAAUUUUCAAAACUGUUGUUUAGAACUGCAAAAUUCUUCAUCAUAUAUCUUGCCUUCUAAUAUACAUUCUGUAUCAGGAAACUGGAAUGAGGCUUGCUCUUUGAGGAAGAGAAAUAAAAGAAAAAGUUGUGGCAAAGGUUCACGGAUGUAGUUGGAUUGUAGUGGGACAGAGAACAAAUUUAUUUGUUGCAGGGGAAAAGUCUCAUCCAAAUGCUAUGAAAUCAUGGCAACUUUAAAGUAUUGGACAGCAAUAAUGAAAGAAGAGGGCUAUGUUGGUGACACAGAUUCUUGCUUGCAUGAAUAAGAGGGAGAAAAGCCCCUAUGGUAUUGACUGUUGCCGCCAAGUGCAUAUUGUUAUUACUAUGCGUACUACAUCCCAAGGCCUCUCUCAGCAGGAUUACAAAGUAAACCAGAAUUACUAUCCCAGCAGUAUUCUGCAACUUUGCUCUGCACUUCCUUAUGUAAUCUCUCUCUCUCUCUCUCUCUCUCUCUCUCUCUAUAAAUAUAUAUAUACACACACACACACACACACACAUAUAUCUAGGCAUGCAUAUUUAUGAGUUCCCCAUUGAGGAGGGAUUCCCUUUUGAGGAUUUUAUAAUUAGAAUUAGACUGCCUUCUUAACCAAUAGUUGGGUUUGUGUGGUAAGGUAUGCUGGGUUUGUUGAUGUGGAUAUUUAUGCCUGGAGGUGCUUUGUUUUACUACUUCGUUGAAGUAGAAACAGACACUGACAAAGAAGCCCUUCAUUCUUUGUCUCAAUAGUGAUUGGUUUCUUUGAUCCUAUUCAUCAUAUCUGGUGGUGAGGUUGCCUAAUCAGCCAAAUGUUGGGUUCAACUACCUCUCUCUCUCUCUCUCUCUCUCUCUCUCUCUCUGUCUCUCUCUCUCUUUCUCUCUCUCUCUGUGACCUGCAUUUAUACAGAGCCAAUUAUUCCAUCUUCACUUUACAUUUUCCUCAUCUUCCCAUUCAUAUUUUAUGGCUUUCUUGCUCUUCCUCCUAAUUCUUUUGGUCCCUGCAAGCAAUACUAAUUGGCCACCAUCACCUGGCUACUGGCCAAGUUCUAAAUUGGCCAGAAAAUUUUAAGAACUUAUCUACCAAGCAUACCAAACUGACAAAGCAAACCAUAUCUGUAUUUUAUCAUCAAUUUUAUCGCCAACAACAGAUAAAAAAAGGGAAUUUUUUCAAAAAAAAAAAAAAAAAAGGAAAAAACAUGUUUAGUCUUUGCUUUCCAAUGUUUUAUCCAAAAACCUGAAAAUCAAAGUAACUAAAUAAAUGAACCCAAUCAUUCCUAAUUUCUAUUUUGUCAAAACCUAAUUAAGCUUCACUUCUUUUUUGCUUGUAUUUUAUCAUCAAUUUCAUCUAUUUUAUCACCAAUAGCAGAUAAAAAAAGGAAAUUUUUUCAAUUAAAAAAAAAAAAAACAUACUCAGUCUUUGCUUUCCAAUGUUUUAUCUAAAAACCUAAAAUCAAAGGAAUCAAAUAAAUAGGGUUUAGGGCUCAAGAACCUGAAAUCAAAAGAACCAAAAAAAUGAACACAACUCUACAUAGCACGAAAAAUCUCCCAGCCAACAAUCAAAUUCAUGAAAUAAAUACCAAAAGAUCUGUUAAAAAAUUGAUGAGAUGCAUACCUGAAAACAAAGGAUGCAACAAAGAUGGAAGCCUGAGUCGAAGCAAGAACGAUGGAAGCCUGAGUCGAAGCAAGAAAGAUGGAAGCCUGAGUCGAAGGUUGUAGAAAAGACGAAAUCUCCCGAUCCCAAAUCUGUGACACGAAGACUGAAAGCACGGCUGGAUUUGCAGCUCACCUCCCAAACAAAAAUCGACGGCCUUCAACGCAUCUCCAGCAACGAACACAACUCUUCCAUGGCUGCCCCCCAACCAGCUGGUUGGAAACGAACGGGAGAAAAUGGUUUCUCUCAGCGGACGAAACCAUCUCAACGAAGGGGGAGGGGCAAAAACGGGAACAAAAGAAACUGUUUAGUCAAGGGCAGUUUCGUCAUUUAACUGUGCUGCAGGAAAAAAAACGAAAACAGCAGAAAAAUGAGGGGCAUUUCCGUCAUUACACUGUGCUUAGCUACAGUGUUUAGUUGCAUUGGGUUUUAGUAUAUAUAUAAUUUAUGUUGUGAUUCGACUGCUGCUGUAUUUUAGAUUUAUAGGAACAGACCAAACAUGUUGAUUCUAUCACCAAAAUUAUAAAGUAUACUUCCAUUACAAUUAAUUUGUUGAUUCUAAUUUGGACUUGUAGGAACAGACCAAACAUGUUCAUACGUGGCAUUGCUCAAGUCAUCAUCAUUCGGGACAGAGAAUAAGCCUUCAAAUGUCUGCUGAGUCAAUGAACCUUUCUAGAUAUCUCAAGUGUAAUGGAAAUUGAUGAGUUACAAAGGAUUUGUAAACAUUUUCUACUGGAGGCUAGAAAUGCUUCAAAUAAAUGACUCUGUUGCAAUUAUUUUGUAGGAUCAAAGACUCUGCAAAGAGGUAAGAAAGUCAUCAUCAAGUAACUUCGCUCUUCAUACUUUUUAUUAGGGGUGGGCAUUGGAACCGCAAAACCGCAAAACCGAACCAACCCAAUCCGAAAAAAACCGAAAAAAACCGUGUUGACCGAAAAAGUCAAAAACCGAGACAAAUCCAAACCGAACCGGUUCAGACCGGUUCCGGUUCCGAUUUUCCACCUUAAGGAACCGGUCCAAUCCGAACCGGUCCAAUAUAAUUAAUUUUUAUAUUAUAUUUAUAUUUAUAUUUAAAAUAUCAAAUUUUGUAGGCCCAAACCCAACUAUUUCAUUAUACCAACAAAAAGCCCAAAUCUCCCAAGUCCAUUGCCCAAGUCCAACAAGCCAUAUUUUAAUAUCCUAAUCACAUCAAAUCUCACUUCACUCUCUCUCUCUGACGCACUCUCUCUUUUCCUCUCAGAUUUUUUUUACUCUCUUUUUCUUUCUUUCUUCUCUCUUCCGCCUCUUUUCCUCUAGGUUCUUUAACUUCUUUUUACUUCUUUCUUUCUUCACUCUUCUGCCUCUUUUCCUCAGUUUUUUCUUCUUCUUUCUCUCUUAUUCUUUCUCCUCUCAAUUCGUCUCCAUUUUUUUUCCCUCUCUUUCUCUGAUUUUCUGUUACUCUGAUUUUUUUCUUCUUGGUUUUAUGUUUCUCUCUCUCCCUCUAUAUCUCUUUCUUUGCAACUCUGUUUUUCAAUUUCUCCUUUUUUUUCUCUCUUCAUUUUUUGUUUCUCUGUACAUAUAUGUGUUCAUCUUGUAGAUCUGGGUGAAAUUCUUGUAGAUCUAGGUGAAGUUCUUGGAGAUCUGCGUUAAGUUCUUGUAGAUCUAGGUAAAGAGCCAAUUCAAAGCAGGUCAGCGUCUCUUAUCUCCCCAAUCCCUUGUGAAGAUAUGUAUUUUUUUUGUUGUCAACAAUCCAUUUUGGUGUUUUUAUAUGGUAUUGAUAUUUUCUAUGAUUUUGGGCUGAUUUGAGGUCUGAUUCUUUUUUUUUCUUUCAAUUUUUUCCUGUUGUGUUUUGAUAGACAUGUUCUCUAUUCCUGAUAUCAUUCCUCAGUGGCAAAAUCUUUGAGCGUUGUUGUAAAUUUUAGACGGGAAAGAAGCUCAUUCAUAAUUCAAAAAAAGAAAAUAAAGUUACAACAACUGACAAUUUGUUGCUCUUUGAAAUAGGUACUGAAGUAGCAUGGAUAAAAAGAAAGACUGAAGAUGUUGCAGAAGAUUGAAUAUGUUCUAUUUCUGUAAUUUGUUUGUAAUUAAAUUUGUUUAUUUUGUUUUGUUUUUAGGUUGUAAGUUUUAUUUUAAUGUUUGAUAUUUGUUGUUUUGUCAAAAAAUUGUAUUAAUGCUUGAUGGAUUCAUUCAAUUUGCAGUGCGUGGAUGUGAAUUGGGCCAAUCGGUAAUAAUUAGGCCCAAAAGGUUUUAAAUAUCAAUUGGGCUGAAACUUACAAAAAAAUUUAAGAACAAAAAAAAAAUCAAUUAAGCUGUGUGUCGGCCCAAACCGUAAAAACCGGAACCGAACCGGAUUCAAAUGGGUUCGGGUUGGUCCGGUUUUCUCAAGCAUUUUAGUAAAAAUCCGAACCGGACCGGACCGGUGAACAGUACCGGUUCCGGUUUUAAAUUGAUGCAAAAACCGGUCCAAACCGGACCGUGCCCACCCCUAUUUUUUAUUUUUAUUUUUAAAUAUCAGUAAUAACUGGGAAAGCUUGCAUCUCCUUAAAUUGCUCAUUCUUACAUCUUUUAUAGUUUGUUGAUCUUGGGCAAGUGGAGAGAGAGGCGUCAAGUGAUACGCAACAACCAUUUUCUGUGAGCUGAUUUGAUAAAGAGAAAUGGUAUGCUUUCUUGUCUUAAGCGGUGUGUUCUGCAAUUAUUUGAAACAAAGGAUGCCGCACUUCAAGUUCGAGAAAAUCAGGUAUUUUAGUAUUUUAUUCUUGAGAAAUUUGAUUUAUGUAGAAACUUGAACAUGUAAAUGAGAGAAAAAAAAAUAAAUAUAUAUAUAUAUUAUAUAUUGUAUAUGCUGUUAAUGAGUUAAUAUGGUGCUUGCUCCUAGUUGGAAAUUUAUGUAGUCAUCUACCUAUGAUCAAAUAAAGAUGAAAAAUAAAAUAAAAUUGAGAGCAUCUUCCUCUCCCCUGCUUUGCUCAUCCCUUGUUCUUCCACUUCAGCCCCACUAUUACACCAUUUUUUUCAGCCACAAUUAUAAUAGCUCCAUGAGCAUUAAGUCCCUUUCAAAUUCUGCUGACAUUCAAAAUUGGAAUCUGCUGGUGAUAUAUGAUAGCGUUAACAUAUUGUACCAUUUUGGCCAGUGUACGCAAUAUUAUUGCAUCCAACUUUGCAUAUUAACAUCAGUGGCCACAGUUACACGAUUUGAGUGCACAGAAAGGUUUCAAAAGUUGUCCCACAGAGAACAGUCGUUCAAAGUGAGAGAGUUUUGAAAGCUUAAUUACAAGUUCAUGUUGUUUACAACCUCAAAAAGCUUUCAUACUUGCUUACAAACCUGUAUUUCCAAGUUCUGCAAACCUUGGAAUAUCACUUCAUCCAAAUCCCCUUCCAAAGCAGGAAAAAAUGGCAGCAGCUUUGAUUGGAGAGGCUCUCAUCUCUGCUUCUAUCGAGGUGUUGUGUGACAGAGUUACUUCAGCCGAGUUCAUAGACUUAUUUCAGCAGAAGAAACUUGAUGAAACACUCCUCAUGAACCUGAAGACGACACUGUUGAUUUUGUUUGCGGCGCUCAAUGAUGCAGAGGAGAAGCAAAUUGUGAACCCUGCUGUGAUAGAGUGGCUUAACAGCUCAAGCAUGCUGUCUUUGAUGCAGAGGACUUACUUGAUGAGAUUGACACUGAAGCUUUGCGAUGCAAGCUGGAAGGUGAGGAUCAAACCCACAAUAAUUAACCAACAAGGAUCUUUUUGAUUGUUUGAAAGGAGGGUCUUUGAUGAUUUGAAAGGAGAGGGUUGCUUCAUUUCUGUUGGAUGCUUAAUUAAAUCUUAUCUGGACUUGAACAAGGAUUAGGUUAGCUGUAUAAUUCGUGGUAAACACCUUUUUCUAAGGUUCAUUUAGACUCCUAUUACGAUUAAUUUGUUGUUUCUAAUUUGGACUUGUAGGAACAGACCAAAUAUGUUCACACGUGGCAUCGUUCAAGUCAUCAUCAUUUCAGACAAAAUCAGCCUUCAAGUGUCUGCUGACUCAAUGAACCUUUCUAGAUAUAUCAAGUGCAAUGGAAAUUCAAGAGUUACAUAGAGAUUUGUAAACAUUUUGAAGAUUGCAACACCUGCAAGUGAGAUAGGUGGUGACGAAAUCAGAGCUGAUCUUGAAGCCUCUGAUGCCCCUGUCGUUGCAAGUUGCACCUGAGAACAUGGUUUUUUUUUGGGUAAAAAACCAGCAACAUGUUCGGGGCUGGCAAUUCAAUCCCUGAUGAACUUGAGAAGCAAAGCUCCAGUAAGGAAAUUGGUCGAGGUCACGACAGGGAUAAUUGAUGGUGAAAUGGAUGCUAUUUCUUAUUGCAGCCUGUUCUCAAAGUUCUUGUUGGCAAAAGCAAGAGAUGGAGUAUUUUGAUUGGGAGGAGAGAUAAUGACAUGUGUUGACAAUUCUAGAACAGCCCAUCUGAGUUCUUUUGUCAGGCUGCAUCAUUUAAUCCCAGCAAAAAUCCAGUUUUUGCUAAACAAUCAAAUUGUACACAUUUUUUCUUUUCGAGGAAUUUAACAUUACACAUUUUUUCAUUUUUUCAUCAAACAGUUUUCUAAUGCAUUUGUUGUCCCAAGUUACAAUGAGGAAUUUGGAUUGAGUUUCUUGUGUUAAUAACAUUAUACUUUCAUGGAAUGGUUUAUCUUCUUUUUCUGGACAAAAAUAUUUAGAUUAAUUUCUUGGAAUAAUUUUUUAAUAAUUUUUUAAUUGCAGUAGCGAAAAAAGGAAAAUUGUAUUUUUCAAAACCAAUCUUAAGUCCAGUUUCCUCUUCUUGGUCGUCACACUUGGAAAUUGCUAACCAUAUAUAACUUGGGGUAACAAUCUUAGUCCGAAUGUGUACGAUCUUAGUCCGAUCAAUGGCUACGCGUAUUGGCUCGGCCUUGGGGUCUACCAUUCCAGUGUACAAGCUUCCUGGGUCUUGGGGCAAUUCCUUCAAAUUGUACACAUGUUUUCUUUGAGAAGCAAGGCUCUAGUAAGGAAAUUGGUUAUGUAACAAAUUUUGGUCCCUUUGGAUGGAAUGAUUUACAAUGAGGAAUUUUAUUAUUAUUAUUUUGUUUUUGUUGUUAGUGUAAUGAAAAUGAUCUAGGUUCAUACACUGGGUAUAGCUCUAAUUUGGCCAAUUUCAUUAUUUUAGUUUCUUCAUAUUUUCAAUUAUUAUAAUUUGGUGCGUUGUUUUUUAAAAACAUUCAUGAGAAUCUCCAUUUUUUAGGUGUUUAAGUUAUUCAUCCACAACGGUUUUAUAAUACCGUCAUCUUUUCAAACACAACGAUGAUUUUUUAAUCUAUCGUCGUUGUUUUCUGAUCGUCUUUUUCACUUUUUGUAGUAGUGUCAAUAAGUAAGAUGAAAUAAUACAUUCACAAUCUGUUUAAAUUUUAAAUUAAAAAAAACACAAGAAAAUUUUAAAUAAGUAAGUAAUUUUAAAUAUAUAUUUCCAUUGUUUUGGUUUUCUUUUCAUAUUAGUUUUCUACUAGCUGCUAAUUUCAUUUAAAUUGUUUUUCUUACUUCAUUUAACUUUUAAGCAUGCAGAUGCAAUCAUGACUUCUUCUUUUUUUCAAUAGACUGAUUCUCUUCCCACAUAUAUAAUGCUCUCUAAGUAUUCGUAAUAUGAGUAGGAAUUUAUUUUCAUUUCACAAGAAUUGUCCAUCAAAUUCUGAUAGGUUUGUCGAUAGCACAAGCAUGCACAUAUAGACACUACAAGAACUUUGUUUCUUCAUUUUGUUUCCUAAAGAUUUGUUGGCUUCGUGCAGAUGAAUAACAAGUCUCUCUGUCCUCUAUUUCUUCUUUUUCUUUUUUAACAAUUCAUAUUCUACUUUCUGUUUUCACCCAGUAAAAAUUGAUUUUAGACAUGGGCUUCUAAAUUAUGUGCGGAUAAUGGUUGCAUUUAUAGAAUAUCCAUGGGCUUCUAGUCACCGUGGUUGUUGAUUCAGCAUGUCAUAUUACUCUUGGACUAGCUGUUGACACUACUACAUUUUACACUUUGCGCGACGAAGAACAAAACGUCGCGCAAAGUCGCAUUUAGUCGCCCCAAUUUCAGCGCGACAAAAACGUCGUCGCGCAUAUUCCGUCGCGCGAAGAUCGUGAAGAAAGCCUUUGCACGACGAGGUACAACCCUUCGUCGCGCAAAAGUGUGCGACGGGUAAACCAUCGUUGCACCAACGGUGUGGAGACGAAACAACCCUUCGUCGCAAAAAUAUUUGCGCGACGAUAAAUUAUGCGGCGCACGUAUAUUUGCGAGACGACGGGAAUUGCGCGACAAAACAUUAUUCGUCGCGCAAAAUAUGUAUGGGAGACGUAUAUGUUCGUCGCAGAACAAUUCGCGCGAUGAGAAAGUUUUCGUCGCACAUAUAAUUGCGCGACGAAAAAUUAUGUCGUCGGCCAAAUAUUUUGCGCGACGAAACAUUUCGUCGCGCAAAACGUGUUAUGUGUUCGUCGCGCAUGAAUUAAAAGUGAUAAAAAAAUAUUUGAUUUUUUUUUGUUACAUGUUGGUUUGCGCGACGAAAGAUUUUCCGUCGCGCAAAAAUAAUAUUACAAUUUUUUUUUUAUUUAUAUUUUUUAUUUGAUAUAAAAUUGGUUUCUUUUUAUUGAUUAAACAAUGAAAUUGCAAUAAAAAUAAAUUAGAAUAAAAUUUUGUUAUAAAAUAAAAUAAAAUAAAUGUAUUACAAAUAAAAUAAAUACACUAAUCAAAUAAUGAAUCAAAAUCAACCGAGUCGUCGCCAGUAUGCGGCUCGGAGGGCGGGGCGUUCACCGGGGCAGUGGUCUGGUGGGGAUGCCCGGGAUGGACGGGCUCAGAGGUCGGCGCAUCAAAAUGCGGGACUGGAAUGCCGGACUGUGCGAGGGACUGCAGAAUGACCGACAUCUGGCUCUGAAGAGUGGCCACCUGUGCUGUCAAAGCAGUGACCUGACUGUUUGACUGCGCCGAUGAACGAGGUCGAGGUUCCCUCCGCCGGGCAUUCCCCAUCCCUCGACAAUAUGUCCCCGGCCUCCUCCCGAGAGUCUGAUCCAACGUCUCCGUCAAUAUCUGAAAUCCAGCAUCCUGUGGAGGAGCCACAGACUCGAUCGGAGUCUCGGGAGGAAGCUGGGAGGCGGACUCCUGAAGAACAAGCUGGCUCCUCUCCACCAUCGUCGUCUGUUGAACAUAACAUAAAAUAUAAAUUAAAACAUGCAUAUAAAUUGAAUGCGUAACAUAAGAAUUAAAAUUAAAUAAUACUUACAUGAAGGGACUCGGCCAACUCAUUCCCGGGUCGAACAUAAACGUCACCAAAGACGUCGAUCUCUGGGAACUUGGACCCCUCCUAAAUUGAACAAGAGAAGAAAAAUAUUAGUAUGAAAAAAAUAAAUUAAUAAAAAUGACAUUAAAAAUGAAAUAAAAAUUUUGUGAUUAUUACCCGACGCCGUGCAUCCAUCCUAUAAGAAAAGGGUCUGGAGCCGGAAUGGUGGAGAAGGGUCUUCUUCUUCCUAUUACCCUUAUUCACUUGGGCUUUAUUCUGUUAUACAAAAAAUGAAACGUAUUAGUUAAAAUAUAAAAAAUUAAAUAAUAAUGAAAUAAAAAAAUAAAAUAAACAUUAAUAAGUAAUAAGUAAUAAUUAAACAAAUAUAAUUAAAAAAAUACCGCAAAUUCGGGCGCUUGAAAAUGAGCGCAGAGCCACUCCCAACUAUCCUCCCGCCCCUCAAGCUCCUUCGGGCAACCCUCCUGAAGAGCGACUUGCGGAUCAUCAUAGGCCUGAAAAUGGUGGUGCAAGUCGCUCUUCCACUGCUUGUACCUCUCAGCGAAGAGUCGGUUGACGUACGUCAACGACUCUUCGUCGAGAUCCUCCAAGUUAUAGUUCGUCUGCAAUCAAUUAAUUAGAUACGUUAAGUAAUAGAAAUAUACACAAUUUUAAAGAAAAAUAAUGAAAAUGUAAGGUACAUACCGACAACUGGCCGUGAAUCUCCGCCUGGAUCUCGUCAGGCAUGACCCUCCAAGACUUCCAUUGCAUCGGGCAAUGGGUCCGCACGACGUGGCCAAUGUCGUGGGCCAAGGAGCUAUGCAACUUCGCCGUCGGUGCAGCACGAUGGCGCUCGUCGUAUCCGAUGCUGAUACGACUGUUGGUCACCCGGGUGACCUUCGCCGUCUUCAGCUGACGACACGGUCCUCGGGUGUUCCUCUUCGCUGCAAAGAAAUAAGGUAUUAAUGUUAAAUAAAAAAACAUUGUCAAAUUUCAAUAUAAAAUUAACAAUACAAAAGUGUAGUUAUACCUGGCUGUGAUCCCGAGGCACCAGUACCGUCGGUCGAUGUCGUGUCGAUGGUGUCGGUGGGCCGGUGCCGCCGCCUAGCACUAGCUGGUUGCGCCACGGAUGACGCAGAUGACACAGGCGCCUGGGGCGCCCCGGGACCAACCACCACGUGGUCCAACAAAGCAGGAGCAGUGGCAGCAGAUGCCGACUGAGCCAGGGGAUCCGAACUCGGUGCAGUCGUCAUCGACCUACCACGUCUAAUCAAGUCUGACAUCUGCACAUAUAAUUUCAUUCAGAAUGUAAACUAAUUAAUUAAAAGCAUAGCCUGACCUAGGGUUUGGAAUUUCGGAGUAUCCGGGACUCCGAUCAACGAUCGGUCGAAUCCUAAACGAUCCUAGAAACACAAAGGUACAACUACGCGAGUUUCAGUUCGAUCCAACGGUCCGAACAUAUCAAACCUGGAAAUCGCACAAUAGGCGAAAUUCGAUCAAGACUCAAACGGUAACCAAAUUCAAAUCCGAGCAAACCUACGCGCUCGUGACAAACAGGGGAUCGCUCUGGGACACAAUGCCCCACUGCCACAGCAUCCCACGCGCCGGCAGCGCGUGGGUGUCCAAAGCGAUAACAUUCGCCGGAAAAUUCUAAAAACUAACGGCCAAGGUUCCUACCCUAGGUUGAAAACAAUAUUUGGCGCCACUUUUGUUCUCGGACCUACCCCGAAAAAUGGCCGGAAGUGGCCGGAUUUGAAAUUGCCAAACCGGCCAAAACCUAGGGUUUUAAUUCCUAUUUCCUAUACCCAUCAGCUAGAGCACAAAAAAUAGUCGAGAAAUCAUACCUCAGGCGUCGGAAAUGGUGGCCGGAGGAGAGAGAAAACGGCCGGCGAGGAAUCGGUGAAAAACCGACGAUGUGCGACGGCAGGCUCGACGGCGAAGGCAGGGGAGGCUAUGGCAGGAGCGGCGGUGGCUGAGGUGACGGCGGAGAGAGAGGGCUGAGGUGACGGCGGAGAGAGAGGCAAACGGAGGAAAAAACCAGAAAUGGGGAAGAAGGAGGCAUCGCGACGUUUCUGCAAAUUUUUACGACUUUGCGCGACGAAUCACAUCAUUCGUCGCGCAAAAUGCUAUUAAUGAAUCUUGCGCGACGCUAUAUCCGUCGCGCAAGAUCUGUCAGAACGCCAAAUUCUGAAAGUGGAUUAGGGUCUGUAAGUUUUGCGCGACGAAAUAGACAUACUUCGUCGCGCAAAAGGCUGUCUUUCCGCCAAAAUUUUGGGAUUUAGGGUUUAGCGGGAGGCUGAAACUGAAGGGUUUGCGCUUUUGCGCGACGAAGACGGUAAACGUCGCGCAAUGGUAACCUUGCGCGACGGAACGUAUUAUAUUCGUCGCGCAAAAGGCUAUCUUUCCGCCCAAAUUUUGGGAUUCAGGGUUUAGCGGGAGGCUGAAGGGUUUGCGCUUUUGCGCGACGAAGACACUAAACGUCGCACAAAAGGCUGUCUGCUGAAAUGAAUGGUUUCUGCUUUUGCGCGACGAAGACAAUAAACGUCGCGCAAAACGUUGUCGUUCCGCCAACAAUUUGGGGUUUAGGGUUUAGUGUGAAAACUGGCGCCCAGAUUGCGCGACGAAGAGUACAUAUUUCCUUCGCGCAAUCUAUUUCACUUUCACUUUGCGCGACGGAUAUGUUGGUUCGUCGCGCAAUCUUCAAGAUUUUCAUUGAAAUUUUCACUAAGUGUUCAAAGGGGAUGGAGGUGUGAAAACUGGCGCCCAGAUUGCGCGACGAAGAGUACAUAUUUCCGUCGCACAAUCUAAUUCACUUUCACUUUGCGCGACGGUUAAAUUGUUCGUCGCGCAAAAUGUAGACCCUAAACCCCCUUGUAAACCCUAAACCCUGAACCCUAAGCCAUAAACCCUAAACCCUAAAAUAGUUUCAAUGAUCCAACCGGCAAACUUAUUGUUUGAAACUUGGAGAUCAUAUACGCCAAAAAUCAAGAAGACCAAACAUUCAGAUAUCAGGGAACGGGACUAAAUAUUUCGACGGUUAUAAAUGAAAAGUCAUGAUUUAACGGUUAUUGUAACUCCGAUUUUGAUCAAUUUUGACAGCAGCAUUUGUUGACCCUAUAUGAAUACAAUGACUGAAUUUGAUCUUCAAUUUCAGAUUUUUACACUAGGGGAUACCACAUAAACGUGAAGUUACAUUUGCACAAAUGUAUAAACAAAUUUUAGGGUUUUUGGUGAAUAUAUGAUUUUGAUAGCACAUGCAGUCUACGAAACAAGUUUCAGUCAUCCAGCCGUCAAACUUGUUUUUUUAGACUUCGAGAUCAUAGACAGCAAAAAUCGGACAAAAAAAACAUUCAGAGAUUAAGCAACGGGGUAAAACUUUUCGACGGUUCUAAAUAAAAAGUGAUGAUUGAACGGUUAAUUUAACUCCGAUGUUGAUGAUUUUUUGCAGCUACAGUCCUACACUCCAUAUGAAUACAAUGAACUACUUCGAUCGCCAAUUUUAAAUAUAUAUGUGUGUAUAUAUUAUACUAUAACGUUACCUAAUAUAUAUUUGCGCGACGAAAGUUUGCUUAUCGUCGCGCAAAAAUGCCAUACGCGACGCAUGUAUAUAUGCGUCGCGGAAACUAUGCGCGACCAGUUGUAUUCGUUGCGCAAACAUUACGCGACGCUUAUGUAUGCGUCGCGUAUGGUAUGUUUGCGCGACGAUAUGGAGCCCUUCGUCGCGCAUGGAUUUGGCGCCAUAAAUCCUCAUUGAUUUCAAAUUGUGUAUGCUUUGUAUUUUUUAGAAAGGUUUUGUAUUCAUCAUUUUUUAUGCUUUGUAUUUUGUGGAAAGGCUUUGAAAUAUUCAUUUCUUUUGUUAUUUUUAUUGAAGCUUUAACUUGUUCUGUUCCGCAGAAAAUUCCAAUGAAGUUUGUGAUGAAAUAUGGAGAAUGAAUACACAACUACAUAUGGACAACUACACAUAUUCAAAGAUUUGUAUUACACAAAAUUAAUACACUAACAUAAUAAAUUUACAAAUAAAUUCAUUAUUCAUCAUCUGAACUAUAAUAACUUUCGUUAUCGUCGCUAGCUUUAACUUGUUCUGUUCCGCAGAAAAUUCCAAUGAAGUUUGUGAUGAAAUCUGGAGAAUGAAUACACAACUACAUAUAGACAACUACACAUAUUCAAAGAUUUGUAUUACACAAAAUUAAUACACUACAUAAUAAAUUACAAAUAAAUUCAUUAUUCAUCAUCUGAACUAUAAUAACUUUCGUAUCGUCGCUAUCAUCACUCUCGGUCUCCCAAUCUUCUUCCUCCUCCUCCUCUAUAACUGCAUCAUCGGCGUUGCUAGGGCCCACUGCAACAUCGUAUCGGGGAAGAUCACCGAGGUCAAUUGUAAUUGACUGAAUCGGUAUUUCGACUGAAGACACUCCUUCUAUUUGAAACGGUUCUUGUAUAACAUUUGUAUCUCGAAGUGUUUCCGCAUCAUUUUCCAUUGAAGAUUCUAAACGAUGGUCAGCCACAUUGUCGACGUCGUUGUCACUUGGGUCUAGUUCUGGUAUAUUAUACACGUUCCUAUGAUCCAUCUUCUGCACAACUUUCCACCCGUUCCCGGCUUUAGGGUCAUCUAGAUACACAAUUUGGGACGCCAUGUUUGCCAAAAUGUACGGGUCGUCAUCAUACCAAGUUCUGUUAAUAUUCACAGACAGUACUCCAUGGUCGAUUUUAACACUUCCCGCCCUAUUUGGGUUGGUAUCGAACCAUCGACACUUAAACAUGAUGACUUGGUAUCGAUCUUUGUAAAGCAAUUGCACGACAGUUGUCAGUUUGCCAUAGAAAUCAAUGUCUGUACUUUCGCCUCCACCUGGGACAUGAACACCGCUAUUUUGCGUACACAACUUGUCAUCUCGUGCGGCCCCUAAAAAUUUGACGCCGUUAACAUUACAACCCGAGAACAAUUCAGCGCGAAUUGGGCCGAACGCCAAGUUAUAUAACUCAUCACUGUAAGUGGGGGAAUUCGAUGAUUUCAAUUUAUUCACCUAAUAGUAUACAAAACCAUUUACAUGUUAGUCUGACAAAAUUAAAUACUAAAAUUUAUAUUUGUCAAUUACAAAACACUUAUAACUUACAGAAUCCAAAAACCAUUGUGGAAAUAAUUCACGGUGUUUCCGGGCAACCAAAUGUGAUGGAUGUUCUCGCUUCAUCAUCUGUUCAUGCUCAUCUAAGUAGGCCAUUAUCUCAUCACAAUUGUUCAGUACGAACCAAUGCGCUACCUCCAUGUCAUUUCUAGAAAACGACUCUCCUCGUCCAGGAUCUCCAAAUGGUCGUGCGCUUUGGGCAAAAACAGAAAGUUUUUCAUUUCUCAUACCUCCGUCAUUAUUGCGGUGAGGACGAUUGAAAACCGUCUCCACAUCUUUUAAAUACAUUCCACAGAAAGUAAGCGACUCAUAUUGAACCCAAGCCUCUAUAAUUGAUCCUUCGGGCUUUGCCCUGUUGCGUACACUUUUUUUCAGCUCUCCGAGAAGCCUGCCAAAAUAAAACGAUAUGAUACAAAUUAGCAAAGUGUCGAUAAUGAUGCAUACACAAAUGAUAAAGAUUAUAUACCUUUCUAUUGGAUACAUCCAGCGAUAGUUGACAGGACCAGCAAGCAAUGCCUCUUCUGGCAAGUGAACCAUCACGUGCAUCAUACUUAUAAAGAAAGCUGGAGGAAAUAUCAUCUCAAACUUGCAUAGGACUUGGACAAUGUCAUGGCGCAACUGAAACAUGUCUGUCCUUCGCAAUGUUUUUGCCGUCAGUUGGGAAAAAAAUCUGGAUAACAACAUGAUUGGCUUCACCACAUCUUCCGGCAGUAAGUGUCGAAUACCCACAGGAAGUAGGCGUUGCAUGAACACAUGGCAGUCAUGGCUCUUAAGUCCAGUAAAUUUACCCCCAUCGACAUUCACGCAACGUGCGAUAUUAGAAGCAUACCCAUCGGGAAAUUUGACAGACGAUACAAACUUUAGAAACUCCUUUUUGUCAUUCGGUUUCAUAGAAAAGAAUGCAAGAUCCCUUCUAGCUUUAUCACUGUCCCUAUUCAUCCAUAAACCCCUUCGUAUGCCCAUUCUUUCCAAAUCAAGACGAGCUUUGAUCGUGUCCUUCGUCUUCCCCUCGAUAUCUAGAAUCGUGCCCACCAAUGUGUCGAAAACAUUUUUCUCAACAUGCAUCACAUCUAGAUUGUGCCUCAAUUUCAGUUUCGACCAAUAUGGGCGCUCAAAAAACAUAGACUUGUGCGUCCAGUUCAAAUGUGUAGAAGGUCGGGUCCGACUAACUGUUUUCCCGAACGGAGCAAAAUCCAAACGGUUCAGCUGUUCCAAGAUCUCAUCACCGGACCAUUCUCUAGGUCUGAGGCGACGCUCUGUGUUCCCGUCGAACUCUUUAUCUUUUUCUCGCCACUCGUGGUCCCAUGGCAACCAUCUCCGAUGACCAAGGUAACAAACUUUUCCCGCGUGCCAACCAGAAGUUACAUCUUCCUUGCAUACAGGACAUGCCAUAUAACCCUUUGUGCUCCACCCAGAAACCAUUGCAUAUGCUGGAAAAUCAUUCACAGUCCACAUAACUGCUGCUCGCAAAGUGAACAUCCUCCCAGUUGAUUUAUCGUACGUGCGAACACCGUUUGUCCAUAAAUCCUUCAGCUCAUCAACCAGAGGCCUUAAGUACACAUCAAUUGACCUGCCAGGAUCCUCAGUUAUCAAAACAGUCAUCAUCAUGUAUUCUUUUUUCAUGCAUUUCCAAGGCGGCAAAUUAUAUGGGAAUGCGAAAAUCGGCCAAGUGCUGUGGUGUUGGUUUAGAACCCCAUACGGAUUGAAUCCGUCAGUGGCAAGUCCCAAUCUAACAUUUCGGGGAUCAGCAGCAAAUUCGGGGAACGUUCGAUCGAACUCUUUCCAUGCCUCCCCAUCUGCAGGAUGCCGCAUCACAUCAUCGUCUACCCGUUUUUCCUUAUGCCAUCUCAUGUCUGUGGCAGUAUGCGUUGACAUAUACAAUCGCUGCAACCUAGGUUUAAGGGGCAGAUAACGCAUGACUUUUUGUGGUAUCUUAGUCGUUCUAUUCUGGGAUGUCAGUUUGAACCUCGACUCAUUGCAUAUAGGGCAUGUAUCCAACGUUUCAUGCUCUUUGUAGAAUAACAUGCAAUUGUUUUUGCAAGCGUGGAUUUUUUCAUAACCCAAUCCAAGACCGUGCAACACCUUCUGUGCAUGUUUAUGGUCUUUCGGCAAACAAUUGUCCGUCGGAAGCAUUCUCUUGAAAACCCCCAAAAAGUAAUCAAAACACAAGUUCGACAUACGAUACUUUAUUUUUCCGUGCAUUAGCUCCACAAUGGCAGUGAGAACGGAAAACCUCUCGCACCCCGGGUAUAACUCUUGGUUGGCAUUUUUUAACAGUUUUUCAUACUGUUCAAACUCCGCACUGUCUAUUGGUGUAGGCACGUCAUCUUCCCCUUCCUGAUUGAUGUUGGUCGAUGCGAAUGGAAAAGCAUCCUGUAUAAUACCCAUGACUUGAUCAUUAGGAUCCACAAUAGGUUCAACAUUGUCCACUCUCGGGGCAUUUGAAGACGAAGCAUGGUCUACUUGUUCGCCGUGAAGGUUCCAAAUGCUAUAUGUUUCAAUCAUUCCAUUCCUUACUAAAUGAAAUCCAACAUUUUCAAUUGUCUCCCACAACGUGUUGUUACACCUCCUACAAGGACAACGGAUUCUAGUUGCACCCGGGUUGUGUCUACGUGCAAACUCAAUAAAAUCCUCGAUUCCAUCCAAGUAUUCGUCUGCGCAUCUAUUCGGGUUCUGUAUCCACCUUCUGCUCAUAAUUCCUGAAACCACAAUCACGACACAACAAUCACAACAACUUCAUACGAAGUUAUAAUGUCACCUUAUGCCUCCGGUAAGGGCCCUAUCCCAUUCGGGAAUGCAUAGUCCUGUCACGUAACCUACGGCUACAUGAGAUUAGAUUUCGACGUGGAUUAAUUUCAGCAGCAUCUCGACACAGUUCUUGAAGUGGGCAUAGGUAUAAAUACCUACGUACCACCCGAAGAACGUACCGAGAUGACACCGAAAUCUCCACAAUCGAAACCUAAUCCUGUAGCCGAAGAUUAUGUGACAACACUAUGCAUUACCAAACUGUCCAAAUAAUGGGACAAUUCAAGAAUUAAUUGGACCGCAGUCAUGCAUUACGCAUCCAUGCACGAAAUUCAACUAAUCUCGAACGGGAAACUACGUGUUACUAAACAUAAAAAUAAAAGUACGAAGUUAAUUUCAAUUAACUUCGUACAUCACAACACAUUGUGCUAUGUCACGCACAAUUUCACAACAUUAUACACAUAUAACUUCACAAAAAAAUUACAAACAUAACAAACAAACUUUUACAAUAACAUACCUUCUCAAUCGUUCUCCACCAAUCACAAAUAUCCCUAACGAUAACAAAAUUAAUAGCGUUACUACGAAUUUACAUUAAUACAUUUAAACUAACGACAAAAAAUACAUACCCAAUGAACGUACUGAAUUCACAGUAGAGCAACGGCAGAGAGAGUGAGAGAGAGGUAGAAUGCAGUGGGAGAGUGAGAGAGAGGCAGAAUGCAGAAACUGCAUUCUGCCUCUGCAAUGGAACUGGCUAAAAUGAAGAAGAAGGACUUUGCGCGACUAACAAUCCAAUCCGUCGCGCAAAAUGCCGUCGCGAAAACCCACUUUUCCGUCGCACAAAAAAACAUUUCCGUCGCGCAAUUACCUGCCGACAUCAGGUUUUUUGCGCGACGAAUACAAUUAUCCGUCGCACAAACAUCCGUCGCGCAAAUAACAUUAUUCGUCGCGCAAGGUUUAUAUUACGUCGCGCAAAUAACACUUAUUUCGUCGCGCAAGAAAUUACACUUUACGCGACGAAGGUAAUUCCGUCGCGCAAAAAAGUUUUUUCCACCCUGCAUUUUGCCGCCAAAAUUAAGUAACCCUCGUUUUCUUACGCGACGGUACAUAUUUCCGUCGCGCUAAGGCGUCUUUUGCGACGAAAAUGUUCGUCGCGCAAGAUUCUGGCGCCAAAAACAUAAACUGGGGAUUUUUCCCCGACCUUUGCUCGACGAAAUUAGUUUUGGUCGCGCAUAGAUUGUUUGCGCAACGAAGAUUGUUCGUCGCGCUAGUGUUCUGCUGUUUGCGCUACGGUAUUUUUUUUUCGUCGCAAUAGUGAUUUUUGCGCGACGAAAAUAUAUUCGUCGCGCAAACGUCCGUCGCGCAAAUAGUAAAUCGUAGUAGUGUGAUUUGGUUUAGACUUGGUUUAAUUAUCAUUGUUGUGGUUGGUUCACCAAAAAGAUUUGGCUUAGAAUUACCAGUUUUGUUGUUGGUUUAGUUAUGCUUGGCAUUUGAGGAUCCUAUGCUUACUUGUAUGGGUAAUACAUUUUAUUGAUCGUUUCAUAUACUAAUUAUGAACUUUUAGUUCCAUUGUGCAUUUAAGAGUACACAUAUUUCAUAUGUAAUUCGAAAGUUUGUCGCUGAAAUUUCUGAGAAUUUGAAACUAGAUAAGCACACCUUGCACAAAGUUCAUAUAUUUUCUUCCAGCAAGUCUGUCUAUUAACCCCCCUUAUCUGAAAUUAAUUGUUAAAAGUUCUGAUUCAUCUUUAAUCAUUGUCUUACCCUUGUUGAAUAACACUCCUCAUUCUAAUUUAUAUUCGAAGUUUGAGGUUUCAAUUUCAAUUGUGGGCUUUGAUUUUACAGAUUUUGUUUGUCAAUUUCAAUUUGGACAAAGCAUAUGCAAACAAAGUAAGGCAUUAUCUAUUAUUUGGAUCAUUUCCAUAUGUUUAUAUGUUUUUAAUAUCAUUUGCCUAUGUAGUUGACAUGUUAUAACAUUUUCGUAGUGUUGAAUAUAUAUAUAUAAUAAUUUUAUUUUAGUGGAUGUGAGAUCUCAGUUUGUUGCUUUAUAUAAUUAUUUCUUUGCAAUUUAAUUUUUUUUAUCAGUCAUACUAUUGUUGACGGCUAAAAACCAUCAAGAAACAACUCUUAAGUUUUUUAAAAAAUAAAUAAAUAAAUAAAGAUUUGUUGAUGCUUAAAAAGCAUCAAGAAAAGAUAGUUUCUUGACGGUUUUGUGACGUUUCAUAACCGUCAUGAAACAUUACAUUUUGACGAACGUCUUUCUGAUAGUGGCAUCCGUGACGCUUUCCGAGCCAUCAAUUAAGGGCUAUCGUGAUGCUUUUUAGUUGUCAGCAAAAGGUGUUUUUCUUGUACUGUAUUCACUCAAAAUCGUUUUUCAUUUAGGGUUGCUAGUGUGGUUGAAUGCCAUUUGUUUUGUUAAUGAAUAUUAUACAUUAUGGAUUUUUGUAGAAAUGUCGCUUGAAAUUAUACCUCAGUUUCAAUUUGUCACCUUAAAGAAAAAUUUAAGAGAAAUGUCACCUUAAUUUUUCAAAAUCCACGAUUUGUCAUCUCACUUUAACAUCAUCCAAUUUUCCAUCUAUUUUAAGGGUAUUUUAGUCUUUUCAUUUUCAAGGGAAAAAAAGAGAGGAAGAAAAAGACCUCUCUCUUACUUUCUCCCCCAACCCAACCCCACCCGCCCCCCAAAACACAUCGCAUAGGACCGCCUCCCCCUUCCCCACAUUUCUUUUUUCUUUUUGGCCUACUUUUCCACUAUGUUUAUGUUGAAGGAUCUAAAGUUUUCUUGGUCACCAUCUAUUACGUAGGCUACCGACUUGUUGGUUUGGGUGGGUUGAGGGAAUUUGUGUGUGGAGGGCAGGUGUUCAUGUUGUGUGCACCAAGACCUUAUCGUUGAUGAACUAUGUGACGGCACACACACAAACUCGUUGAGAAUAAAACAAACAUACCACCAAGAGAGUAAAACAAACACACAAGGACACAAAGAUUUAUAGAGGUUCGGCCUCCUGCCUACGUCUUUUUGGUGAUUCACUCGAGAAAUUCACUAGUAUGUAAAAAUAACUUUGGUUACAACUGAACCCCCUUAGCCCUCACAAGAACCUUAGAUCUCUUUUCUCUCACCCUUGCUCAAACCCUUUGAUGCCCUUGUAGACACUCAAGAAUUCACCCUUGAAUUCUAUCUUGUGUUACAUCUUCUCUUCUCCCUUUUGUUAACCUAACCCUAAAAGUCCUAUUUAUAAUGCAUAGGACUUAAGUUACAAGUUAACUUGGAAUAGGAAACAUAAAAUACCCCAAAAAUUGGAGAAAAUCUGUCCAAAUCUAGCCUGCAAAAUCAUCCUUCUGCCGCUCGAGCUGCCGGUGGCGCUCAUGGGAUGGGGGAAUUGGAGAUUUUCUUUUCAAUUUUAAUUGUUUAAAAGAUAUACAAUUUUUUAUUAUAAUAAUUUUUCCAUUUUUAAAAUACACUUGAAAAUAGAAAGCUUAAAAUGCCCUUAAAAAUAGAUGGAAAAUUGGAUGGUGUUAAAGUCAGAUGACAAAUCAUGGAUUUUGAAAAAUUAAGGUGACAUUUCUCUGAAAUUUUUCUUUUAAAAGUGACAAAUUGAAACUGAGGUAUAAGUUCAGGCGACAUUUCUACAAAAAUCCCUAUACAUUACAAUAUUAUAACAAUAAAAUUGGCUAAAAUUGAUAUGUUCCCUCUUUUCUUUUCUUUUUCUCUUUUCCUUUUCAUUUUAUGCUUUGUUGCUAUUGCUAUGUUUAUCCUACAAAUAUAGCAACUUCUCCACCAUUCAUUUGUUAGUGACUACGAUGCUUAGUAACUUCUUCAGCUCCCCUUAUUUCCAUGUACUAACCAGGGACACCAGGUCAGCAUCUUCGGUAAGAAUCCUAACUCAAUCAAACAAUGACAUCUGUAAAUAUUCAAAAUUGGAAUUUGCAUUGUGAUAGUUGAAAGCAUCCUUGUCCCAAAAAAAGCCAAAAAAUAAAAUAAAAUUGAGAGCAUUAAGUCCUUUUCAAAUUAUGCUAAUAUGCAAAAUUGGAAUUUUGAUGGAGUUGCUUCCUUGACUUUUCCACCUUUGUAUCCAGUCCACUUUGCACAAGGAGCCAAGUUUGAGAGAUAGUUUUCUGUAUUUACACCAUCCAGGAGAAAAUUAAAAAACUAUUUCAUGCCAAACUAACUACGGAUUCUUGCAAAGGACCCAUUAGUGUAGUGGUUUGGAGUAUUUACUCCCUCAGGCAAGGUCUUGGGUUCGAGUCCUAGCAUUCAUGUUGUGUGUGUGAGUUUAAUAUGCUAUCACCCCUUCCAAUAGGAAAGGACCUCAAAAAAAAAAAAAAAACUACAGAUUCUUUAAUUGAAAGAAACCCCAUAUUAAUCAUCCUUUGGCACAUAAAUGUUUGGUAAUUGGCAUUAAAGUAUCUAAAGGUUACGAAAUUAAAGAUUUUAAUGCAAACCUAAAAUUGGAAAAGAGGGCACCAAUUCAUGUAAAAUAUGGUGUACUUAGUAGAUCCAACAUAUUUUUUUAGCAACCAAGGACAAUCAUCAUUUUUUUUUUUAAGAACCAAGGAUAGCUUACAUUCUAGUUUGUCCAUCAUGUCAACACAUUUAUAAUUAAAACUUCUUUUUUGGUGAGGUUUCAAUUUUUGUCACUGUAACAAGACCACAAUUGCCAUUCAGUAUGCUAACAUUGUCACUAUGUUUGCCAAUUGCAUAUUAUCUAGAACAUAAAGGCUUUGGUGUUUUGUAUAUCCUCGGGGUGCCAAACCUGUCUUUAUAAAAAUGGUCCUUAUGAUACUACUUUAACAACAAAAAAAUAUAAUAAACUAGGCCUUUGUAGUCACUGAACGAAUGUUUUCUCAUAGAUAUGACUAUUUAAAUGUAAUUACGGGAUUAAAACAUUAUAAUAAAUUGGAGUGAACCAUAACAUUAUAUAUGAUCCAAUCCUUUUCAUAUAUUUUUGUUCAAGACUUUGUUUUAGAAUGCUCUUUUACUAAUUUGGUACAGGUCCCUAAAAUCUACGCCUUUAUGAGGCAACGUCUUUAUUUCUUUGGUUAUUCCAGUUUAGAAUAUAUUUGUACAAAUGAGAUGACUCCCAACAUAAAGUCACAUUCAACCAAAAAGCAUGAAGUCACACACAAAAAGAACACGGACAAUUGCUAAGUUUAUCUUGUAUCCUUAUUUUAUUGAUCCAACCCAAUUGAAAAAUAAAAAAGAUGAUAUAAUAUAUUGUUCACUGCUUACAUCCAUGAGUAAAGUCCUCCAUUUGAAAUUGCGUGAUUAUACAAAAUUGGAAUGAAAAAAGAAAAUCCUACAACUAAAUUUGAUAUAUUCCUUUUCAUUUUAUGUUGGAUGUUAAGUUUUCUUGUUUCUUGUUGAAAAGAAAAAUGAAAAGAAAUAAAUAAAUUACACAGCUAGCAACUUCUCCACCUUCCCUUCUUCCCAUGUACUGACAACAAGGGAGGCCUUCAAUCCAAAAUAAAGACAAGGGAUGCCAGGUCAGCAUCUCAGAUAAGUAUCCCAACCAAAACCAAUCAAAUAAUGACAUAUGUAUCUCUUUUUGUGUUUUGUUCUAUUUCUCUUUGAAUUAACUGCGAAGUUUCAUAAGCGUGUCCUCCUUUUGAAAUUGUGUAUUAUUCAAAAUUGGAAUUUGCUGGUCAUACUUGAUAUAAGCUAAAACAGUUUCCAACAUCUUGUACCAUUUUUUUCCAGUGUGGGUCAUAACUUGAAGAAGCCCACCGACAAUUUCUCAAAAGCUAUUACCAUCCAACUUUGAAAAAUAAAAGUUUCAAAAGUUACCCCAAACAACAGCCCUUGAAAGAGAGUUUUCCAAGGCUAAAGAUUACAAGGAUGUUAUUGGCACAUGCAUUAACGUGUGACAAGAAGUUAGUUAUAUUUAUAAAGUAAAAGAACGAAGUACAUAACAUGUAAGUUGAUGCCAAAUAUUUGAUCAACAGAGCUAAACAUAAAACCACGACAAUAUAACGUUGUUCACCAAAAAUUGUGUUUCGUUGAGGGUCAGUAGUGUAGGUUUCAAGAUACGAUUUAUUUUGUUAAAGAAUAUUCUGAUAUUCUAACAAUAAAAUUGGCUCAAUUUGAUAUGUUUCUUUUUUUUUUUGUUUUUGUUUUCCCUUUCAUUUUAUGCUUUGUUGUGCUAUUGCUAAGUUUAUCCUAGAGACCAGGGAUGCUUAGCAAGUUUCUUCACCUGCCCUUCUUCCCAUGUACUAACUAGGGAUACCAUGUCAGAAUCUUAGAUAAGAAUCCCAACCCAAUCAAACUAUGACAUCUGUAAGUAUUCAAAAUUGGAAUUUGCAUUGUGAUAGUUGAGUGGAAGAAUCGAUUAAGGCUUGAGUGGAAGACAAACUUCAGUGGAGGAAAGUAAUUAAUCUCACAAGACAUAGCCCAUCAGUUGGCUCAUUUUUCUUGAGUGUGUAGUCCUGGCCUUGAGGCGAGGCCACAUUGCUUUGGAGAUUUCUUUCUACUUGGUGAAAUUAUAAUUUAGAAGAAGCAAACUGCGUUUUGCAAUUUGUGCGAUUCAAGCAUAUCUGACACUAGUAAUUAGACCAUAAUCUUUGUCCGACCAGAAAAUAAGAAAAGUUGUCUUGUACCAUUUCUGCCAGUGUGGGUCCCACCCACCCCAUACGAGUAAUUUGAAGAAGUCCACCGACAAUUUCCCAAAAGCUUUGGCGUCCAACUUUGCCGACCCCAUCCCCAUGUGAGGCCAUAGAAAAGUUUUCAGCCACAAUCAAAGAAGGGAACAGUCCUUGAAAAGAGAGGGUUUUCCAAGGCCAAGAUUACAAGUUCAUGUUAUUUACAGUCUCAAAAAGCUUCCAUACUUGUUUACAAACCUGUAUUUUCAAGUUGUGCUAGCCUAGCUAUUUGCAAAUCUUGGAAUAUUUUACUUCAUCCAAAUCCCUUGCAGUCUGCAGAGAAGAUAAAAGACAUGGCUUUGAUUGGAGAGGCUCUUAUCUCUGCUUCCGUCCAGGUGUUGUGCGACAGAAUUACUUCACCCGAGUUCGUUGACUUAUUUUGGCACAAGAAACUCGAUGAGCCACUCCUCAGGAAGCUGAGGACGACACUGUUGGCCUUGAACUUGGUGCUCAAUGAUGCAGAGGGGAAGCAACUUGUGAACCGAGAUGUGAAAAAGUGGCUUGACGAGCUCAGACAUGCUGUCUUUGAUGCGGAGGACUUACUGGAUGAGAUUGACACUGAAGCUUUGCGAUGCAAGCUGGAAGAAGGUGAAGAUCAAACUCACAAAUUUACCAAUAAGGUGCGGAACUUGCUCUUUUCUCCUCGUAGUCAUUUUUAUCAGAGCAUGAAUGAUAAGAUAAAAGAGUUACUAGCAAGGUUAGAAAACUUUGUACAACUGAAAAGUGCUCUUGGUCUGGGAGAAGUUGCUGGGAGGAAGGUUUCGCAAAGAACUCAAACAACCUCCUUGGUUCUUGAACCUUAUGUAUAUGGUAGAGAUGAAGUCAAAGAAAAGUUAUCAAAAGUGUUGCUAUCUGAUGAAGCAGGCAAGGAUCCUGUGUCUUUCCUCACCAUUGUUGGAAUGGGUGGGGUUGGCAAGACAACCCUUGCUCGAAUGCUUUACAAUGACGAUAAGGUGAAAGGGCAUUUUAAACUUAAAGCUUGGGCUUGUGUUUCAGACUACGAUGAUUAUAUUAAAAUUACUAAAACUCUCCUUGAGGCAGUCACUUCAAAGCCUUGUAACACGGCAAAUCUGAAUUUGCUUCAAAAAGAUCUAAGAGAGCAAUUGAGGGGAAGGAAAUUUUUAUUUGUGUUGACCUAUGGAAUGAGAAUAAUGAGGAUUUGAACUACCUUAGAGCUCUUUUUAUUACUUUAGGAACAAUGGGAAGUAAAGUCAUUGUAACAACACGGAACAAAAAUGCAGCAUCUGUCAUGCAAAAUGUUCAUAUUCAAUACUUAGAACCAUUGUCGUAGGAGGACUGCUGGUUAUUACUUGCAAAACAUGCAUUUGGAAAUGAAAAGUGUAGUGCACAUUCAAACUUGGAAGACAUUGGAAAGCAAAUUGCACUCAAGUGCAAAGGGUUGCCUUUAGCUGCACAAACACUUGGGAGUUUGUUACGUUGCAAUAUGGAUUUCGAGUACUGGAAUAGAAUACUAAAUGAUAGUUUUUGGGACCAACCCUAUGAUAAAACUAACAUUCUUCCGGCUCUAGGGUUGAGUUACCAUUAUCUUCCUACUCAGUUGAAACGAUGCUUUGCUUAUUGUUCAAUUUUUCCAAAGGAUUAUGAGUUUGAAAAGGAAGAUAUAGUUCAAUUAUGGAUUGCAGAAGGUAUAAUUCCACAAGCUGAGAAUGGAAAAAGGAUGGAAGCAUUGGCUAGAAUAUACUUUGAUGAGCUGUUAUCACGAUCGUUGUUUCAAAAGUCAAGUAAAUUCAGCUUCAUUAUGCAUGAUCUCAUUAAUGACUUGGCUAUGUUCAUGUCUCAGGGGUUUUGCCUUAGGCUCGAAGAUGGGGUAUCCCGUGAAGUUAAAAGAGCUCGUCAUUUGUCAUAUGCUAGGGGAGAAUUUGAUGCUGCUCCAAGAUUUGAACCAUUAUAUGAGGCUAAAUGUUUGCGGACCUUCCUACCUACCAUUUGUUGUGGGCAAAUCUACUGGAUCAGGCAUAAGAGAACUGAGGCAGUUCCCGCAACUUCGAGGAAAACUAUCAAUUUUGAAGCUACAAAAUGUAGUUGAUGCGAGGGAUGCACUGCACGCCAAUAUGAAGCACAAGAAAGAUCUCAAGGAGUUAGAGCUUUCAUGGGGUGCGGAGGAUGCUGAUGAUUCCCAAAAGGAGAAAGAUGUACUCGACAAGCUCCAGCCUUGCGUGAAUUUGGAGAAAUUAACCAUCAAAUUCUAUGGUGGAACUAAUUUUCCGAAUUGGUUAGGAGACUCGUCUUUUUCUAACAUACAAGUCAUGCAUCUCAGUGACUGUAGUUAUUGUUGGUCGCUCCCACCAGUUGGACCGCUACCGGCACUCAAACAGCUCUGUAUAAGAAGAAUGAAGUUUGUGAAGACGAUUGGCGUUGAAUUCUAUGGCAGAAAUGGAGCUUAUCUGACUCAGCCAUUUCGAUCUCUGGAGAAGCUAGAGUUUAGGGAGAUGCCAGAGUGGGAGGAAUGGGUACCAAGUGGAAGUGCAAGUGGAGGUGAAUAUGGUCCAGACUUUCCUCGUCUCCAGGAGCUGAUUCUAUACGAGUGUCCGAAGCUAAGAGGAAGUUUGCCUUGUGAGUUGCCUUGCUUGAAGAAGCUUACGGUGUAUGGGUGUAAGGUUUUACAUGAUGGAAGGGCCAUUACCGCAACUACCAAUAGUCUUAACUAUAAAUCUCUGGAAGAAUUGAAUAUAAGUGGUGGAUGCCAAACUCUGUUAUCAUUAUUAGAGACAAAGCUCCUGUCCGGACUUGAGAUUCGAAAUGUUGUUGACAUACAGUGCUUGCCCAACUGCAGUCGUCUUCAACAUUUGACUCUUUCGAAUUGUCCAACGCUGUCAUCAUUUCCCAAAGAUGGCCUACCCACUACAUUGACAUCACUUUAUAUAAACAAUUGUAGGAAAUUAGAAUUCCUACCUCAUGAGAUGUUGGCCAAAUUAACAUCGCUUGACUAUUUGUGCAUACAAAAUAGCUGUGAUUCAAUGAGGUCCUUCCCGUUGGGCAUUUUUCCCAAAUUGACGAGGCUUGAAAUUCGUGGUUGUGAGAAUCUGGAAUCCCUUUCCUUGAUUGAAGAAGAAGGAGCUGUUGAGAAUCUCAGCCAUCUCAAUUACUUGCAAGUCUAUAACUGUCCAAAAAUGGUGUGUUUUCACGAGGGAGAAUUGCCCACUCCCAACCUGAGUCACUUUGUAGUCGGUGGUUGCGAGAAUUUGAAGUCAUUGCCCAAAAGCCUUCACACCCUCACUGCCCUUCGAUCUUUGUCGAUAUGUAAUCUUCCGAAUCUGGAGUCAUUUGCAGAAGAUGGGGGUUUGCCUCCCAACCUCCGACAAGUAAGUAUUAGGAAUUGUGAGAGACUGAGGGCUUCAUCAGUGGGUUUGCAAGCACUUGACUCCCUUGAGAUCAGUGGAAGUGACCAUGUAUUCUCUAUCACACUCUUCACAUCUAUUCUCUAUCAACUCUGAAAUCUUUGGACGGAAAGGGUCUUGGACACCUCACUUCUCUUCAAGAGCUAGAUAUUAACAGGUGUCCAAGUCUGGAAUUCCUGCCAGGAGAGGAACUUCAACACCUCACUUCUCUUCAAAAUCUAUACAUUUGGAACUGUCCCAGUCUUCAAUGCUUGCCAGAAGAGGGUUUUCCAUCAUCUCUUUCUCAUCUGAGUAUCCGCCGGUGUCCUACCCUGGAGGAAAGGUAUAAGAAUAAAACGGGACGAGAUUGGGCCAAGAUAUCUCACAUUCCUUGCAUCGAGAUAGGCAACGAAGUGAUCAUAUAAUAUGAGCUAUUCCAUAUUUCACGCUCAACCCUCAACUCUCAAAUCAAAGUCAGGUGAGGUAUGUGCCUUCUCUUACUUUAAAAAACUGCUGCUCAAUAACACUCUUCGCACUCUAUAUAUUAUGGCCUGUCAGUCUAAAAUUCCUGCCAGGAGAGGAACUUGAACGCCUCUCUUCACUGCAAAGGCUACAUAUUUGUGGGUGUGACAAUAUCCAAUUCCUGCCAGAAGAGCGUUUGCUGCAAUCUCUUUCUUAUCUGUGCAUCGACCAUUGUUUUGCCAUGUAGAAAAGGUAUCUCACAUUCCUUGCGUCAAGAUAGGUGAAGAAGUGAUCAUAAGAUAUGAGCUCUCUCUCCCUCUCGCUCACAUACAAAGUACUUAAAACACUCAAUCUGAUUUCUAUUAUUAUUUUGCUCAGUAAAUUUUGUUUAAAUUUGCUUUGUUUCUCAUUGCGCUUGUUCUGCUUAUCACAACUUAUAUCCUAUUUAAAUCUCAAAUGCUGAAUAGUUAGCAGUCUUUUCGCAGGACAGCAUAUCUUCUCUUGGAGAGCUAUUCAUUUGCAAGGUUUCUUUAUGUGUCAUUUCCAGAGGAGGGUUUACUAUUUAAUAGAAAGGUUCACCUGGAAUAUCUCAAAUGACACAUUCCCAAAUACAGGCAUUGAAUGCACAACAUUUUGAGGUACUAUUUUUGUAAUAAAAAUGUACUUGAGUCUCAUUUGAGCUAGUUUAAAUUGUAUUCAAUGUCUAUGGAUAACCUGUGAGCUUAAGUUGUAAGAUAAAACUCACAGUAUAUUAUUAGGGUUUAGGGUUCAACAGGUGAGCUUAAGUUGUACUUUCCUAGGUACUGCAUGUAUAUUAUCUUAGUAUCAACACUUGGUCUUAUGUGGACGAGAGAGAACAUUUGAGGAAUUACAAAAUCUUCUUAGUGAAUUAAGCUUGUUUCAGCUCUGUUUGUCAUCCCUCACAUUUUCUUUGUUAAGCCUUGAUUUUUUAUUAGACAUACGAAAAAAUGCUUUUAUAAGACAGGAGAUGAAUGCUUUUAUAUGUUGAUGUCGUAGUCAGUCUUCAACCACACUCUGUUUUUAGAAUUCAUUUAUGUUACUAGUUGAGAGCUGCUGUAUUUUAUAUUUCGUUCCUGUAAUGUUUGGAUGUUUAGCUUGAGCAGUCUAGCUUAUCCAGUAGAUAACUUGUCCCCUGUUUUGUAAUGUUUUUGUUUCCUCUAAUGAAAGCAGGUUUUACUUAUCUUGAACUGCAGAAGCCUACUUUUUGACAUAGGUGGCAUGGCACAAACUCGCAUCCGCAUUUCCAUCCCCAUUGGCAUGCUGUCUCAUCUUUUCUAUUCUGUUACCAGCUUGAAGCUUGUGUGGACAUGUUAUGCUCUUGUAAUUCUGAUCACAAACAUCACUUGACAAAUGGAAAGUCACAAUCAGAUCUUUCAGGUGAUCUGGAGGUUUACUUUCUAACAUUUGUUUUCGUGGGGGGGAGACAACAAUACAGAAUUUAAAAUUUCUGAUAAUCAAUAGUAGUUUGCAUAUAUCAGCUGGGACCUGUAUGACUGUAUUAUGUAAUUAAUUAUUUCUCUUAUUGUUUGGGUACUGUUAAAAGGAGUUAGCCACACAACAUAAAAAAGGAGGUCUCUUAUUUCAUACAAUUUUUCAAAUGUGAUCAUUAAUCCGUUUCUUUUUCAACAAUAGAGGAAUGUAUACUAAUCGUCUGGUCCAUCUGCUGCUUCACUCCCUAGUAGCUUCAUCUCCUGUCCUUUGCUUUAUUUCUGUUGAUGAAUGUUUUGUCUGGGUUAUUUAUUUUCAUUUCAUGUCCAUUGCUUUAUUUCUGUUUGGAUUCUUAAUUAAAUCUGUCCUGGACUUGAACAAGGGUUAGGUUAGCUGUAUAAUUUGCGGUUUUAUAUACACAACUGUCUACAUUGAUUAAAACCAGCAUUAUUCUAAGGUUCAUUUAGAAUGUAUUAUCACCAAAAUUAUAAAGAAUACUUCUAUUACAAUUAAUUUGUUGAUUCUAAUUUGGACUUGUAGGAACAGACCAAACAUGUUCAUGCGUGGCAUUGCUCAAGUCAUCAUCAUUCGAGACAGAGAAUAAGCCUUCAAGUGUCUGCUGAGUCAAUGAACCUUUCUAGAUAUCUCAAGUGUAAUGGAAAUUGAUGAGUUACAAAGGAUUUGUAAACAUUUUCUACUGGAGGCUAGAAAUGCUUCAAAUAAAUGACCGUGUUGCAAUUAUUUUGUAGGAUCAAAGACUCUGCAAAGAGGUAAGAAAGUCAUCAUCAAGUAACUUUGCUCUUCAAACUUUUUAUUUUUAUUUUUAAAUAUCAGUAAUAACUGGGAAAGCUUGCAUCUCCUUAAAUUGCUCAUUCUUACAUCUUUUAUAGUUUGUUGAUCUUGGGCAAGUGGAGAGAGAGGCGUCAAGUGAUACGCAACAACCAUUUUCUGUGAGCUGAUUUGAUAAAGAGAAAUGGUAUGCUUUCUUGUCUUAAGCGGUGUGUUCUGCAAUUAUUUGAAACAAAGGAUGCCGCACUUCAAGUUCGAGAAAAUCAGGUAUUUUAGUAUUUUAUUCUUGAGAAAUUUGAUUUAUGUAGAAACUUGAACAUGUAAAUAAAAUAAAUAAAAUAUAUUAUAUGCUGUUAAUGAGUUAAUAUGGUGCUUGCUUCUAGUUGGAAAUUUAUGUAGUCAUCUACCUAUGAUCAAAUAAAGAUGAAGAAUAAAAUAUAAUUGAGAGCAUCUUCCUCUCCCCUGCUUUGCUCAUCCCUUGUUCUUCCACUUCAGCCCCACUAUUACACCAUUUUUUCAGCCACAAUUAUAAUAGCUCCAUGAGCAUUAAGUCCUUUUCAAAUUCUGCUGACAUUCAAAAUUGGAAUUUGCUGGUGAUAUAUGAUAGCAUCUUUGUCCGACCAAAAAGAGAAAAAAAAAAAGUUGAUAGCAUAUUGUACCAUUUUGGCCAGUGUACGCAAUAUUAUUGCAUCCAACUUUGCAUAUUAACAUCAGUGGCCACAGUUCCAUGAUUUGAGUGCACAGAAAAGUUUCAAAAGUUGUCCCACAAAGAACAGUCGUUCAAAGUGAAAGAGAGAUUUCAAAGCUUAAUUACAAGUUCAUGUUAUUUACAAUAUCAAAAAGCUUUCAUACUUGCUUACAAACCUGUAUUUCCAAGUUCUGCAAACCUUGGAAUAUCACUUCAUCCAAAUCCCCUUCCAAAGCAGGAAAAAAUGGCAGCAGCUUUGAUUGGAGAGGCUCUCAUCUCUGCUUCUAUCGUGGUGUUGUGUGACAGAGUUACUUCAGCCGAGUUCAUAGACUUAUUUCAGCAGAAGAAACUUGAUGAAACACUCCUCAUGAACCUGAAGACGACACUGUUGAUUUUGUUUGCGGUGCUCAAUGAUUCAGAGGAGAAGCAAAUUGUGAACCCUGAAGCUUUGCGAUGCAAGCUGGAAGGUGAGGAUCAAACCCACAAUAAUUAACCAAAAAGGAUCUUUUUGAUUGUUUGAAAGGAGGGUCUUGAUGAUUUGAAAGGAGAGGGUUGCUUUAUUUCUGUUGGAUGCUUAAUUAAAUCUUAUUUGGAGUUGAACAAGGAUUAGGUUAGCUGUAUAAUUAGUGGUAAACGCCUUUUUCUAAGGGUCAUUUAGACUCCUAUUACGAUUAAUUUGUUGUUUCUAAUUUGGACUUGUAGGAACAGACCAAAUAUGUUCACACGUGGCAUCGCUCAAGUCAUCAUCAUUUCAGACUGAAAAUCAGCCUUCGAGUGUCUGUUGAGUCAAUAAACCUUUCUAGAUAUAUCAAGUGCAAUGGAAAUUCAUGAGUUACAUAGAGAUUUUUAAACAUUUUGAAGAUUGCAACACCUGCAAGUGAGAUAGGCGGUGACGAAAUCAGAGCUGAUUUUGAAGCCUCUGAUGCCCCUGUUGUUGCAAGUUGCACCUGAGAACAAGUUUUUUUUUUCUUUGGGGUAAAAAACUGGCAACAUGUUCGGAGCUGACAAUUCAAUCCCUGAUGAACUAGAGAAGCAAAGCUCCGGUAAGGAAAUUGGUCAAGGUUGUGACAGGGAUGAUUGAUGGUGAAAUGGAUGCUAUUUCUUAUUGCAGCCUGUUCUCAAAGUUCUUGUUGGCAAAUGCAAUUGAUGGAGUAUUUUGAUUGGGAGGAGAGAUAAUGACAUGGCUUGACAAUUCUAGAACAGCCCAUCAUUAAUCCCAGAAAAAAUCCCGUUUCUGCUAAACAAUCACUUAUGGCAAGGCCAACUCUGUAAAUGGAAUUUGUGAUCCCUUCAAAUUGUACACAUUUUUUCUUUUUGAGGAAUUUAAUCAAACAGUAUUCUAAUGCAUUAUGAUAGCACUACACGCUUUUGUUGUAACAAAUUACAAGGAGGAAUUUGGAUUGAGUUUCUUGUAUAAGCACACCUUACACAAAUUUCGUAUAUUUUCUUCCAGCAAGUCUGUUUAUUAACCCCCUUAUCUGAAAUUAAUUGUUAAAAGUUUUGAUUCAUCUUUAAUCAGUGUCUUACCCUUGUUGAAUAACACUCCUCUUUCUAAUUUAUAUUUGAAGUUUGAGCUUUCAAUUUCAAUUGUGGGCUUUGAUUUUUCAGAUUUUGUUUGUCAAUUUCAGUUUGGACAAAGCAUAUAUGCAAACAAAGUAAGCAUUUUAUGUUAUACUUUUGAACUAGGUGUUGAUUUGAUUUAAUCAUAAGUUUUGCUGGUGCAUUUACUAGGCUAAUCAUUCAAUACUUUUGAUCAUAGAACUUCUUUGGUUGAUAUUAUCUUUGUUAAGUUUAACCAUAACUUUAGAGAGGGGACUUCAACAGAUUUAUAAUCUCAUCAUUAUAGUAUUAAAAAUUAGAGAUUAUUUAAGGCAUUGUCUAUUAUCUGAAUUCUGCUUACUUUUAGUUCAUAUGUUUACAUCUUAGCAUAUUCAUGUGAUUAGUGCGGCUCAUACCACAAAGGCAAUUUUAGGCUCAUCAAGUGCUAAGCAAUGUCAAGCUUCCAAAUGACAAGUUCUCUACAUAGUUUGAGACCUACACUUACUAGAUAUUAGAUCAUUUCGAUCAUUUCCAUAUGUUUAUAUGUAAUUGACAUGUUAUAACAUUUUUGUAGCGUUAUAUAAUUAUUUAGCAAUUUAAUUAUUUCUUUGCAACUUAAUUUUUUUUGUCAAUCAUACUAUUGUUGACUGCUAAAAACCAUCAAGAAAUAGUUCUCAAGUUAUAAAAAAAAAAAAAUUUUAAAAAAGAUUUGUUGAUGCUUAAAAAGCAUCAAGAACAGAUAGUUUCUUGACGGUUUUGUGACAUUUCAUAACUGUAGGGGGCUUUUUCUUCCGACAGCUGUAAAUGGGCUGGGCUGCCGUAAAGGGCAGACUGAUGAAAUUGUCCCCUUUUGUAUGAGCUCAAAAAUUAAGCCCCAAAAUACUUUGAAAGGGCAGCAGAGCCUUAGGAAGUAUUUUGGUUACCCUCACCAACUAAAACAACAACAACUUACAGGUAAUUACUUAAUGCUUAUGGAUGAACUCUUGAGCUUGGCAUGAGAGACAUAUGGCAUGGAAGCAAAAUCAACAUGAGUUUAGCACUGAGGGGAAAUUUAGGCUCUCUUGGGGGAAAAAGGGAAGUGUUAAGGUGAGAGAGGAGAAGUUUGUAGGAGAUUUAGCUAAGAAAGGAGAAAUAUAGAACAAUGCUCUUUUGGCAGCUUGACAGAUGCUCUGUUUGCCAGAAAAGGAAGAUGGAGAAGAAAUGUGAAUAGUGCAAGAGUUUGCUAGAUUUUUGCAGGUAAGAGAGGAAGCUUGCUCUCUGGGUCUGAGUUGAGUUUUUUUGUGUGGAAGAGACCUCAUUUUAUAGCCCUUGGAAACCAUCACUUCCCAAGAAACCCUAAUGGCUUCUACCCAUUUUGGCCAAGCUUUUCCCUUCCUUUCUCAUUUCCUUCCUUGACUUUACCCCUCUUGAUGAAAUCCCCUCUGCCUAUUUGCACCAUAUCAGAGUUUUUUGAAGCUCAAGGCCCCUUUUUCCCGCAGUUGUCUCAAUGGGAGACUUCCAUUCCCAGUCAUCUCCUUUAUUGCUUUCCUUUCUUUUUUUCAUGGCCAAGUUUGGUGGGGAAAGGAGUUGGGAUAUAUAUGCUGGUUUGAAGGGUGCUUCUCUUCCUGGCAUCUUACACACUAAUACCCCUUGGUUCCUUGAAUGUUUUGGCUUUGAAACUUGCUCUCCCCCCCCCCCCCCCCCCCCCCAUGUACUGGAACCUACCAGCAGCUCUAUUCAAUGAAUCUUCAGACCUUCUCUUCGUGGCUUUUAUUUUUUAUCAACGGGCUGGGGCUUUUGUGGCUCAUUGUGGCAAUUGUAUGGGCUAAGGUGGUUCAUUAAGUAAGUGGGCUAUUUUUAUUAAACAUUAGGCUUUUUGGUUGAGUCACUAGGCUAUUUUGAUUGGGCUAUUGGGCUAUUUUUUUCCUCUCUUGUGCUCACCCACAUGUUUGGACCAAAGAAAUGAGCUUGAGUCCUGAGGCUCCCAAGCGACCCGAGACUUUCCAUUUCUGGCCCAUCAAUGGGCCUCAUGUUGAUUUAUUACCAUCCAUACCACAACCCACUCAAGCAGGCUCCGGGCAUUUGAAUGACUUGGGCGCACUUAGGCUUGUAGUGUGGUUGGGUGCGAAAUAACGAUUUCGUGCUUGGCAUGUUUUAAUUUUAUCAUCCUUGGGAAAGGCUGCGAUGUUUGAUUUCGGCAUGGGCUUGUAGAGCUGGUAUGCUUUAUUUCAACUCCUAGCAUGACGAAUUAUUUAUUUAGCAUGGCACGUGAAUUACAACUCGCAUGUGGUGGGUUUUUGUGUACUACACCUUACGCCUCUUCUUAAUAGAACAUCGUUUUGGGCUGAUAAUUUAUUCGGGCCAAACCGUGAAUUUUUUGGGUCUCAAUAAUAACCAUCAUGAAACAUUACAUUUUGACUGACGUCAAGAAAUGGGGUAUCCCUUUCCUGAUAGUGGCAUCCAUGAUGCCUUCCAAGCAGUCAAUUAAGGGCUAUCGUGAUGCAUUUUAGUUGUCAGCAAAAGGUGUUUUUCUUGUACUGUAUUCACUCAAAGUCGUGUUUCAUUUAAGAUUAGUAGUAUGGUUGAAUACCAUUUGUUUUGUUAAAGAAUAUUAUACAUUAGGGAUUUUUGUAGAAAUGUCAUUUGAACUUAUACCUUAGUUUCAAUUUGUCACCUUGAAGAAAAAUUUAAGAGAAAUGUCACCUUAAUUUUUAAAAAUCCAUGAUUUGUCAUAUGACUUUAAAAUCAUCCAAUUUUCCAUCCAUUUUAAGGGUAUUUUAGUCUUUUCAUUUUGAAGGAAAAAAAAGAGAUGAAAAAAGAGACCUCUCUCUUACUUUGUCCCUCAACCCAACCCCACCCGCCCCCCAAAACACAUCACAUAGGAUUGCCUCCCCCUUCCCCACUUUUCUUUUUUCUUUUUGUCCUACUUUUCCACUAUGUUUAUGUUGAAGGAUCUAAAGUUUGCUUGGUCACCAUCUGUUACGUAGGCUUCCCAAUUGUUAGUUUGGGUGGGUUGUGGGAAUUUGUGUGCUCGAAACCCGAGACGAAUCUUGUGGAAUUCCCGACAUCACACCGAUGCCGGGCCCACUUCUGAACUAAAUUCUCUUUUCCAAAAUUAAGGAAAAAGAGUACGAGGCUUUCUGCCGAAAUUUCGACAGAGUAUUCCCUAUAAAUUUAACAUUUCAGCUUUGGUGGCCGUUCUCUCAUUUCAGCUUUGGUGGCCGGAUGAGAGAACGGUCGGCUAAAACGUGGCCAGCUGGCACUGCCGUCGCGAGAGAGAGAGAGAGAGAGAGAGAGAGAGAUUUUUAUCAAAUCAUUUUUGCCAAAAUUACGAUUAUGCAACUGAGGGUAUUUUGAUCGUAUCUUUUUCAUUAUAACUCUGAUUCAAGCCCACUACGUGUUUACGGACUCAUCUCGCCGUGCUCUAUGCAAUUGUAUAGUUGAAAUUCCCAAAUUCCACCCCAGUCAAAAAUUCAACUUUAAACCCUACAAAAUAUUAUAGGGGCAAAAUGGUCUUUUAUCUAAUUAAAUUAAUAAUUGAAAAUUUAUUUAGGACCGGGUUGUUACACUGUCGUUGAUGGACUGUGCGAUGACACUCACACAAAGUCCUUGAGAAUAAAACACACACACACCAUGAAGAGAGUAAAACAAAUACACAAGUACACAAAGAUUUAUAAAGGUUUGGCCUUCUGCCUACGUCCUCUUGGUGAUCCACCCGAGAAAUUCACUAGUACGUAAGAACAACUUUGGUUACAACUAAACCCCCUUAGCUUUCAUAAGAACCCUAGAUCUCUUUUCUCCCACCCUUGCUCCAACCCUUUGAUGCCCUUGUAAACACUCAAGAAUUCACCCUUGAAUUCUGUCAUGUGUUACAUCUUCUCUUCUCCCCUUUGUUAACCUAACCCUAAAAGUUAUAUUUAUAAUUCAUAGGACUUUAAGUACAAGUUAACUAGGAAUAGGAAACAUAAUAGACCUCAAAAAUUGGAGAAAAUAUGUUUAGAUCUCGUUAGGAAAUUGCACAACACGUGCGAUCCGCUCGAGCGCCUGCAAAAUGAUCCCUUUGUCGCUCAAGCUGCCGAUAGCUCAUGGGAUGGGGGAAUUAGAGAUUUUUUUUUUUUUCAAUUUUAAUUGUUUAAAAGAUAUACAAUUUUUUAAUAAUAAUUUUUCCAUUUUUAAAAUACCCUUGAAAAUAGAAAGAUUAAAAUGCCCUUAAAAAUGGAUGGAAAAUUGGAUUGCGUUAAGGUCAGUUGACAAAUCAUGGAUUUUGAAAAAUUAAGGUAACAUUUCUCUUAAAUUUUUCUUUAAAGUGACAAAUUAAAAUUGAGGUAUAAGUUCAAGUUACAUUUAUGCAAAAAUCCUUAUACAUUAUGAUAUUCUAACAAUAAAAUUGGCUAAAAUUGAUAUGUUCCCUCUUUAUUUUCUUUUUCUCUUUUCCUUUUCAUUUUAUGAUCCAAUCCUUUUCAUAUAUUUUUGUUCAAGACUUUGUUUUAGAAUGCUCUAUUACUAAUUUGGUACAGGUCCCUAAAAUCUCGGAGCCGCCUUAGUACAUUCAUAAUGUACAUGUUCAGAGUUCAAGAAUAAUGUAUAGAAUGUGAAAUUGACGAUGCCGGCCUUUAUGAGGCAACGUCUUUAUUUCUUUGGUUAUUACAGUUUAGAAUAUUUGCACAAAUGAGAUGAUUCCAAGCAUAAAGUCACAUUCGACCAAAAAGCAUGAAGUCACACACAAAAAGAACACGGACAAUUGCUAAGUUUAUCCUUGUACCCUUAUUUUAUUGAUCCGACCCAAUUGAAAAUUAAAAAAAGAUGAUAAAAAAUAUUGUUCACUACUUUAAAAUCUAUGAGUAGAGUCCUCCAUUUGAAAUUUCGUCAUUAUACAAAAUUGGAAUGAAAAAAGAAAAUCCUACAGCUAAAUUUGAUAUAUUUCCUUUUCAUUUUAUGCUGGGUGUUAGGGCUUGUCAAUGGGCCGGGCUAGGCUAGCCCGGCUCAAAUUUAAUGGGCUUGGGCUAGGCCGGGCCAAGCUUUAAAGAGGAGAGAGAAAAUAUCCGGCCGAGUUUUUUAAGAAAAUUCAAAGCCCAAGCCCGAAUCACUGCUGUCUAGCCCGGCCCAAAUUUAAUGAGCUUGGGCCAGGCCGAGCCAAGCUUUAAAGAGGAGAGAGAAAAUAUCCGGCCGAGUUUUUUAAGAAAAUUCAAAGCCCAAGCCCGAAUCACUGCUGUCAUUUCAUUGAUUUGUGACGAGCACAACCACCAAAUCAGAAUUUACUCACGAAAAUAUCAAGUAUGUCUAGCAAAUUUCAAUUUUGAAUAAUACACAAUUUCAAAAGGAGGACAUGUUGCAAGACAGCAUACCUUCUCUUGGGGUGCUUUUCAUUUUGCAACAUUUCUUUACGUGUAAUUUCCAGAGGAGGGUUUAUCAUUGUAUAUAGCUUUUCGGGUGGUUUGUCUACAAAACAAAUGUCACAAAGAAGGAGGAGAAACGGAAAAGAUUUACUUGGAAUGUCUCAAGUCUCCUUUGAGAUAAAGGCAUCGAAUGCACAACAUUGCUUUUGUGCUAUUUCAUAAUUAAAGUGUGCUUCCCAAGUCUCCUUUGUGUUUUGUAACUUGUAAUGUUUGUUUUUUUGUUUCCCCUGUUUUCCCUCUUAUAAAAGAAAUACAGGUCCAAACCACACGGAUCUACUUGCAUAAUAAUGGACCAAAUUUAUGAUUUUUAGAAAGAACCUUCUGCCGGUGGAAUCUUGGGCUACUGUUGUGGCUCUCCUCUGUGUGCCUCCUUUUUAGAACGGUAAAAUAUUCAAAAUACUAGAAAAUGUUCGUGAUUAAUAUAAAUAUUAAGAAUUGAAAUUAUUAAUUAAAUGAGGAUAAUAUGGUAAAUUCACACUUUUUUAUAUUAAAAAAAUUAAAAUUAAAAGAAAAAUCAGAUAAUUGAUAUUAUUUUUAUGGAACACAGCUACUCAUUAUCUUUUUUAAUUCUAAAAUAAAUUUAAAUUAAAGAAAAAAACCCCUCUCACAGGCACGGAAGCGCGUGCUCAGAGGCUAGUUAAAAAUAAUGAACUUUGCUUCUGAAGACGUCUAUACCAGACCCACUCAACCUGCUUUAUGAUUAUACAAAGAACAAACUCGUCCUUAGACUCAUUUGGUUAAACUUAGAAAAUAAUGAAACAAAAAUAUGCACUCCCACAAGUAACACAGCCAGGAUUGAAAACAACUGGACAAAGAAAGGCAUGUUAAAACAGAAUUUUCAACAACUCAUCACCAUUAGACAAGAAAAAGAAAAAUCAAUACAAAAACAGAAAGAACAGAGAAUAAAUGUGGUGGAAGAAAAACGUUGAAGCCAUUUGUGAAUCCAACAACACUACCACUCUGUUUCUCUCCUUUUGUUCAGGCGGAUCUGCAUAUAUCCUAAGGCGUAUUACGGAAACAACUUCUUGCCGUUAUACUUGAAUGUUGUGGAUGCUUCAACGUUGCCAUCUGGGUGGAGUGGAUUUGUCCAAUUCACCUUCACUAUGGUAUAUACGUCCAAAUUGUUGUUAUUUGAAAGGCUUCUAAAUUUUAACAUUUUGAUUUUUAAAUUUUGUUUAAAUAUUUCGGCCCACUUAGUUCUUCUCAAAAUAUGUCAUCAAUAUCGUUGAAAGGUUGAACUUAGUGAAUUAUUAUAGUGCAGUACUGUAGAAUAGACACAUGAUAUAAUUUGUCCACAUGUUAUAAUAUAAGUAAAUAUUUAUUGAUAUUAUUUCUAAAAAUAAGAAAUAUCAACCAUUAUAUCCUCCCAUAUUAUAAUACAUAUACAAAUUAUACCACAUUAUCAUACUCUAAUACCAUUUUAUAAUUUCUCGUACUUAGAGCGAGUCAAUGACAUUACAUAAUAUAUAAUUGUUCAUAUAAUGGGGCAACUAACGUGAUCAACAAGUUGUGGUGAUUAAUUUAACAUAAUAAAAAAUAUACCAUUUACUUGAGUGAUGUAACAAUUUGUUCUUUUAAAUUGGAUUGCCAUCACUUUAAUAUGAUAUGUUUCUUAUUAUAGUGUCCCAUGUUAAGUGCUUCAGCAUUGUUUGUGGUGUGUACACAAAUUUUCUUAUAAAAUGUUUUAAUGCUUCUCACAUGUAUAUCAGAUAUAGACAGUUGAUGUGACUUAGAAAUCAAAUUGUCAAUAAAGCAAAAAAAUAUAAUUGGUGAUUGAGGUCCAAUUUAAUAGAAAAUAGUCUUAACUUGUAUAUUAGAGGUUUCAGAUUCGAAUCCUCACUGCAUUAUUGUUGUAUACGUACACGAGAAAUCCUCUUCUCCAAUAAUUUAGACUAUCACUUAUACUAAAAAAAUAUAUAUAUAUAAUGACUUUUACGGAUGCAAACAUAAAAUUACACCAAACAAUAAUGGAAUAGAAAGAUGCAAGUUAUUUUUUUUUUUUUUACAUCUAAAGUAUACUUUAUAUAUAUAUUUAUUAUGGGUGUUAUAACCGUUUAAUUUUCAGUUUUUAUUUUCUAUUUAUUGUUUUAAUUUUUAUGGUUUAAUGUGUAUGAAGAUUACAAGUAUUGGAUGUCUACCACUCCUCCUUCACAUCUGAAACAAACCACCAUCUCAUUUCUGUAUUUUCAUACUUUCAUAUAUUUUCUACUUUCCAGAUUAUUAUUUUUGGGCAACGGUUCUGUGACUUGCAGAUUUCUAUCCGAUUGUUAACAUGCUCAUAGCGGACCUUGAGCUUGCGUAUUGGGGAUCGUAUCUUGGAGCCUUAUAGACCUUUAUUACCUGCAUGUAGGGAGGUUAUAAAUGCUUUAGGUCAGCAUCUUUGACGUGCUUUUGCUUUCUUUUUUUUUUUACUUAUUUCUUCGUUUCUUUAUUUUUACUUUACUUUUAAAUUUUUAUUUUAUGUAUUAUUUAUAUUUAAAAGUUUUGAAUAAGAGUUUUACAGAAAAGGAAAAACACAAUUUCAAAUAACACAAAUUUCUCGUUUUUGGUUCUUAAAAUAAAUGAAUUUUUUACUUAUUUGUGAACUGAAAUGCCUCUAAAAAAAUAAUGAUAGUUUGAAGAAUUUGAUAGAAAUUAAAAAAUAUCCUCAAAUUACUUGGAAUUGAAGACCACAUAGGCAAAAACACCAUUUUGGACAAAGGCUGGUGAUAAUAGUCGAUAUCAUCUUUAAGUACUUUAAUAUGAUAUGUUUCUUAUUAUAGUGUCCCAUGUUAAGUGUUUCAGCAUUGUUUGUGGUGUGUACACAAAUUUUCUUAUAAAAUGUUUUAAUGCUUCUCACAUGUAUAUCAGAUAUAGACAGUUGAUGUGACUUAGAAAUCAAAUUGUCAAUAAAGCAAAAAAAUAUAAUUGGUGAUCGAGGUCCAAUUUAAUAGAAAAUAGUCUUAACUUGUAUAUUAGAGGUCUCAUAUUCGAAUCCUCACUGCAUUAUUAUUGUAUGCGUACAUGAGAAAUCCUCUUUCCUAAUAAUUUAGACUAUCACUUAUACUAAAAUAUAUAUAUAAUGACUUUUACGAAUGCAAACAUAAAAUUACACCAAACAAUAAUGGAAUAGAAAGAUGGAAGUUUUUUUUUUUUUUCCUACGUCUAAAGUAUACUUUAUACAGUCCCGAUCUCUUGGACCACAGGAGUCCAAGAGAUUGUGGUCACCCACCGUUGGAUAUUAAUCCAAUGGUUCAAAAUGAUAUAUAUAAAUGCAAUAUGACAUAAAUGAUUAUUACCCGAUCCAAGUCAACCGUUGAAUUUACAUUCAACGGUGGGUGACCAUAAAUCUCUUGGACUACAGGGGUCCAAGAGAUCAGGACUGAUACUUUAUAUAUAUAUAUAUAUAUAUUUAUUUAUUAUGGGAGUUAUAACUGUUUAGUUUUCAGUUUUUAUUUUCUAUUUAUUGUUUUAAUUUUUAUGGUUUAAUGUGUAUGGAGAUUACAAAUAUUGGAUGUCUAUAAAGGGCCACUCCUCCUUCACAUCUGAAACAAACUACCAUCUCAUUUCUGUAUUUUCAUACUUUCAUAUAUUUUCUACUGUCCAGAUUAUUAUUUUUGGGCAACGGUUCUGUGACUUGGAGAUUUCUAUCCGAUUGUUAACAUGCUCAUAGCGGACCUUGAGCUUGCGUAUUAGGGAUCGUAUCUUGGAGCCUUGUAGACCUUUAUUACCUGCAUGUAGGGAGGGUACAAAUGCUUUAGGUCAGCGUCUUCGACGUACUUUUGCUUUCUUAUUUCUUCGUUUCUUUAUUUUUGCUUUACUUUUAAAUCUUUAUUUUAUGUAUUAUUUAUAUUUAAAAGUUUGAAUAAGAGUUUUACAGAAAAGGAAAAAUACAAUUUCAAAUAACACAAAUUUCUCGUUUUUUGUUCUUAAAAAAGAAGAAGCAUUGAUUGGGGAGUUAUGGUAAACUCAAUUUCAAUGGUUGCGAUGAGAGGCGGUGGCGGCGAGGAGAGGACGAAGGCUUUGCUGCCGACGGGGUGGUGUGGGUGGGUGGAGACCUCGGCUGGCUGCUUGGUCCUGGGUUCUCCUUUAAUUCUCUGUUUUCUUUUUUCUUUUUCUUUUUCUCUUAGAGUUAUUGAUGUUAAGUGAAUGGACAGAUGCCAAAAUAGGGACAGAAGUAGGGGUGGGCAUCAAUCCGGCCGAUCCGGUCAAUCCGGCCGAACCGAUUAUAUUGGAUUGGUUUGGUUUGGUUUUGACCAAAGAAAAAGUCAACAUUUUGAAAAACCGAACCGAACCGGUUUGGUUUGGUUCAGCUGUGGUUUGAGAGUUUUAAAAACUGUCCUAAACCGAACCGGACCGAUUAUAAAUCAAUUUAUUAUUUAUUUAAUUUAGUUUACAUGUGGCAAGGUUUGUGUGCGUUUUGUGAGUCCGCGUAUCUGAAUGUUGGUGCACGUUUUGAUCUUCUAAUUUGCAUAUCCCAGUUAUUUGUGUGUGCUUGUAUUUCCCUCUCUUUCUAUCUCUACUAUGUGUGUUUGCUCUUUGUGUUGUGUGGCUCUUCUUACUCUAUCUAUCUUAAUUAAUGGGUCCAUUUCAUAAUUUCAUACGCAUUCAAACUCCACCUCUGUGAUAAAAACAUUUACCUCUUUGUGAUAAAAGCUUUUCAUUUGUUUGUAUUUCUCUUUGGCUUUUUGACUCACUCACUGUCUUUCUUUCUUUUAAUGCUACUUGUGAUGAAUGCAAUGAGUAAAUUUAAUGCUACUUGGUUAAUGCAAAUUUUGUAUAUGUUUGUUUUGAUGGAAAUUGUGAACUUAGAUGCAUGCUAGACAUUGGACAACCUUUGAAUAAAUGGAAUGAUGUUGUAUUAGCCUUUGAUGGAAUGAAAUGAAAUGAUAUAAUGGCAAAAUGUUAGCAUUAUAAUGUAAGAGCAGGUUGAAAAAUGCAUGGUUUUGUGUUAGGCACAAACCGGCCGAACCAAUCCGAACCAAACCGAUUACAAGUGGUUUGGAUUGGUUCGGUUUCCAUUAUGAUUUUAGGCUAAUCCGAACCAAACCGGACCGUUAUUUUCUUAUUGGUUCAGCUGUGGUUUGAGAGUAAAACCGAACCAAUCCGGACCGUGCCCACCCCUAGACAGAAGAUGUGAACCCAAUUAUAUACAGCUGAUUACAUAAAGUAACAAAUUAAUUAAUACUUGAGUGGAGGACAGGCUUGAGUGGAAGAAUUGAUUAAGGCUUGAGUGGAAGACCAACUUCAGUGGAGGAAAGUAUAGAUAAGGAAAGCAUGCCUCGUUUAACGGCUUUAUCUAAUAAAGAUUAGUUGUUGGCACUUGGAGUUUCUUAGGAAUGCUGGUUUUGUUUCCUUGGUGGACUUGAAAGGUGGUGCGUUGGCUCGGACAUCUCCCUAGUAAUUAAUCGAAGGUGGAAUCUUACAAGACAUACAGCUGCUCAUUAGCUGAAUAUCUCGCUCUCUUUAAAGAGAUCGAAGCAAACUGCAAUUUGCAAUUUGUGUGAUUCAAGCAUGAAUAUCUGAUAUAGUAACUAUACCAUUUGUUGGUUUGAUAAGAAAAGUUUGGUUAGCGAGGAUGAAACCAUAAAGUUCUCCAAAACACACAAAAAACACGAACAAUUGCUAAGUUUAUUCUUGAGUUCACACAUAUUUGUACAAAUGAGAUUACUCCAAGCAUGACUAUACCAUUUGUUGGUUUGAUAUGAAAAGUACGGGCAACGAGGAUAAAACCAUACAAACACACACAAAGAACGUGGACAAUAUACUAAGUUUAUCUUUGCGUUAUUGAUCCGACCUAACUGUAAAAUAAAAAAGAUAAAAAUAUAUAAUGUUCACUACUUAGAUCUAUGAGCACUAAAGUCCUCCUUUUGAAAUUGCACAAAACAUCACUUUUGGUCUUUGGUAAAUUUUUAAAAUAAAUGAAUUUUUUACUUAUUUGUGAACUGAAAUGCCUCUAAAAAAAUAAUGAUAGUUUGAAGAAUUUGAUAGAAAUAAAAAAAUAUCCUCAAAUUACUUGGAAUUGAAGACCACAUAGGCAAAAACACCAAAUUGCAACCUCACUUUAAUGAUAAAAAUGGUAAACUACAAAGACAAAAAUGACGUUUUGCCUUAUACAUAAUUGGAAUUUGCUGGUGAUAAUAGUCUACCAUCUUUUGUCGAUUUGCUGGUGAUAAUAGUCUAUCAUCUUUUGUCGGUCCGACCUAAAAAGAAGAAAAAGUUGAUGGCAUCUUGUACCAUUUUUGCCAAUGUGGGCCCAAACAAUUUGAAGAAGUCCACCGGCAAUUUCUCAAAAGCUAUUGUGUGAGUGUGAAGCUAAACCAAUAUUAUUUUGCAUAUACGACUCCACAUCCCCAUGUGAUGUGAGGCUACAAAAGUGUUUCCAAAACGAAAUAUGAUAUUUCAAAACGAAGCUAUGUAUAGAGUCAUUUGUAUUUGCUUUCACAAUAACAUUUGAUUUGUGAAAGCAUUUUAUAUUUAUACAUUCUGAUAUUCUAACAAAUAAAUUGACUAAAUUUGGCCAACAGGAUUUAGCCGAAUAGAAAAGUCCUUAUUUAUAGACUAGUGGUUUCAAAUUUAAAGUUUAGACUAUCGCAUGUAUUUAAAAAAAAAAAAACAAUUGGCUUAAUUUGAUAUAUUUCCUUUUUUUCCUUUUUCAUUUUAUACUGGGUGCCGUUAUUAAGUUUUAUCCUUAUUUUUUGUUGAAAAGAAAAUUGAAAAAAAAUAAUAAUUCCUACAGCUAGCAACUUCUCCACCUUCCCUUCUUCGCAACUAGGGAUGCCAUUGCAAGGUCACCAUCUCAGAUUAAGUCCUCCUUUUAAAAUUGUGUCGUUAUUCAGAAUUGGAAUAUAAUCCUGUACCACUUUGGCCACUUUUGAAGAUGUUCACCGACAAUUUCUCAAAAGCUAUUAAGCUGUACAUCCACAAUAUUAUUGCAUCCAUCCCCAUGUGAGGCUACAGAAAAAUUUUGAAAACGAAACUGGAUAUUUUAUCUCUAACAACAGCUUUCAUACUUCGUUUACCCUGUGUUUCCAAGUUGUGCUAGCUAUUUGCAAACCUUGGAAUAUUACUUCAUCCAAAUCCCUUGCAGAGAAGAGCAAGAUAUGGCUUUGAUCGGAGAAGCCCUCAUCUCCGCUACCAUCCAGACGUUUUGUGACAAAAUUGCUUCGCCUGAGUUCACCGACUUAUUUCGGCAGAAAAAGCUCGAUGAACAACUCCUCAACAAGCUGAAGACGACGCUGUUGACCUUGUCCGUAGUGCUUAAUGAUGCAGAGGAGAAGCAAAUUAAGGAACCUUUAGUGAGAGACUGGCUUGACAAUCUCAGACAUAAUGUCUUGGCUGCGGAGGACUUACUGGAUGAGAUCGACACUGAAGCUUUGCGAUGCAAGCUGGAAGAAGGUGAAGGUCAAACCCACAAUUUAACCAAGAAGGUACGUGAUUUUUAUCAACGCAUGAAUGUUGAGAUGAAAGAUUUAUUAGAAAGAUUAGAACAAUUUGUACAAGAGAAAAGUGCUCUUGGUUUGAGAGAAGGUGCUGGGAGGAAGGUUUCACAAAGAAGAACAACUUCCUUGGUUCAUGAACCUUGUGUCUAUGGUAGAGAUGAAGUCAAAGAAAAUCUGUUACAAAGAAGAGGAUUUGCCGUCAUCUCUUUCUCAUCUGAGUAUCUCGCGGUGUCCUGCCCUGGAGAAAAGGUAUAAGAAUAAGACGGGACAAGAUUGGGCAAAGAUAUCUCACAUUCCUUGCAUCAAGAUAGGAUACGAACUGAUCAUAUAAUAUGAGCUAUUCCAUAUUUCACUCUCAACCCUCAACUCUCAAAUCAAAGUCAGGUGAGGUAUGUGCCUUCUCUUACUUUAAAAAACUGCUUCUCUUCUUCUAAUUGAAUACAAAAACCAAAACACAUAUUCUCUUUCUCUUCCAAAAACCCAAAUACAUGUUGAACAUUGCCAAAUUUGAUCUCCAAAUUCCUAAUUAUUUCACGCUUUUUGUUAUUUUGUUGCUUAGUAAAUUAUGGUUGCUGGUCACAAAUUAUAGUCUGUUAAUAGGUUCAUGCCAUGAAUUAAUCUUUGGACUUUCCCAGGUACUGCAGGUUUGUUAUUAAUGUUGUGGCCUGAUAUUCGUCGUAUCAAUAGGUUGUCUUACGUUGAGGAGAGAGAUCGAUCAGCAAUUACAAAAUUGUUAGUGAAUUUAGCUUGUUUAUCAUCUCUCUCCUUUUGUUUGUUAAGUUUGGUUGUUCUAGGUUAAACCCUUGUCCCCGCAUUUCACAGCAACUCUAUGUUAUUCCACUCUGUUUAGUUUCAUUUAUGUUGUGAUUCGACUGCUGCUGUAUUUUAGAUUUCGUUCAUGUAAUGCUAGGAUGUUUAAUCUCUUAUCUGUGGUGGUAGUUGAGUAGUCUAGCUAAUCCAAUGAUAACUUGUCCCCUGUUUUGUAUUGUUUUUAUUUCUCUGGUAAUGAAAGCACGUUUCUUAUAAAUAAAUAAAAAAUAUUUCAUUGAUAUUCAUUGCUUAUUUUGAACUGCAGAAGCCUACUUUUGUCAGAGUCAGUAGAUGCCAGAAUGAAGUCAUUGCCUAAACACAUUGGCACCCUCACAGCCUUCGACAUUUUGGGAUAUAUGAUCUUCAAAAUCUUGUGUCAUUUGCCUCCCAACCUGCAAUAUUUUCAUAUUUUAAAUUGUGACAGACUGAGCCCUUUGGUGGGAGAUUACUGGGGUUUGCAAGGACUUGGUGGCAAUAUCUUGUAGACGUUUCUCAAGGAACAGCUGCUCAAUACCACUCUUCACACUCUAUAUAUUAUGGCCUGUCAGUCUAUAAUUCCUGCCAGGAGAGGAACUUGAACGCCUCUCUUCGCUGCAAAGGCUACAUAUUUGUGGGUGUGACAAUAUCCAAUUCCUGCCAGAAGAGUGUUUGCUGCCAUCUCUUUCUUAUCUGUGCAUCAACCAUUGUUUUGCCAUGUAGAAAAGGUAUCUCACAUUCCUUGCGUCAAGAUAGGCGAAGAAGUGAUCAUAAGAUAUGAGCUCUCUCUCCCUCUCGCUCACAUACAAUGUACUUAACACAAACACUCAAUCUGAUUUCUAUUAUUAUUUUGCUCAGUAAAUUUUGUUUAAAUUUGCUUUAUUUCUCAUUGCACUUGUUCUGCUGAUCACAACUUAUAUCCUAUUUAAAUCUCAAAUGCUGAAUAAUGAGCAGUCUUUUCGCAGGACAACAUAUCUUCUCUUGGAGAGCUAUUCAUUUGCAAGGUUUCUUUAUGGGUCAUUUCCAGAGGAGGGUUUACUAUUUAAUAGAAAGGUUCACCUGGAAUAUCUCAACUGACACAUUCCCAAAUACAGGCAUUGAAUGCACAACAUUUUGAGGUACUAUUUUUGUAAUAAAAAUGUACUUGAGUCUCAUUUGAGCUAGUUUAAAUUGUAUUCAAUGUCUAUGGAUAACCUGUGAGCUUAAGUUGUAAGAUAAAACUCACAGUAUAUUAUUAGGGUUUAGGGUUCAACUGUUCAACAGGUGAGCUUAAGUUGUACUUUCCUAGGUACUGCAUGUAUAUAAUCUUAGUAUCAACACUUGGUCUUAUGUGGACAAGAGAGAACAUUUGAGGAAUUACAAAAUCUUCUUAGUGAAUUAAUGUUGUUUCAGCUCUGUUUGUCAUCCCUCACAUUUUCUUUGUUAAGCCUUGAUUUUUUAUUAGACAUAAGAAAAAAUGCUUUUAUAAGACAGGAGAUGAAUGCUUUUAUAUGUUGAUGUCGUAGUCAGUCUUCAACCACACUCUGUUUUUAGAAUUCAUUUAUGUUACUAGUUGAGUGCUGCUGUAUUUUAUAUUUCGUUCCUGUAAUGUUUGGAUGUUUAGCUUGAGCAGUCUAGCUUAUCCAGUAGAUAACUUGUUCCCUGUUUUGUAAUGUUUUUGUUUCCUCUAAUGAAAGCAGGUUUUACUUAUCUUGAACUGCAGAAGCCUACUUUUUGACAUAGGUGGCAUGGCACAAACUCGCAUCCGCAUUUCCUUCCCCAUUGGCAUGCUGUCUCAUCUUUUGUAUUCUGUUACCAGCUUGAAGCUUGUGUAGACAUGUUAUGCUCUUGUAAUUCUGAUCACAAACAUCACUUGACAAAUGGAAAGUCACAAUCAGAUCUUUCAGGUGAUCGGGAGGUUUACUUUCUAACAUUUGUUUUCAUUGGGGGGAGGACAACAAUACAGAAUUUAAAAUUUCUGAUAAUCAAUAGUAGUUUGCAUAUAUCAGCUGGGACCUGUAUGACUGUAUUAUGUAAUUAAUUAUUUCUCUUAUUGUUUUGGUACUGUUAAAAGGAGUUAGCCACAAAAUAAAAAAGGAGGCCUCUUAUUUCAUACAAUUUUUCAAAAGUGAUCAUUCAUCCGUUUCUUUUUCAACAAUAGAGGAAUGUAUACUAAUCGUCUGGUCCAUCUGCUGCUUCACUCCCUAGUAGCUUCAUCUCCUGUCCUUUGCUUUAUUUCUGUUGAUGAAUGUUUUGUCUGGGUUAUUUAUUUUCAUUUCAUGUCCAUUGCUUCAUUUCUGUUUGGAUUCUGUCCUGGACUUGAACAAGGGUUAGGUUAGCUGUAUAAUUUGCGGUUUUAUAUACACAACUGUCUACAUUGAUUAAAACCAGCAUUAUUCUAAGGUUCAUUUAGAAUGUAUUAUCACCAAAAUUAUAAAGUAUACUUCUAUUACAAUUAAUUUGUUGAUUCUAAUUUGGACUUGUAGGAACAGACCAAACAUGUUCAUACGUGGCAUUGCUCAAGUCAUCAUCAUUCGGGACAGAGAAUAAGCCUUCAAAUGUCUGCUGAGUCAAUGAACCUUUCUAGAUAUCUCAAGUGUAGUGGAAAUUGAUGAGUUACAAAGGAUUUUUAAACAUUUUCUACUGGAGGCUAGAAAUGCUUCAAAUAAAUGACUGUGUUGCAAUUAUUUUGUAGGAUCAAAGACUCUGCAAAGAGGUAAGAAAGUCAUCAUCAAGUAACUUUGCUCUUCAAACUUUUUAAUUUUAUUUUUAAAUAUCAGUAAUAACUGGGAAAGUUUGCAUUUCCUUAAAUUGCUCAUUCUUACAUCUUUUAUAGUUUGUUGAUCUUGGGCAAGUGGAGAGAGAGGCGUCAAGUGAUACACAACAACCAUUUUCUGUGAGCUGAUUUGAUAAAGAGAAAUGGUAUGCUUUCUUGUCUUAAGCGGUGUGUUCUGCAAUUAUUUGAAACAAAGGAUGCCGCACUUCAAGUUCGAGAAAAUCAGGUAUUUUAGUAUUUUAUUCUGGAGAAAUUUGAUUUAUGUAGAAACUUGAACAUGUAAAUGAGAGAAAAAAAAAUUUAUAUAUAUAUAUAUUAUAUUGUAUAUGCUCUUAAUGAGUUAAUAUGGUGCUUGCUCCUGGUUGGAAAUUUAUGUAGUCAUCUACCUAUGAUCAAAUAAAGAUGAAAAAUAAAAUAAAAUUGAGAGCAUCUUCCUCUCCCCUGCUUUGCUCAUCCCUUGUUCUUCCACUUCAGCCCCACUAUUACACCAUUUUUUCAGCCACAAUUAUAAUAGCUCCAUGAGCAUUAAGUCCUUUUCAAAUUCUGCUGACAUUCAAAAUUGGAAUUGCUGGUGAUAUAUGAUAGCAUCCUUGUCCGACCAAAAAGAAAAAAAAAAAAAGUUGAUAGCAUAUUGUACCAUUUUGGCCAGUGUACGCAAUAUUAUUGCAUCCAACUUUGCAUAUUAACAUCAGUGGCCACAGUUCCAUGAUUUGAGUGCACAGAAAGGUUUCAAAAGUUGUCCCACAAAGAACAGUCGUUCAAAGUGAAAGAGAGUUUUCAAAGCUUAGUUACAAGUUCAUGUUAUUUACAAUAUCAAAAAGCUUUCAUACUUGCUUACAAACCUGUAUUUCCAAGUUCUGCAAACCUUGGAAUAUCACUUCAUCCAAAUCCCCUUCCAAAGCAGGAAAAAUGGCAGCAGCUUUGAUUGGAGAGGCUCUCAUCUCUGCUUCUAUCGAGUUGUUGUGUGACAGAGUUACUUCAGCCGAGUUCAUAGACUUAUUUCAGCAGAAGAAACUUGAUGAAACACUCCUCAUGAACCUGAAGACGACACUGUUGAUUUUGUUUGCGGUGCUCAAUGAUUCAGAGGAGAAGCAAAUUGUGAACCCUGCUGUGAGAGAGUGGCUUAACAGCUCAAGCAUGCUGUCUUUGAUGCAGAGGACUUACUUGAUGAGAUUGACACUGAAGCUUUGCGAUGCAAGCUGGAAGGUGAGGAUGAAACCCACAAUAAUUAACCAAAAAGGAUCUUUUUGAUUGUUUGAAAGGAGGGUCUUGAUGAUUUGAAAGGAGAGGGUUGCUUUAUUUCUGUUGGAUGCUUAAUUAAAUCUUAUUUGGAGUUGAACAAGGAUUAGGUUAGCUGUAUAAUUAGUGGUAAACGCCUUUUUCUAAGGGUCAUUUAGACUCAUAUUACGAUUAAUUUGUUGUUUCUAAUUUGGACUUGUAGGAACAGACCAAAUAUGUUCACACGUGGCAUCGCUCAAGUCAUCAUCAUUUCAGACUGAAAAUCAGCCUUCAAGUGUCUGUUGAGUCAAUAAAACUUUCUAGAUAUAUCAAGUGCAAUGGAAAUUCAUGAGUUACAUAGAGAUUUGUAAACAUUUUGAAGAUUGCAACACCUGCAAGUGAGAUAGGCGGUGACGAAAUCAGAGAUGAAGCCUCUGAUGCCCCUGUUGUUGCAAGUUGCACCUGAGAACAUGUUUUUUUUUCUUCUUUGGGGUAAAAAACUGGCAACAUGUUCGGAGCUGACAAUUCAAUCCCUGAUGAACUAGAGAAGCAAAGCUCCGGUAAGGAAAUUGGUCAAGGUUGUGACAGGGAUGAUUGAUGGUGAAAUGGAUGCUAUUUCUUAUUGCAGCCUGUUCUUAAAGUUCUUGUUGGCAAAUGCAAGAGAUGGAGUAUUUUGAUUGGGAGGAGAGAUAAUGACAUGGCUUGACAAUUCUAGAACAGCCCAUCAUUAAUCCCAGAAAAAAUCCAGUUUCUGCUAAACAAUCACUUAUGGCAAGGCCAACUCUGUAAAUGGAAUUUGUGAUCCCUUCAAAUUGUACACAUUUUUUCUUUUUGAGGAAUUUAAUCAAACAGUAUUCUAAUGCAUUAUGAUGGCACUACACGCUUUUGUUGUAACAAAUUACAAGGAGGAAUUUGGAUUGAGUUUCUUGUAUAAGCACACCUUACACAAAUUUCGUAUAUUUUCUUCCAGCAAGUCUGUCUAUUAAACCCCUUAUUUGAAAUUAAUUGUUAUAAGUUUUGAUUCAUCUUUAAUCAGUGUCUUCCCCUUGUUGAAUAACACUCCUCUUUCUAAUUUAUAUUUGAAGUUUGAGGUUUCAAUUUCAAUUGUGGGUUUUGAUUUUACAGAUUUUGUUUGUCAAUUUCAGUUUGGACAAAGCAUAUGCAAUCAAAGUAAGCAUUUUAUGUUAUACUUUUGAACUAGGUGUUGAUUUGAUUUAAUCAUAAGUUUUGCUGGUGCAUUUACUAGGCUAAUCAUUCAAUACUUUUGAUCAUAGAACUUCUUUGGUUGAUAUUAUCUUUGUUAAGUUUAACCAUAACUUUAGAGAGGGGACUUAACAGAUUUAUAAUCUCAUCAUUAUAGUAUUAAAAAUUAGAGAUUAUUUAAGGCAUUGUCUAUUAUCUGAAUUCUGCUUACUUUUAGUUCAUAUGUUUACAUCUUAGCAUAUUCAUGUGAUUAGUGCGGCUCAUACCACAAAGGCAAUUUUAGGCUCAUCAAGUGCUAAGCAAUGUCAAGCUUCCAAGUGACAAGUUCUCUACAUAGUUUGAGACCUACACUUACUAGAUAUUAGAUCAUUUGGAUCAUUUCCAUAUGUGUAUAUGUAAUUGACAUGUUAUAACAUUUUUGUAGCGUUAUAUAAUUAUUUAGCAAUUUAAUUAUUUCUUUGCAACUUUAUUUUUUUUGUCAGUCAUACUAUUGUUGACUGCUAAAAACCAUCAAGAAAUAGUUCUUAAGUUAUAAAAAAAAAUUAUAAAAAAAAAGAUUUGUUGAUGCUUAAAAAGCAUCAAGAACAGAUAGUUUCUUGACGGUUUUGUGACGUUUCAUAACUGUAAGGGGCUUUUUCUUUCGACAGCUGUAAAUGGGCUGGGCUGCCGUAAAGGUCAAGACUGAUGAAAUUGUCCCUUUUUGUCUGAGCUCGAAAAUUAUGCCCCAAAAUACUUUGAAAGGGCAGCAGAGCCUUAGGAAGUAUUUUGGUUACCCUCACCAACUAAAACAACAACAACUUACAGGUAAUUUCUUAAUGCUUACAGAUGAACUCUUGUGCUUGGCAUGAGUGACAUGUGGCAUGGAAGCAAAAUCAACAUGAGUUUAGCACUGAGGCGAAAUUUAGGCUCUCUUGGGGGAAAAAGGGAAGUGUUAAGGUGAGAGAGGAGAAGUUUGUAGGAGAUUUAGCUAAGAAAGGAGAAAUAUAGAACAAUGCUCUUCUGGCAACUUGACAGAUGCUCUGUCUGCCAAAAAAGGAAGAUGGAGAAGAAAUGUGAAUAGUGCACGAAUUUGCUAGAUUUUUGCAGGUAAGAGAGGAAGCUUGCCCUAUGGGUCUGAGUUGAGUUUUGUUGGGUGGAAGAGACCUCAUUUUAUAGCCCCUGGAAACCAUCACUUCCCAAGAAACCCUAAUGGCUUCUACCUAUUUUGGCCAAGCUUUUCCCUUCCUUUCUCAUUUCCUUCCUUGAGUUUACCCCUUUUGAUGAAAUCCCAUCUGCCUAUUUGCACCAGAUCAAAGUUUUUUGAAGCUCAAGGCCCCCAUUUUCUUGCAGUUGUCUCAAUGGGAGACUUCCAUUCCCAGUCAUUCUCCUUUAUUGCUUUCCUUUCUUUUUUUCAUGGCCUAGUCUGGUGGGGAAAGGAGUUGGGAUAUAUAUGCUGGUUUGAAGGGUGCUUCUCUUCCUGACAUCUUACACACUAAUACCCCUUGGUUCCUUGAAUGUUUUGGCUUUGAAACUUGCUCCCCCCCUCCCCCCAUGUACUGGAACCUCCCAGCAGCUCUGUUCAAUGAAUUUUCAGACCUUUUCUUCAUGGCUUUUAUUUUUUUAUUAACUGGCUGGAGCUUUUGUGGCUCAUUGUGGCAAUUGUAUGGGCUAAGGUGGUUCAUUAAGUAAGUGAGCUAUUUUUAUUAAACAUUGGGCUUUUUGGUUGAGUCACUAGGCUAUUUUGAUUGGGCUAUUGGGCUAUUUUUUCCUUUCUUGUACUCACCCACAUGUUUGGACCAAAGAAAUGAGCUUGAGUCCUGAGGCUCCCAAGCGACCCGAGACUUUCCAUUUCUCGGCCCAUCAAUGGGCCUCAUGUUGAUUUAUUACCAUCCAUACCACAACCCACUCAAGCAAGCCCCGGGCAUUUGAGUGGCUUGGGCCCACUUAGGCUUGUAGUGUGGUUGGGUGCGAAAUGACGAUUUCGUGCUUGGCAUGUUUUAAUUUUAUCAUCCUUGGGAAAGGCUGCGAUGUUUGAUUUCGGCAUGGGCUUGUAGAGCUGGUAUGCUUUAUUUCAACUCUAGCAUGACGAAUUAUUUAUUUAGCAUGGCACGUGAAUUACAACUCGCAUGGGGUGGGUUUUUGUGUACUACACCUUACGCCUCUUCUUAAUAGAACAUCGUUUUGGGCUGAUAAUUUAUUCGGGCCCAACUGUGAAUUUUUUGGGUCUCAAUAAUAACCAUCAUAAAAUAUUACAUUUUGACUGACGUCAAGAAAUGGGGUAUCCCUUUCCUGAUAGUGGCAUCCAUGAUGCCUUCCAAGCCGUCAAUUAAGGGCUAUCGUGAUGCAUUUUAGUUGUCAGCAAAAGGUGUUUUUCUUGUAUUGUAUUCACUCAAAAUCAUGUUUCAUUUAAGACUAGUAGUAUGGUUGAAUACCAUUUGUUUUGUUAAAGAAUAUUAUACAUUAGGGAUUUUUGUAGAAAUGUCAUUUGAACUUAUACCUUAGUUUCAAUUUGUUACCUUGAAGAAAAAUUUAAGAGAAAUGUCACCUUAAUUUUUAAAAAUCCAUGAUUUGUUAUAUGACUUUAAGAUCAUCCAAUUUUCCAUCCAUUUUAAGGGGAUUUUAGUCUUUUCAUUUUCAAGGAAAAAAAAGAGAUGAAAAAAGAGACAUCUCUCUUACUUUGUUGCCCAACCCAACCCAACCCCACCCGCCCCCCAAAACCACAUAGGAUUGCCUCCCCUUUCCCCACUUUUCUUUUUUCUUUUUGUCCUACUUUUCCACUGUGUUUAUGUUGAAGGAUCUAAAGUUUGCUUGGUCACCAUCUGUUACGUAGGCUUCCCAAUUGUUGGUUUGGGUGGGUUGUGGGAAUUUGUGUGUGGAGGGCAAGACCCUAUCUGACAGGACCUGCCUCGAAUUCCUCGAAACCCGAGACGAAUCUUGUGGAAUUCCCGACAUUACACCGAUGUCGGGCCCACUUAUGAACUAAAUCCUCCUUUCCAAAAUUAAGGAAAAAGAGUACGAGGCUUUCUGCCGAAAUUGCGGCAGUGUCUUCCUUAUAAAUUUAACAUUUCAGCUUUGGUGGCCAUUCUCUCAUUUUAGCUUUGGUGGCCGGAUGAGAGAACGGCCGGCUAAAACGUGGCCAACUGGCAUUGCCGUCGCGAGAGAGGAGAGAGAGAGAGAGAUUUUUAUCAAACCAUUUUUGCCAAAAUUACGAUUAUGCAACUGAGGGUAUUUUGAUCGUAUCUUUUUUGUUAUAACUCCGAUUCAAGCUCACUACAUGCCUAUGGAUUCAUCUCGCCGUGCUUUAUGCAAUUGUAUAGUUGAAAUUCCCAAAUUCCAUCCCAGUCAAAAGUCAACUUUAAACCCUAUAAAAUAUUCUAGGGGAAGAAUGGUCUUUUAUCUAAUUAAAUUAAUAAUUGAAAAUUUAUUUAGGAUCGGGUCGUUACACUGUCGUUGAUGGACUGUGCGAUGACACUCACACAAAGUCCUUGAGAAUAAAACACACACACACCGUGAAGAGAGUAAAACAAAUACACAAGUACACAAAGAUUUAUAAAGGUUUGGCCUCCUGCCUACGUCCUUUUGGUGAUCCACCCGAGAAAUUCACUAGUAUGUAAGAACAACUUUGGUUACAACUAAACCCCCUUAGCUUUCAUAAGAACCCUAGAUCUCUUUUCUCCCACCCUUGCUCCAACCCUUUGAUGCCCUUGUAAACACUCAAGAAUUCACCCUUGAAUUCUGUCAUGUGUUACAUCUUCUCUUCUCCCCUUUGUUAACCUAACCCUAAAAGUUAUAUUUAUAAUUCAUAGGACUUUAAGUACAAGUUAACUAGGAAUAGGAAACAUAAAAGACCCCCAAAAUUGGAGAAAAUAUGUCUAGAUCUCGUUAGGAAAUUGCACAACACGUGCGAUCCGCUCGAGCGCCUGCAAAAUCAUCCCUUUGCCGCUCGAUCUGCCGAUAGCUCAUGGGAUGGGGGAAUUAGAGAUUUUUUUUUUUUCAAUUUUAAUUGUUUAAAAGAUAUACAAUUUUUUAAUAAUAAUUUUUCCAUUUUUAAAAUACCCUUGAAAAUAGAAAGAUUAAAAUGCCCUUAAAAAUGGAUGGAAAAUUGGAUGGUGUUAAGAUCAGAUGACAAAUCAUGGAUUUUGAAAAAUUAAGGUAACAUUUCUCUUAAAUUUUUCUUUAAAGUGACAAAUUGAAAUUGAGGUAUAAGUUCAAGUUACAUUUCUGCAAAAAUCCUUAUACAUUAUGAUAUUCUAACAAUAAAAUUGGCUAAAAUUGAUAUGUUCCCUCUUUUAUUUUCUUUUUCUCUUUUCCUUUUCAUUUUAUGAUCCAAUCCUUUUCAUAUAUUUUUGUUCAAGACUUUGUUUUAGAAUGCUCUAUUACUAAUUUGGUACAGGUCCCUAAAAUCUCAGAGCCGCCUUAGUACAUUCAUAACGUACAUGUUCAGAGUUCAAGAAUAAUGUAUAGAAUGUGAAAUUGACGAUGCCGGCCUUUAUGAGGCAACGUCUUUAUUUCUUUGGUUAUUCCAGUUUAGAAUAUUUGCACAAAUGAGAUGACUCCAAGCAUAAAGUCACAUUCGACCAAAAAGCAUGAAGUCACACACAAAAAGAACACGGACAAUUGCUAAGUUUAUCCUUGUACCCUUAUUAUCCGACCCAAUUGAAAAAUAAAAAAAGAUGAUAAAAAAUAUUGUUCACUGCUUUAAAAUCUAUGAGUAGAGUCCUCCAUUUGAAAUUUCGUCAUUAUACAAAAUUGGAAUGAAAAAAGAAAAUCCUACAGCUAAAUUUGAUAUAUUUCCUUUUCAUUUUAUGCUGGGUGUUAGGGCUCGUCAAUGGGCCGGGCCAGGCUAGCCCGGCCCAAAUUUAAUGGGCUUGGGCCAGGCUGGGCCAGGCUUUAAAGAGGAGAGAGAAAAUAUCAGGCCGAGUUUUUUAAGAAAAUUCAAAGCCCAAGCCCGACCCAUGAGCCCGGCUUGAGAAAGCCCAUCGGGCCGGCCCGGGCCUAAACAGGCCCUACUUCGUUAAAAAAAAAUCAUAAACUUAAUCAUAAGGUCAUUUUAGUCCAAAUUUGAGAUUAAACUCACUUAAUUCCAAUAUUUUCACUUCAAACCAAAUUCAUAAAACACCCAAUAAAGUCACACAGCUUGUAAGAUUUUCCACAAAAAUAAUAAAACCAAGUACUAUUUUUGAGGUUAUUACAUAAUUAGAUCGUAAUAUGUUUUAAGAAAUAAUUUUAAAAAAUAAUAUUAAUAAGUAUCAAAAAAAUAAUUUUUUAAAGGAUGGUAUGAAUAAAUAUGCAAAUAUUUGGUGAUGUGUUCAAGAAAAGGAUGAUUAUAUUUGGUGGUACGAUUAUGUUUCGUGAUAUGAUUAUAAUUAGUGAUGUGAUAUGUUGUUCAUCUUAUAUAUAUAUAUAAUUGUUGAAUUAAUAAUUGACACAAAUUAAUGUGUUAAUCAUCCAAUUAUAAACUAGGAAUGAAUAAAGAAAAGUAAAUGAAAUGAAACAAAUUAUAUAUGUGAUUUAAGUGAUAUAAUCCUAAACCUAAACUCUUAUUUAUACAUAAUUAUAUAUGUAUGCGGGCCUAACGAGCCGGACUUUUGUGGGCGGGUAGGGCCGGGCUUUAUUGGGCUUAAUCGGGCUUUAUUGGACUUAAUCGGGCUGGGCCUAUAGGUCGGACCGAGCUUCAGACAUCCAAGCCCACGCCUAGCCUCGCCCGCCUUGGGCCGGGCCAUUCUUUUUUUGGGGUUCUAUUUCUCUUUGAAUUAACUGCUGAGUUUCAUGAACAUGUCCUCCUUUUGAAAUUGUGUAUUAUUCAAAAUUGGAAUUUGCUGGACAUACUUGAUAUUUUCGUGAGUAAAUUCUGAUUUGGUGGUUGUGCUCGUCACAAAUCAAUGAAAUGACAGCAGUGAUUUUGCAAGACAGCGUACCUUCUCUUGGGGUGCUUUUCAUUUUGCAACAUUUCUUUACGUGUAAUUUCCAGAGGAGGGUUUAUCAUUGUAUACAGCUCUUCGGGUGGUUUUUCUACAAAACAAAUGUCACAAAGAAGGAGGAGAAGCGGAAAAGAUUUACUUGGAAUGUCUCAAGUCUCCUUUGAGAUAAAGGCAUCGAAUGCACAACAUUGUUUUUGUGCUAUUUCAUAAUUAAAGUGUGCUUCCCAAGUCUCCUUUGUGUUUUGUAACUUGUAAUGUUUGUUUUUUUGUUUCCCAUGUUUUGUCUCUUAUAAAAGAAAGGCUUUUUAUCACAAAUGGUCCUUCAGGUUUACAAAAUUAUCACAAAUCGUCCUUCAAGUUUUUUUGUGACACUAAUAGUCCUUCAGGUUAUCAUUUACCCAUCAAAAUGGUCCUUCUGUCAGUUUCUGUCAAAACUGACGUUAAAUUCCUGUGCUCAGCCUGCUUUUGAAAUGAUAAUCUCAUCUUUUCCACUCAACCUUCAACCAAACUCAACUGUCAGAACCCUUUCCCUCCAUUUCCUCAUGGUCCUUCCAGUUUGGCGCCCCUGUAAUAUAUAACCAAUCUUAAAAAUUAAACUUCUGAAGAAAUUGAAACAAUCCAAGCUCAAGAGAAAGACCAACAAUUGAGAACUGCAGAGAAAGAUCAAACUCAUGGAUCAAUAUGGUAAAGCCAAAUUGAAAAACAUAAUUUGCUAAAGAUAAAGCCAAACUGAAAAACCAAACUGAAAAACAUAAAGAUAUCAUUGACAAAUAUAAAAAGUUAAAAAAUAUUGCACAAUCAAAAUACAACCACAUGUUUCACAAAACAAAACAAAACAACCACAUUUGCAGACAAGCUGUAGUUUACACUUUAACAAAGAUUAAAAAACUAACCUGUAUACUUUGGUUGUUUCCCCCCCUUUCGAAAGAACUCCUCGGACUCAUCCAUCUAGUCACUUUUGUAAGAAGAAUAAUGCGUAUUUGACUCUUACGAACCCAGAUAUUCCUUUUGCAGACCAGCUUUAUCAAUUAAAAACCCAAAAAACCUUAAUUGUGCAGGGCCCGAGGAUGAAAUGGAGGGAAAAGGUUAUAUAUGCGGUUUAGAGCGCCAAAAUGGAAGGCCCGAUGAAGAAAUGGAGGGAAAGGGUUAUUUCAGUUGGGUUUGGUCGAAGGUUGAGUGGAAUGAUGCGAUUAUCAUUUCAAAAGGCAGGCUGAGCACGCGACUUUAACGUCAGUUUUGACAGAAACUAACAGAAGGACUAUUUUGAUGGAUAGAUGUUAAACUAAAGGACUAUUAGUGACACAAAAAAACCUAAAGGAUGAUUUGUGAUAAUUUUGUAAACCUGAAGGACCAUUUGUGAUAAAAAGCCUAAAAGAAAUACAGGUCCAAACCACACGGAUCUACUUGCAUAAUAAUGGACCAAAUUUAUGAUUUUUAGAAAGAACCUUCUACUGGUGGAAUCUUGGGCUACUGUUGUGGCUCUCCUCUGUGUGCCUCCUUUUUAGAACGAUAAAAUAUUCAAAAUACCAGAAAAUGUUCAUGAUUAAUGCAAAUAUUAAGAAUUGAAAUUAUUAAUUAAAUGAAGAUAAUAUGGUAAAUUCACACUUUUUCAUAUUAAAAAAAUUAAAAUUAAAAGAAAUAUCAGAUAAUUACUCUUAUUUUUAUGGAACACAGCUACCCAUUAUCUUUUUUAAUUAUAAAAUAAAUUUAAAUUAAAAAAAAAAUCUCUCUCACAGACACGGAAGCGCGUGCUCAGAGGCUAGUUAAAAAUAAUGAACUUUGCUUUUGAAGACGUCUAUACCAGACCCACUCAACCUGCUUUAUGAUUAUGCAAAGAACAAACUCGUCCUUAGACUCAUUUGGUUAAACUUAGAAAAUAAUGAAACAAAAAUAUACACACCCACAAGUAACACAGCCAGGAUUGAAAACAACUGGAAAAAGAAAGGCAUGUCAAAACAAAAUUUUCAACAACUCAUCACCAUUAGACAAGAAAAAGAAAAAUCAAUACAGAAACAGAAAGAACAGAGAAUAAAUGUGGUGGAAGAAAAACGUUGAAGCCAUUUGUGAAUCCAACAACACUACCACUCUGUUUCUCUCCUUUUGUUCAGGCGGAUCUGCAUAUAUCCUAAGGCGUAUUACGGAAACAACUUCUUGCGGUUAUACUUGAAUGUUGUGGAUGCUUCAACGUUGCCAUCUGGGUGGAGUGGAUUUGUCCAAUUCACCUUCACUAUGGUUAAUCAACUAGACAGACAUAAGUCAGAAACAAUAGGUAUAUACGUCCAAAUUGUUGUUAUUUGAAAGGUUCUAAAUUUUAACAUUUUGUUGUAAAUGUGGAGAGAAAAAGUAGAGAAUUGGAAUAGAGAGGAGAGACUGAUUUUCUCAUUCAUAUGUUCAGAUGAAUGUCUUCAGUGUAUAUUUUACAAGUAGGGGGAGGUAUCUAUUUAUAGGCUAAGGUUUUGGUAAAAUACAGGGAAGGAAAGUUCCUGGAAGAUGCAAGGAAACUUCCUCUGUGGGCUCCACCUUCAAACUUUUACAACACUCCCCCUUGGAGACCACAAAUGAUAUGGAAUAUGCCUCGUUAAAAACCUUGCCAGUAAAAACCCAGUGGGACAAAAACUGGUCAAAGGGAAAAAGAGUACAUAAUGAUGUGUAACAUAAAAUUCUGUGUAUAUUGACGCGCGUGCGACACUGCCUCGUUAAAACCUUGCCAGGAAAAACCCAGUGGGAUGAAAACCUGGACGAAGGAAAAAGAGUACAGUGUUUGAAGAUCUUUAUUGAUAGCAUGCUCCCCCUGAUGCUUGGUAAAAUAUCUUUAAGUCAUACUGUUGAUCACCUUUCUGAAUAUCGUAGUUGACACUGCUGCUGUGAGUCAAUCUUGAGCGACACUGCCUCGUUAAAACCUUACCAGGAAAAACCCAGUGGGAUAAAAACCUGGAUGAAGGAAAAAGAGUACAGUGUAUGGAGGUCUUUAUGAAAAACCACGCUCCCCCUGAAAAAUAUCUCCCCCUAAAAAAUUUCAUGACUAGCUUUUCCAGUAUGCGACCAUAGAAAUUUUCAUAGUAUACUCUAAACCCUUGAGCGACACUGCCUCGUUAAAACCUUACCAGGUAAAACCCAAUGGGAUAAAAACCUGGAUGAAGGAAAAAGAGUACAGUGUGGAGCUGACCUCUAUCUGGUCUAGUAUACUUCCGGAAAAACAUUUAAGGUGUCCAACGGAUAAUCCUCAUAAAAAUGCUUCAAUACUUUCUUAGUAUAAGCAAGAAUCUCGUUGGCAUAAUGCUCGAUCUUUAAGUCGAGACAAAUAUUUCGUGACUUCUGCAGAAGCUUUAAUGUGUUGCAAACACAUUAUAAACAAUGUACUCACUGAGGUAAUUUAUGCAUAUUAAUAUUGAGUACAAAUUUUGUGCUUCAAGCACAUGUCCUUUAGGGACUUGCUUUAUGCAAUGUCAAUCCUCUCAACGGAUUUUGUUUAAAAGGGGAUUAAACUUUAUGACACAUUAUAUAGCUUUAACCCAGCUAUUUAUACAUCUUUAGGGAAUCACUUCAAGUGAUAUGCUCUGUGCAUUUAAUAACCCUUAAAGAUAACAUGUUGGUCUCCGUAAUUGUGCAGUAAGGGGGGAGGCACAAUUGAAUCUGUAAAUAUGGAAAAGACCCAACAUUCAUUGUUUCUGCCAGAAACAUUGUGUCAUACAAAGUAGGUAUAUUCCCUUUUAUUCCGAACACCCAAGUAUAAGUUUCAAUAUUAACAUCUUUUGGGGUUCGUACUGUGGGUUUGUUCUUUCACGUUCAUUCUCAUCUAUAAUGGAAUUACCUCUUUCCAUUUUGGCCAAUGAUAUUGUCGACAUCUAAUAAUUGAACGUGGUUCCAAUCAACACAGCCCAUUGAUGAUUUGAGUAGCUACUCCAAAACCAAAAAUUGUCAUUCAUCAAUUCAUUAUCCCACCAUUCUCAUGUGCAUGCGCAUGCAUCAAUUAUAAGCAUUUCUUUGCUUUUGGGUACCCAAGCCACUUCAGGGGGCUUUUAUUAUGUGAGAAUGUGGAUUAUAACCUCCAAUGGAGCGUUAUUUUGCAGUAGGGCGUGGAUAAUCUCCAUUUAGGGAGUUGGAACAUUUAGAACCCAUAUAUCUGUCAUGCUGCAGGCAUGCCACAGAUUAAUACAUACAUGUCAAUUAGUUUAUGGGACUUUAACCCAUAUGAUGGGACUUUAACCCAUGUAAUUUGCUACGCAUUCGGCGUGCAUAAUCUCAAUAUUGACAUGUCAAAGGAUUGUCCAUUCGGGACUUCAAUCCACAUCAUUUGCUACGCAAUAGGCGUGCAUCAUAUUGAUCACUGCUAUACCCAUAUUCUGUUCUUAUGGGACUUUAAUCUGUGCAAUGUAUUAUCAAUGUAUCCAACUUGCAAUCUGUAAAAUUUGCAUUAAUAAUACAUGGAUACAUACAAGCCAUUCUUUUGGGACGGACUUAUCUCCCCAUUUGGUUACCUUUCAAUAUAAAAUAUCAAAUAGGUAUAUAAGCAUAAAAUAACACAAGUAUUGCUUACAUCCUUAGGUGGGAGAAACUUUUCUCAAGUAUCGCUUGAUGAUCUUGUUAUAUCCUGCAAGAGCAAAAAUCACAAUUCCUUUCUCUGUCAAAAACAAAUAAGAGGAAUAGGUAGAACCGGUGAAUUUCAAAUUAACCAUAGGAAAAUUGCGAGAUUCUCGGGAUGCUUUUGAAAAAGUAGCUCCGUGAAAUCCGUAAAGCAAGAUUGGCUUUGAAAAUAAUACUUGAAAACGCCGAAAGUGCCGACAGGCAUUAUUAGAGGCCACGUGAAGUUUUGGACUUCUAGGAAAGAAAAAGAUAAUAUGGGGAUUCGAGAAGAUAUUGGGGUCUUGAAAAACAGUAGCCAUAUUUCCUCCUAUAGAUAUGGCCUUUGCAACAAUUGCGCACCUUCUUAAACUUGCACCUGUGGUUUUUACGCCUUUUCAAAAUGACGGUUUGGAACCUUGUGCCUUAUAGGUUCAAAUAACCACAUUGUUUCUCCCAAAUUUCAUAUUUUAUCGCAUGGUAGCCCGAAACUUUUGGCCUGGGCACAAAUUCAGAAUUUAUUUGCCCUUUUCAAAUGGACAUGAAAUAUGAAUUGAGUAAAAGCCAUGAUAAUAUCGCAAUAUAGUAGUGAAGAGCAUUAACUACUAUAUACCCACAACUUCAAGUUCAGGAUCUCUCAUAUAUUUGGAUCCAUGGGUUUCCGGCCCAGAUAUAACAAAAUAUGUGGGGAGCCUCAAUUCAUCAUUUGAGGUUCAUACUGAUAUUAUCCAUUUCACGGUGUAUUCUUGACAACCGGAAUUCACAAAAUAUAUUUCUUCCUUGAAGUGUCGAUUAUAACAAAAUCGAACUUUAAAUUCAUCAUCUUCUUAUGCCAAAGAAAUAUGUGGCAUACCACAAUUUGCAAUAAUACCUCAAGGGUUGUCCAUUUAAUUGUUGGAACUUCAGGUUCUCAACACUGUUAGAUUUUGAACUUCUGGCCAAAAUCACAUAUUCUCAUGGUAUGGACAUUCAAUCCCCUUAGAUUUUGAACUUCGGGCCAAAAUCACAUAUUCUCAUGGUAUGGACAUUUUUACAAUUUUCUGUACAUAUUUCUGGACUUCAAGCCCUUACAUAAUUGUCCAUAUUUUGAGGAACUUCUGGCAUCUCAUUUAAUUGCUCAUCCAUGAGUUUAAGGAACUGCAGGUUCCCUUUUGAAUGGUGAUGGUUUACCCAAAAUGGUAAAUACUUAUGCAUACAUCACUAUUCAUGUAUACGGCACUAUUUAUGUAUACAGUACAUUUGCCAGUACAGUUAUCAUCCAUGUGUACGGCAUUAUGAACAAAUACGGUACUGUUACAUCAUUAAGGAACCCCAUGUCCUUAUUUACAUGUCAGGGAUCAAGGACCCUCAAGUCCGAUCACAUGUUUACAAAUAUAGUACCGGAGAGACUGCCAGCUCUCAUAUUAACAUCAUCAUCAAGGAUCUUCAAGUCCUGAUGUAAUUGUAUGAUGAGGAUCAAAGAACUUCUGGUCCUGAUCUGUAUACUGUAAAAACUCAUCAUACAGCACAUUUAAUCCAUAGAAUAAAUUGCUGGUAAAUAAAUUACUGGUAUGGACGAUAAACUCGCACCAUACUUUAAAUAAAUAUUGCCUUACAUACACUUACAGCAUCAAUAAUUGAUAUCCAUCCAUGAUCCACCUGUAUAAAUGUAUAUAUAUAUAUGUAUAUAUAUAUAUAUUAUUUUUAUUUGGACUUAAACAGAAACAGGCAUUUUCUAUAGCUGUAAGUAUAAUUGUACCUGCCUACGCUGAAGAUUCCUUUCAUUGUUGCAGGAUGGUGGGCAUUCAGUUUAAAUAAAGCAAACACACACAUUUCAAAUUUUAAUUGAAUUUCAAAUUAGCAGUUUACUUACAUGCCCAUCCAUGACGUAAAAAGCAGAGACAAGUGAUUGUCUUUCGACAAUGACAUGAUAUCACAGUAGUGGGGAUAACGCUAUGAUAUUGGCCGAUCGGCUUCGCUGUAUCCCUGCACACCUUUAAUAAUUAUAUAAUAUUAAAAUAAUAUAAUUAUGUACCUGCACUAUAGACCUGCAUCUUAAGCUUCUUCCCUUUAUGGGGUCUGCCGCUUUGCCUUUUGUUUCCUUUGCUUUGCUUUCCACUGAAGCAAGUUGGCCAGCACCAAUAAUGCCGCCCACAAUGCAAAAAUCAAGUUGGCCAGCACCAAUAAUGCCGCCCACAAUGCAAAAAUCAAGUUGGCUACUUUUGCCUGUUGCUUUCUCAAUUUCCUCCACCCUUUCAUUGUCUUUUCUUCUUUCACUACUUCUCAUCUUCUGCCUCUCUCUUGCCUUUUUUUUUUCUUUUUUUUUUUUUGUAUUCGAUUUUCUGGCAAGCCUCCAAAGACAGCAACGACCAAGUUGCCUUGUCAUGGCUGGCGGCCAUUGCAAAAGCCUUUUCCAUGAAGAAAUGGACUUGGACACGAGGCUGGUUGAUUAUGUAGUUGGAGAUGAAGAAAGCAGCUGACAGUCUAGGGAGGGAGCGAACCAGAGAGUUUGUUACUCCACUGGUGUGGUUGGGAGGUAGGGAUCGUCUGUGGUUGGUACAGAGUUUUCUUCCUCAGCUCAAGCAAGGCAAUAGAGGUAGGUUUGUUUGCUCAGCUCAGCUCAACCUGUGCUCUCUGUGUUUGUUUGCUGGGUUAUCUGGGAGAGUAAUUUUCUUCGGGUUCGGUUCUGGUAUGCUUUUGCAUAUAGAAAACAGAGAACCCAGAAAGGAAAUCCAAGAGAGAGACUUUGGUUGAGAAAAUGGCAAUUUUUGAGAAAAAUGGAGAUGCUGAGGUUGGUUGGACAACACCGAAUGGAAGUUGUUGGGCUCGGAGCAGAGAAUUGGUUCUCUAGAUCGGAGGUUUUGUGUGAAAUUUUACUGGCAAGCAAUCCGUGUGGCUCUGUACAAAACUGGGUUGGUUUUGGGUGGGCAAUCUGGGCUUGGUUUCGAACUGGGUGUCUUGAUCAAUUUCUGGGAUCAAGAAAUCAGAGAUUUCAGCCGGUUAAAGACUCGUGCUGAUAUCGUGUUGUAAAUGUGGAGAGAAAAAGUAGAGAAUUGGAAUAGAGAGGAGAGACUGAUUUUCUCAUUCAUAUGUUCUGAUGAAUGUCUUCAGUGUAUAUUUUACAAGUAGGGGGAGGUAUCUAUUUAUAGGCUAAGGUUUUGGUAAAAUACAGGGAAGGAAAGUUCCUGGAAGAUGCAAGGAAACUUCCUCUGUGGGCUCCACCUUCAAACUUUUACAACACAUUUUGAUUUUUAAAUUUUGUUUUAAUAUUUCGGCCCACUUAGUUCUUCUCAAAAUAUGUCAUCAAUAUCGUUGAAAGGUUGAACUUAGUGAAUUAUUAUAGUGCAGUACGGUAGAAUAAGCACAUGAUAUAAUUUGUCCACAUGUUAUAAUAUAAGUGAAUAUUUAUUGAUAUUAUUUCCAAAAAUAAGAAAUAUCAACAAUUAUAUCCUCCUAUAUUAUAAUACAUAUACAAAUUAUACCACAUUAUCAUACUCUAAUACCAUUUUAUAAUUUCUCGUACUUAGGAGGUAUAGAGCGAGUCAAUGACAUUACAUAAUAUAUAAUUGUUCAUAUAAUGGGGCAACUAACGUGAUCAACAAGUUGUGGUGAUUAAUUUAACAUAAUAAAAAAUAUACCAUUUACUUGAGUGAUGUAACAAUUUGUUCUUUUAAAUUGGAUUGCCAUCACUUUAAUAUGUUAUGUUUCUUAUUAUAGUCUCCCAUGUUAAGUGCUUCAGCAUUGUUUGUGGUGUGUACACAAAUUUUCUUAUAAAAUGUUUUAAUGCUUCUCACAUGUAUAUCAGAUAUAGACAGUUGAUGUGACUUAGAAAUCAAAUUGUCAAUAAAACAAAAAAAUAUAAUUGGUGAUCGAGGUCCAAUUUAAUAGAAAAUAGUCUUAACUUGCAUAUUAAAGGUCUUAUAUUCGAAUCCUCACUGCAUUAUUGUUGUAUGCGUACACAAGAAAUUCUCUUCCCCAAUAAUUUAGACUAUCACUUAUACUAAAAAUAUAUAUAUAUAAUGACUUUUACGAAUGCAAACAUAAAAUUACAUCAAACAAUAAUCACUACUACAAAAAAGCAAAAAGACGACGGUAAAUCACCGUCGUGUAUUGGGGUUUUCAAUGGUCGUGGAAUCCACCGUCAUCUUUUCCCUCAUAAACCACGACGCUAAAUAACCGUCGUUGUUAAAAUAUACAACGUCAUCAACAAAUACAAAACGACGUCUUUGUACUGCAAAAAGAUCUAAAAAAAGCAAUCGAGGAUGAUAAUAGACGACCAACUCUCUAAAAAAACCGUCGUUAAAAAGAAAAAAUAUGACACAUAUUAAGAGAACAAGGCCGCAAGAUAGACAUACAACGACGAAAAUAAAAAUACGACGACGUUAAAUAUAAUUUUCACGACAAUAAAAAAUAUGACGUCUUUAAAUACAUUAGAAGACGACGUUAUUGAUACAUACUACGUCGCAUAUAUAAAAACAACCGUCGUAAAAUUAAUUUUCCACUUCGAUUUUUCGAUAAAAGAUGACGUGGAAAUAGUUGUCAGUGUCAUUAUUUACGACGUAUGUGUUUAUAGAUUAGACGUUGAAAAACUAAACAACGUCGGUUACAAAUAUAUGAGAGUCGUAUUACAAAAUUUAUACGUCCUAUUUUCAGAAACAAACAACGACGAUAAAUAUUAGACGUUGUUAAACAAAACAACGUCGGAAAAAUAAAAACAGACGUGUUUAGUCUGCUAAAGUUCUAGAAAAUAGUCGAGGAUGAGAAUAGACAACCAACUCAAAAAAAUCACCGUCGUUAAAAAGGAAAAAUCUGACACAUAUUAAAAGAACAAGGCCGCAAGAUAUACAUACAACGACGACAACUAAAAUACUACGCCGUUAAAUAUAAUUUACACGACAAGAAAAAAUAUGACGUCUUUAAAUACAUGAGAAGACGACGUUAUUGAAAUCUACUACGUCUCUUAUUUACAAAAAACCGUCGUGAAAUAAAUUUUCCACUUCGAUUUUUCUAAAAAAGAUGACGUGGAAAUAGUUGUCAGUGUCAUUAUUUACGACGUACACAUUUAUAUAGUCGACGUUGUAUUUAUAUGUAUUCAUUACUCACGACGCACUUAAUAAUAUAGACGACGUUGAACUUCUAAACAACGUCGGUUCCAAAUAAAUGAGAGCCGUAUUACAGAACAUAUAGACGGCGUAGAUUAUGAUGAGAGCCGUAUUACAAAUAACGUCGUUUAAUUGUUAUUAGACGGCGGUUAUAAUGAAUUUCCGUCGGAAUUCAUUUCGUUCCUCUUCGUUUAUAAAAGAACUUGCGACGUGGAAAAUGUAUGAUGACGUCGUAUUUUUUAACGUUCAGAUUAUAUAUCUCGUUUUUAGACGUCGGUAUUAUGGGAUUGGAGUCGUGUUAUUUUGAAUUACAUGGCGGUUCUUAAUCCUUCACCGACGUGAUAUCCUGAAUAAUUGCUUCACAAUAGCGUCGUGGUUCUUCAUUGUUACGUUGCUUUAAGACGUCGGUAAAUAUGCUGAAUAACUGAUUCACAAUAACGUCGUGUUUUAUUUGAACGUAGAAAGUGAAGAAAUCACAUUACAAUAUAUUACAAAAUUAAUGUCAUACACUGCCAAUUACAUAAGCAUCAUUCAAUCCAUAUAUCUUCACACCCAUCUCGAAUAUUUUGACCGCCUAACUCACCCACCAGUUCAUCAAAUGUGUCAACAUUUGGCAUCCCUCUAGUAAAUGGCUCACACUCAAUUAUCACAUCACCUAAGACUUCAUCACCAAUAACAUCAUUAUAUUCUCUAUUAGGCAUUGAUAACACUACCGACCAACCACGAUGCAUCGGGUCGUCAACAAAAAAUAUUUGUUUGACUUGAGAAGCCAAAACAAAUUGGUCAUUCCUAUGUCCAAUUUUACUCAAAUCUACAAGGGUAAAUCCAAGUUCGUCGACUACAAGACCAGAACUAUCUAUCCAAUCACACCUAAAGACUGGGAUUGUAAACUUUUGGUAGUCAAGGUCCCAAAUUUCUUGAAUGACACCAUAGAAACCCAUAUUUGAGAGAAUUGGGUUUUUAUCCUUGGCACUAGCAACUUGCAUGGUAUGUGCAAGUAAAUAAACUCCACUAUUUUGAGUUGUCCGCACAUCAUCUUGUGCCUUGAUAUUGAAUUUAAUACCUUUAAUAAGAUAGCUCCUAUAUAAUGGCACUGACAUGUUUGGACCAGCUGCUAGCCACCUUAAAUUUUCUGAUACGCCAUGAUUGUCUUCCUCAAGUUCACUUUGAACCUGCAAAUUAAUCAUAUCUUAAUUCAAUCUAACAUAUAAAUAAGAAGAAAAUUAAAAGAGAAAUAUGUUAUUCAACAACAUAUACCUUGAAGCGUAGCCAUUGAAUGAAAGUGCUAUUGUGCUUAUCCUGCAGCCACUUUGUUCUCUUUCUAAAUUUUGGAUAAGCAGUCUUGAUGUGGAUCAUAUGUUGCCCACAUGACACGAAAAAUUCAAGCAUUACGAUCCUAAAUAUAGAAGAUAAACAUAAGAAAUAAUUUAAAAUGGAAACUUAAAGAAUAAAGCUCAUACGUACUCGAUAUAAGGUAGGACUUCCUCCGUAUUCUCCAAGACAUAUAGAUGUGCUUGAUUCAACAGGUCCUGAUCAACUACGCUCACUGUGCAACCUGAUAAUGGCUUUGAAAGCCCCAUCUUUUGGCUUGAAGGCACUCCAACUGUACUAACAUCAGAUAAAUGCUGAGUACAACACUCUACCGCUUCUUCAGCUAUAUACCGCUCAGCAAUGCAACCUUCGGGACGAGUACGAUUCUGAACAUACCCCUUCAGCACUUUCAUAUAUCUUUCAAACGGAUACAUCCACCGAAAAUAUACUGGCCCACAUAGACGAACUUCUCUGACAAGAUGUACUACUAGAUGAACCAUGAUAUCAAAGAAUGAAGGGGGAAAGUACUUCUCAAGCAAACACAGAGUAACUACUACAUCUUCUUCCAACUUAUCUAGCUUGGAAACAUCAACAGUCUUUGCACAUAUAGCAUUGAAGAAGAAGCACAAACGAGUUAUUGCAUACCUUGCAGGCUUCUCCAAAACAGAACGAAUUGCCACAGGGAGCAAUUGUUGCAUUAAGGUAUGACAAUCAUGUGAUUUAAGGCCAAGAAGUCUUGAAUCUUGUAAAGAUACAAGAUUUUUAAUAUUUGAAGAAUAACCUUCAGGGACCUUCAUACCAUAGAAAGAAUUGCAAACCUCUCUCUUCUCUACUCUUGACAAAUUCCAAGGCCCAGGAGGCAAACGAGUACGUCUUUCUCCAUACUCGGGUUGCAAAUCAGUUUUGACCCCCAUGUUCAAUAAAUCUAAUCGAGCAGCAAUCCCAUCUUUAUUUUUUCCAGGGAUCUCCAGCAAUGUACCAAUGAUACUAUCACAAACAUUCUUCUCAAUGUGCAUAACAUCUAGGGCAUGCCUUACAGGAAGGUAUUUCCAAUACUCGAGAUCAAAGAAUAUUGAUUUCUUCUUCCAACAAACUCUGUCACCAUUUUCAACCAUAUGCAGCACUUCUUCUCCGGUUAAUGGCUCGGGAGGUAUGCCAUAUUCAGGUUUCCCAUUAAAAGCUGCACGUUGCCUCCUAUAUGGAUGAUUGAUUGGUAACCAUUUUCUAUGCCCAAUGUAACAAAUUUUGUGGCCAUUUUUCAACCUGUGACUAGGUGUAUCAUCGCCGCAUAUUGGACAAGCUUUAUAUCCUUUAACAACACAACCAGAUAAGUUUCCAUAGGCGGGGAAAUCAUUAAUUGUCCACAUUAAUGCAGCUCUGAGUGUAAAGUAUUCUCCAUUAUGUGCAUCAUACACUCCUCUAAUCCCAUCCCACAAAGAUUUUAAAUCAUCAAUCAAAGGCUCCAAGUAGACGUCUAUAUCAUUUCCGGGUUGUUUAGGACCGAAAAUCAAUAAGGUUAACAUCAUGAACUUUCGUUUCAUGCACAGCCAUGGAGGGAGAUUAUAUGUAACUAAGAUAACCGGCCAACAACUAUAUCUGCUACUUAGAGAACUGUGGGGAUUGAAUCCAUCAGAUGAAAGAGCCAAUCUCAAGUUUCUCGGCUCAUUACCAAACUCAGGCCAUUUAUCAUCAAGAAGUUUCCAAGACGGGGAAUCCGCCGGAUGAGACAUCUGACCGUCAAUUGAUUUUCUAGGAGCAUGCCAAGUCAAACUCUUAGCUGUCUCAUGUGAUUGAAACAUCCUUUUAAACCUUGGAAUUGGAGGAAAAUACCACACCACCUUCGCUGGCACACCCUCUUUCAAGAUUGAAUCUUUGCCUUCCUUCCACCUUGAGAUACCACAAGUAGGACAAUUAGUUGAAUCCUCAUACUCCUUCCUAUACAAGAUGCAAUCAUUGGGGCAUGCGUGCAUUUUCUCAUAACUCAGCCCCAAUGCACACAAAGUCUUUUUAGCCUCAUACAUAGAGGUUGGUAUUGUAUUUCCUUAUGGAAGCAAAUCGCCUUGAAGUAUCAAUAAUUCUGUAAAACAGACAUCACUCAUCCCAUGUUUUGCCUUCAAAUUAUACAACUUCACUAAUGCCGAUAACUUCGUGUACUUUCUACAACCAGGGUACACUGGUUGAUCUCCAUCCCCAAUCACAUUGGCAAACUCAUACGGAUCGGAACCAAAAUCAUUAUCAUCCAUAUCAAUUUCUUCAGACACAAAACUGUACCUACUAUGGCCAUCAUCUUCUUCAACAUUUCUACUAGCAUUAGUAGUUGCUUCCCAAGGUUCUCCGUGAAAUGUCCAAUUCUUAUAGCUUUGGUCAAUUCCAUUAAAGUAUAAGUGAUCCCUUAUAAUUCCAACCCCAAACAACUUCAAAUUAACACAUUUAACACAUGGACAACGGAUAUGUGUUGUAGUUAGAAGAUUUUCUACAGCAAAGUUCAAAAAUGCUUCCACCCCAAACUCAUAUGCCUUCGAUCUUCUAUCCGAGUGCAUCAUUGACUUAUCCAUCUCCGACACUAUAACCUAUUAUCUAUAAUAAAGUGAAAAUACAGGCAAUGACCAUCACUAUAGCAGAUUAUACAAAGAUCUAAUAGCAAGUAAUACACAACAAAGACGACGGGUUUUAAACAAAAACAGACGUAUUUGGCAUAUAUAGACGACGGAUUUUCAACAGACGUCGUCUAAUAUAAGUAAUACAAACGACGGUUUAUGAAAAAACCGUCGUGUAUAAGUAAUACAACGACGGUUUUUUCAUAAACCGUCGUGUAAUCGUCGGCGUAUGCCUAAAAAGGCGUCGUGUCUCAGUUUAUUUUCAAGAACCCAAAACCCAUUAAGAACACAACAUAUAUAUGAAACCAAGCAAGAAAACAACAUAUACAUGAAACCAAGCAUGAAAACAAUAAAUCCAUUCCCAAUUCAACAUAACAUAGGGUGAUUAAAAGAUCCGACAAAAUUAAAUCCAUUCCCAAUUCAACAUAACAGAUAAUGUAAUCCAUGAACCCAUUAAACAGAAAAUCCAUGAACCCAUACUUAUAAGCACAUUAUUAACAGAUCGCAAAGCAUAUACCUAAAACCCUUUAACAAAACAACCUAAUAUCAUUCAAUGAAUUUACAAGGGGAAGAUAGGGUUUGUACUUACAGGUUGGACGAGCUCACAGAUUCGACGGAGCAGAAGUGAGAGAGCAACUUUUAAUUAGAGCAGAAGUGAGAGAGCGAAAUGUUAUGUUGCGCGAAAUCUGAAAAUUUUAGGGUUCAGGGUUAGAAGAAUAAGAAUAAGAGCCAAAUAUAAAAAAAUUUAGGACGCGUGAAAAUUUUUAGAGCGCGCGCUCUUUAAAACUUCGAAAGAAAAACCAUGGCGAAAGUUCUACAAGAACCGACAUAAAUGUAAUAUUCCACGACGGAAACACUGAACGUAACGCCGUUUAUUUUGACGCUUCAUUUUUCGGAUUAAUUUUAAAUUUAUUUUCAAUAUUUUGAUAUAAAGACGACUGAAAAACCACGUCGGGGUUAAGAAAUUGAAAACGUUGUAAAUUAUAAUAGACGACUUACAUAUUAAAAUGACGUCGUUUAAAGUAGAAACUAUGUCGGAUAAUUUACUGCACGACGUAACAUAUGUAUUCCACGACUCAACCACCGUCGUUAACAAUUAAUACCCUAAACCCUUAAAACUAAAUUAUAUAAUUUUAAAAAUUAACUUUAUAAAAGGGUUUAUGGUUUUACAGCCUAAUAUAUACCCUAGACUACCCAAAAAUUAUACUUUAAAAAUAAACCCCAAUAAAUAACAACCCUAAUCUCUAAACCCUAGACUCUAAACCCUAAACCAUAAAACUAGAAGUGAUUUUAUGACUCAUCAAAACAAUUUUGUUUUGGAUGUUCAUUUUAAAUUUUUGUAAUUCAAAAUGAAUUUUUUCAAGGUUUAGGGGGAAGAAAAUAUAUCAAUGACUUCAUAGGAGUUGACUUUGCAUUUUUCUGAUUUAUUUUAAAUUUAUUUUGAAUAUUUUGAUAUAAAAAUAAUAAAAUAUUCUUAUCACAACAACAAACCACGUCGGUGUUGAUAAAUUGUAGACGUUGUAAAUUGUAAUAGACGACUAAGUUGUUAAAAUGACGUCGUUUAAAUGAGAAACGAUGGCGGAUAUUUAACUAUCCGACGUAAAAUAUAUAUUCCUCGACUUAACCACUGUCGUUACAAAGUACUACCCUGAACCCUUAAGAAAUUGAAGACGUUGUAAACCAUAAACGACUCCAUUGUUCAAAGAACGUCGUCUAAAUAUCCUUUUACGCCGGAUUUGUUUAAAACGAAACCACAAAAAACGACGGCUUUUGACUUUAUUACGUCGUUGGAAAAUUAUUACACGUCGGUUACGCAUUUUGUAUGUUUGUUUUUGUUUUUACUUUAAGAAAACCUCAACAAAUUUUUACAUUAUAUAUUAUAGACAAAAUUUGUACAUUAUACAUAAAUAUCAAGUGUUCAAUAAUUCCCCUAUUCCAGUUGAAUGCAAACAAACUCUGCCCAUUCAUUCCGGACUUCAUCAAUUGCUUCUUGGGGGUAUGGCUCUUCCUGUUUUCCCUUCGCAUACUGCAUAAAAACAAUGACUAUUAGGGUUUAUAAAUAAAAGGAAAUUCAAUCACAGACGACCAUAACCGACGUAGUAUAUCUAUUCAACGACGGUAAUUUUACAUGACCGUCGUUGAUAAUACAAAAAACGACGUAAAAUGUUUGAAGGUUAUUUCUUCUUACCUUCUUCUCAAACCCCAAGGAAGGAUCCAUGAUGAUGUCCUUCAUGAAGCGCAUCACGUAAUACCCGCAUUCGACAUUGCUGGGUUGCUUUGGUGUGCCUGACAGGGUUUUCCAAAUGACUGCCUUACGGCCUGAUCUGGCUAUGUGGGAAUUAUAAAUUUUUAUGGCACUGUUCACGAUGUCUUUGGCCUCUUCAUCGACCACACGAUUUCCUGGCAGAGGAUCCAGAAAAUAGACUGUUUCCCUCUUUGCUCUUACAAUCAGCAAGAUCCAAUGACGGCUGCACAAAAUUAAUAUAAAAACGACGGUUAUUUACAAAAACGACGUAUUAUAAUAUUUCACACGACGAAAUAAAGUAGCAAUCGACGACAUUAUAUAUUUAUAACGACGAUAAAUAACUACCGACGUGGUUAGUCGUUUCAAACGACUCAAUAAAAUAAAACACCGACGUGGUUAGUUUAUACGCUGUCAUUUAUUGAAAAUCAUAAAAACAAAAUCCUGUUAAGGAGACUAACCCUGGAUUGUAAGGCAUGAGGAAAAUCUGUUCACCGUCAGUCUUCUGAAGUCGUGAUGCUACAAGCCGUGAUCUGUCAGCUAUUGUGCCAGAGCUGGCACUAACUGUAGCAGGGUCGAUAAAGCCAACCAUUGUGCACAUAUUUGCUUGUUUUAAAACAUCGUGUAAGUACCUAAAUAUAUAAAAUAAUAUAAACAAGUCAGCGCAAAAAAAACACACGACGGUUAUGUAUAACAAAACGACGUAUUAUAAGGUUUCACACGACGUACUGAAAUAGACAACGACGUUAUAAUAAAUUUAUCACGACGGUACAUACUAACGACGUGGUUAGUUAGUUAAGACGACGCAAUAAAUAAACCAACGACGUAUUAUUUUAGAAUGACAAACCUCAUAUAUACAGCAAUGACUGUAGCUCCUAUUUCCUCCAUGCCUGCAAAUUGUGUAAUAUCUUCAGGCAGGAGGAAGGUAUCGCGCUCUAGACCAAACACCUCCUUAUCAAUUGUAAAGUGCAGGGUCUUAUCUUGAGUUACGAGUGUCGUUUCCACAUAACGACAAAGGGUUUGUAAAGAAGAUGGCGCCUCCAUAUUUGAAUAAUCAACAACUUUAGUAACCUGUUUAAAGAAAUAAAAAAAUGACGUGGUAAUUCAAUAAAAACGACGGUUUAAGGAAUAAAAUGUCGUUUGAAAACAAUUUAAACGACGGUGAAAAAACCGUCGUGGUGAAUUAUUUAUUACGUCUUAGAAAACAAUUCCGCCGUCUAAGUUGUAAACAAACGACGGUUUAAAGAAAAAUAUCGACGUCUGGAAUUUUGAAAACAAAUAAAAAAGGUAAAGUUAUGUGAACAUACCUGGUCGUCAUCUUCUUUCUCCUUUUCAUCUUGUUUUUCUUCCUUAUUCUCUUCAUAUAUGACGUCGGGAAUGAUUAACUCCGUCAUCUAAAAACCACAAAGUUUUAAAAAUAACGACGUUUAAUGGCGUGUAAAACAAGUAAACUAAAUACGACGUGGUAUUGAAAUACAAACGACGGUUUAUUUUUAAAAUCGUCGUGGUAUGUAUUUCAAACGACGGUUUUAUUAAAAAUAACGACGUCUAAUGGUUUUUAAAAAAACAGAGAAUUCAAAGUUCAGAUAUGUUACCUUUUCUUCCUGAUGUUUCCCAUUUUUGGCAGUAUCAUCCUCAAAAUGCUGGGAUCUCACAUCACCUCCAGAGCAGCUUGCUUUGUCAGACAUUGGAUUUUUGGGACUUUGGCUAAUUCUGGGUUUAAGCAUGCUUGGAUCAAAAUUGGGAAUUAAUUGGGAAAGCUGACUCAGGAAAUGCUCCCUCUCAGCCUCUACCAAUUGUUUCGUUCUAGCCUCCAUUCUUAAAGCCUCUUCCCUUGCCUUAGCCUCCAUCUUUUUAGUCUCUUCUUGAAGGAGAACUCUUAAACUGUCCUUCAAACGGUCGUCAAAGCUCACUCUCUGUGGUUUGGGUAAAUUGAAAUAUUGCUUUGGUGAGAUCCCAGCACCUACUCCUCUGACUCUGCCUGGAUGCUCGGGGCCCAAAGCCAUGGUCAGCACAUCAUUGCUGCCAGAGACGGUGACUUUGCCUUCCGAGACUUGUUUUUGCAAAUCAUCCUAAAACAAAGAUAUAUAAAAAAGUAAGAACAAAAACACACGACGGUUAUUUAUAUACAAACGACGUAUUAUAUAAUUUCACACGACUCAAUAACAUAUAAAUCGACGUUAUUAUAAUUUAUCACGACGGUAGUUAUACCGACGUGGUUAGUUCUUUAAAACGACGAAAUUAAUAAACCACCAACGUCUUAUGUAACAGAGGGAUGAUUCAAUAUUCACACCUUUAACGACGUUGUUUAAAACAUUUCGACGUAGUAAUUUAAUACAGACGACGCGAAAUUGAACCACCGACAUCUUAUGCUAUAAUUACAGAAAACAGAGUUCUGAUUCCUAUUUAGACCUUUAACGACGUGUUUUAAAAAAUGUCGACGUGGUAAUAUCAUUCACACGACGCAAAAUAUAACAUAAGACGUAAUAAGAAUUAUUCACAGUUUAAUAAAAAUUUAAAACAGAGUGAGUAGGCUUACAAUUAAUUUUGCUUUCUCUGCCACCUUUGGAUCAGGGAUGUUACCAUGUUUGUCAUGUCUAGCUCUCUUCCAUAAGGUAGAUCGAUCAAUUUCUACCCCAGGCAUGGUUUCCUCUAAUUGAUCCUCCAAACCGGCAUAUCCUUUUCGAGACAAUCGAUGAUUGUACUCGAGUUUCUCCCUAAUCUGUGCAUGUUGAGAAUGCACAGACUCAAAAUCUUUGGAUAGCCUUGAAGCUACAAAGGCAUCCCAUUGUGCUUUCUCUAUGAAUUUAUAUGUUUCAGGGGGUUGGCUUAAUCUCUCCCUGUCAUUGGUGUAUGGAAGGAUAUAAUGCCUCGUUAGUGUAGACUUGAAAUCCUUCCAUUUCUUGGCAGCAGAAGCUAAGACAGAGUUCUUGCCCCCUUGACCUACUACAAAAGCAAUGUCAACUGCUUCCCAAAUCUGCUCCUUUAUAUCCUUGGGGAUUUGAGCCCAUUUCAAGUCCACAAGUGGAACUCUGGAGCGUGCCAACACACCAAUAUAGGACUGCAUCUCACUAUGAGCUUGGCCAAUUCCUUUCCCCCUUUUAUUGUACUCAACAAUUGGCCUCAGUUUCUGCAGUUUUCUCUUCACAACACGAGGCAUUGUGCUCAUACCUCGACCAGCCUUUGAAUCAUCAGAUAUUGUUGUCCCGCUGGUUGGUUCUGUAUCAGCAGAUGAUGAAGCAAACUUCAUCUUCUUCGAAGACUUCAUUAUCUUCGAAGACUUCUCUUGAGGAGGUACUUGCUCCUCACCUCCAUUUUUCUUGGAGCCAGAAUCCUUACUUUAGUCUUGUUGAGAAACCAUUUUUACAGACAAAACUGCAAGUGAAAAUAUUUCAAGAAAAGAUUAAGAACACAAACGACGGUUAUUAAUAAAAUACGACGUAUGAUAUGAUUUUAAACGACGCAAUGAAAUAAUAUCAGACGUAAUAAAUUUUUAAAACGAAGGUAAUUAAACAACGACGAAAUAAUUGACUACAAACGACGAGAUAAUUAACUAUAAACGACGGAAUAUUUAUAUAACGUCGUGGUAUUGAUGUUCACACGACGUCAGUAGUAAUAUACCGUCGUCUAUAUAAGGAUCCAAAACCCUUCUUUCUUUCUCUGUGAAUGUUUGAUUGCAGAUUUGAUUUUUCUGAACCAUGGUUUUUGUUUUCUAAUUUGAUAAAAUACAAGGCCAAGAAAGAAAGUUUUGGAAUCUUAUAUAGACGACGGUAUUUUAAUAUGACGUCGUGGUAUUAACAUUCACACGACGUAAAACAAUAAGAUACUGUCGUCUAUAUUAGAUACCAACCCUAAUUUCUUUUUCUUUAUAUUUUAUCAAAUUAGGGAAAAACAAAAACCAUUGUUCAGAAAAAUCAAACCUGCAAUUAAACAAGCAAAUAAAAAAAAGACUAAAAUUUUAAAAACAACUUUGUCAAUUUUCAGACGACGCUAGAACGACUGACGAACCGUCGUGGUCUACAUAUUUAACCACGUAAAUAAGAAGCUACCGUCGUCUUAUUUAGUUAAGGUAGUUGUCUUCAAAGUUGGAAACUUUCCCUCUUUGUCUGUAUAUUUUAUCGAACUUGGAAAGAAGUAAAAUGAUUUUGGCCAGAAAAAAGGUAAAAAGAUUUUUCAAACAAAAAACGUAUGAGCAUGCAAAACAGCAACCAAAAUAGUGAAAAUGAAAGCUUACCUUUUGUGUGCAAUGAAAGCAAGAGGAAGACGAUCGAUGUUUAAAUUCAGAGACGACGAAGAAGACGAGAGGAAGACGAUGAGAUACUCUGAAAGUGCUCUGACAAGGAAAAAAGUCUAAAAGUUUUCUCUGGGAGAUUGAAAUUUUUAAUCGGGUUUGGAAAAAGUGCAUGUGUAAGUCAGGUAGACGAAAAGUUGCUUAUAUAUAAAACCAUUUCAAAAAAAUAAUACGGCGGUUACAUAUAACUACGACGUAUAAAUUACAAAAUACGACAGUACGUUUAACUUCGGACGUGGUAAAUAAUUACGACAGUAGUGUUAUAGGUACCGUCGUAGUAAACUCAAAAUUAAAGUACAUAAGUAAUAACUCGCGUCAUGGUAGAUCAUUUAACACGUCGGUUUUAUUAAUGUACCGACGUGGAUUUAUGUAAUAUACGUCGGUAAUACCGACGUUGAUUUUACAAUUUAAACGGCGGUUUUUUUGUAAGGACCGCCGUUGGUUUUAAAAAUUUAUUCUAUAAAUUUGUUGCUUUCAUUCAUUUUCGGUUUACAUUUAGGGUUCCAAGUUCUUCCUCUCUCAGAGACACUAUCUCUCACAUCUCAAAGACAGUAAUUUGGAUGUCUUUCUCAAAGAGAAAUUGAGCUUACUCGCAUCAAAUCUAUGUCCACAAGAAGAAGCUUGUCAACUAGCCUUCUCACUUCCUUGAUCAAGCCUGAUAGGACACUUAGUGCUUCUGAAUACUCCUUGCUUUCCAUCAAAAGAGAUGCAAGCCUGGCCUCCACUCGCUGUCGAAGGAAAGUUCGCUUCUCAGGGAAAUCUGAAGAUCAGAUGUGCCUGAUCCUCUGCUUGAUUUUCUUGGCUAAGAAGAUCCGUCAGAUUUGUGAUAGCCUCUUCCUUUAUCCGUAGAGCUUCAGAAGAAGAAGAUGGGUUUCAAGAAUGCGAUAAAGAAUAGAAAUGGCUUCAGAUGGCCUCUAAAGCAUGAGCAAUCGAAUCAGUGCUUUGAACUAUACUUUGAACUAUACAAGUCAAUGCUUUGAACUAUACAAGUCCUGCAGAAAGAUAAAGGACCAAACUAUUAAAGAAACCCCAAACUAACACGACGCAAUAUUUGUUUUGCGACGUGGAAUCUUUUCAUUUAACGUCGUUAGGUUUAAUAUAACCGACGUGGAUUUGAAUUUUUAAAUUAUGAAUAGCAUUUUUUUUCCCGUGACCUUUCAGUUUAUUUUUCAAUUACAGUGCGUUAUAAAUAGAGUUUUUUUUCCGGAGGAAAUUUAAAAUGAAGGAAAUUAAUGUUCUGGAAUAUGUAAAAUUUCUUUUUUGGAUGACAGAUUUAAAUAAAAUAAGAAUAUAAAAACAACGACUGUUUUUGUAUUACUGUCGUCGUUUUUCGUCGUCUUAAGUAAGACUAAGACAACGUAAUAUAUUUGUUGAGCGACGUUGAUUUGUGUUUUAAACGUCCUUAGGUAUAAUAUAACCGUCGUUGAAAAUUGUCUCUCUGAUUGCAAAUUUGCAACGACGUUAGGUAUAAUAUUUGUAGAUACACAAACGCACACACAUCAUCAACUUCCAAAAAAUUGUCUCUCUGAUUGCAAAUCUGUGUCAUCUGUUAAGAUUAUGAUGUGGAACAAAGUUCCAUUUGGUAAGAUUUCGUAACCCUUGGGAUCUCAGAAAAAUCUGAUUAUGUCGGCGAUUUUCUAUAUAAACCGUCGUGGUUAUUUCAAUUCUUGUCAUUAAGUAGAUCUACCGACGUAGGAUAAGAAAAUCAAAGAAAAAAAUUGUUAACAAAAAUUCUUAUUAAGACGACGGUUUAAAUUAAAGGUAAGACGUAUAAAAUGAAUAAAUACGACGUUAAAUUUUAUAGUACGAUUUAAAGAUAACGUCGUAGAACUAUACCAGAAUGACGUCGAUAUAUUUAUAUUUUUCGUCGUUGUACAUUAAUUUAAUACGGCGAUAUUUUGUAUUUUAAAGUCGUGGAUUUGUUUGUAAUUAUACAGCGUCUUAUACGAAAACCUCGUCGUGUUAUUUUAUGAGUAAAAACGGCGGCUUUUAUUGAAAUCGUCGUCUUUACUUUCUACGUCGGUUGAUUCAUAACUUCUGUCGUUCUUUGUUGGCUUUGAUUUUACACUGCGGAAAUCUGUUUCAAAUAGACGUCGGUUGUUUAAUUAAGUACGUCGUUGUUUUUGAACAGCCAUUUGAAUCUCCAUUUUUUAGUUGUCUAAGGUGGUAUUACACGACGGUGUUUUUAGAACCGUCGUCUUUUUAAAAACCACGACGGUUUUCACUGAGACCGUCGUUGUUUUCUGGUCGUCUUUUUCACUUUUUGUAGUAGUGAAUGGAAUAGAAUGAUGGAAGUUAUUUUUUUUUUUUCCUACGUCUAAAGUAUACUUUAUAUAUAUAUAUAUAUAUUUAUAUUUAUUAUGGAAGUUAUAACCGUUUAAUUUUCAGUUUUUAUUUUCUAUUUAUUGUUUUAAUUUUUAUAGUUUAAUGUGUAUGGAGAUUUCAAGUAUUGGAUGUUUAUAAAGGGUCACUCCUCCUUCACAUCUGAAACAAACCACCAUCUCAUUUCUGUAUUUUCAUACUUUCAUAUAUUUUCUACUUUCCAGAUUAUUAUUUUUGGGCAACGGUUCUGUGACUUGGAGAUUUCUAUCCGAUUAUUAACAUGCUCAUAGCGGACCUUGAGCUUGCGUAUUGAGGAUAGUAUCUUGGAGCCUUGUAGACCUUUAUUACCUGCAUGUAGGGAGGCUAUAAAUGCUUUAAGUCAGCGUCUUUGACGUGCUUUUGCUUUCUUUUUUUUACUUAUUUCUUCGUUACUUUAUUUUUACUUUACUUUUAAAUCUUUAUUUUAUGUAUUAUUUAUAUUUAAAAAUUUUGAAUAAGAGUUUUACAGAAAAGGAAAAACACAAUUUCAAAUAACACAAAUUUCUCGUUUUUUGUUCUUAAAAAAGAAGAAGCAUUGAUUGGGGAGUUAUGGUAAACUCAGUUUCAAUGGUUGCGAUGAGAGGCGGUGGCGGCGAGGAGAGGACGAAGGCUUUGCUGCCGACGGGGUGGUGUGGGUGGGUGGAGACCUCGGCUGGCUGCUUGGUCCUGGGUUCUCCUUUAAUUCUCUGUUUUCUUUUUUCAUAUUUUUCUUUUUCUCUUAGAGUUAUUGAUGUUAAGUGAAUGGACAGAUGCCAAGAGAAGAUGUGAACCCAAUUAUAUACAGCUGAUUACAUAAAGUAACAAAUUAAUUAAUACUUGAGUGGAGGACAGGCUCGAGUGGAAGAAUUGAUUAAGGCUUGAGUGGAAGACAAACUUCAGUGGAGGAAAGUACAGAUAAGGAAAGCAUGCCACGUUUAACGGCUUUAUCUCAACAAAUUAGGAAUGCUGGUUUUGUUUCCUCGGUGGUUGAAAGGUGGUGCCUUGGCUCGGACAUCUCCCUAGUAAUUAAUCGAAGGUGGAAUCUUACAAGACAUUCAGCUGCUCAUUAGCUGAAUAUCUCGCUCUCUUUAAAGAGAUCGAAGCAAACUGCAAUUUGCAAUUUGUGUGAUUCAAGCAUGAAUAUCUGACAUAGUAACUAUACCAUUUGUUGGUUUGAUGAGAAAAGUUUGGUUAGCGAGGAUGAAACCAUAAAGUUCCCCAAAACACACAAAGAGCACGGACAAUUGCUAAGUUUAUCUUUGAGUUCACGCAUAUUUGCACAAAUGAGAUUACUCCAAGUAUGACUAUACCAUUUGUUGGUUUGAUGUGAAAAAUAUGGGCAACGAGGGUAAAACUAUACAAACACACACAAAGAAAGUGGACAAUUACUAAGUUUAUCUUUGCGUUAUUCAUCCGACCUAACUGUAAAAUAAAAAAGAUGAAAAUAUAUAAUGUUCACUACUUAGAUCUAUGAGCACUAAAGUCCUCCUUUUGGAAUUGCACAAAACGUCACUUUUGGUCUUUGACAAAUUUUUAAAAUAAAUGAAUUUUUUACUUAUUUGUGGACUGAAAUGCCUCAAAAAAAAUAAUGAUAAUUUGAAGAAUUUGAUAGAAAUUAAAAAAUAUCCUCAAAUUACUUGGAAUUGAAGACCACAUAGGCAAAAACACCACUUUGGACAAAGGCUGGUGAUAAUAGUCGAUAUCAUCUUUUGUCGGUCCGACCUAAAAAGAAGAAAAAGUUGAAAGCAUCUUGUUACCAUUUUUGCCAAUGUGGGUCCAGACAAUUUGAAGAAGUCCACCGACAAUUUCUCAAAAGCUAUUGUGUGAGUGUUUUGAAGCUAAACCAAUAUUAUUUUGCACAUACGACCCCACAUCCCCAUGUGAGGCUACAGAAGUGUUUCCAAAACGAAACAUGAUAUUUCAAAACAAAGCUAUGUAUAGAAUAGAGUCAUUUGUAUUUGCUUUCACAAUAACAUUUUAUUUGUGAAAGCAUUUUAUAUUUUUACAUUAUGAUGUUCUAACAAAUAAAUUGACUAUAUUUGGCCAACAGGGUUUAACCGAGUAAAAAAGUCCUUAUUUAUAAACUACUGGUUUCAUAUUUGAACUCUAUGACAUUCUCUUUACCCUUAAAGUUUAGACUAUCGCAUGUAUUAUAAAUAAAAAAAAACAAUUGGCUUAAUUUGAUAUAUUUCAUUUUAUGCUGGGUGCCGUUAUUAAGUUUUAUCCUUGUUUCUUGUUGAAAAAAAAUUGAUAAAAAAUAAGAAUUCCUAUAGCUAGCAACUUCUCCACCUUCCCUUCUUCGCAACUAGGGAUGCCAUUGCAAGGUCACCAUCUCAGAUUAAGUCCUCCUUUUAAAAUUGUGUUGUUAUUCAAAAUUGGAAUAUGCUGGUCAUUCUUGAUAUAAUCUGUUCCACAAAAAGAAAAAGAAAAAAGUUGAUAGCAUCUUUUACCACUUUGGCCACUUUUGAAGAUAUUCACCGACAAUUUCUCAAAAGCUAUUAAGCUGUACGUCCACAAUAUUAUUGCAUCCAACUUUGCAUAUACGACCCCAUCCCCAUGUGAGGCUACAAUAUUGUUAAAAAAAUAUGCUAACAUUGUCAUUCAGUAUGCUAACAUUGUCACUAUGUUUGCGAAUUGCAUAUUAUCUAGAACAUAAAGGCUUUGGUGUUUUGUAGAUCCUCAGGGAGCCAAACCCGUCUUUAUAAAAAUGGUCCUUAUGAUACUACUUUAACAACAAUAAAGUAUAAUAAACUAGGCCUUUGUAGUCACUGAACGAAUGUUUUGUCAUAUAUAUGACUAUUUAAAUGUAAUUACGGGAUUAAAACAUUAUAAUAAAUUGGAGUGAACCAUAACAUUAUAUAUGAUCCAAUCCUUUGCAUAUAUUUUUGUUCAAGACUUUGUUUUAGAAUGCUCUAUUACUAAUUUGGUACAGGUCUCUAAAAUCUAUGCCUUUAUGAGGCAACGUCUUUAUUUCUUUGGUUAUUCCAGUUUAGAAUAUUUGCACAAAUGAGAUGACUCCCAGCAUAAAGUCACAUUCAACCAAAAAGCAUGAAGUCACACACAAAAAGAAUACGGACAAUUGCUAAGUUUAUCUUGUAUCCUUAUUUUAUUGAUCCAACCCAAUUGAAAAAUUAAAAAGAUGAUAUAAUAUACUGUUCACUGCUUACAUCCAUGAGUAAAGUCCUCCAUUUGAAAUUGCGUGAUGAUAUAAAAUUGGAAUGAAAAAAGAAAAUCCUACAGCUAAAUUUGAUAUAUUUCCUUUUCAUUUUAUGCUGGGUGUUAAGUUUUCUUAUUUCUUGUUGAAAAGAAAAAUGAAAAGAAAUAAAUAAAUUCCACAGCUAGCCACUUAUCCACCUUCCCUUCUUCCCAUGUAGUGACAACAAGGGAGGCCUUCAAUCCAAAAUAAAGACAAGGGAUGCCAGAUCAGCAUCUCAGAUAAGUAUCCCAACCAAAACCAAUCAAAUAAUGACAUAUGUAUCUCUUUUUGUGUUUUGUUCUAUUUCUCUUUGAAUUAACUGCAUAGUUUCAUAAGCGUGUCCUCCUUUUGAAAUUGUGUAUUAUUCAAAAUUGGAAUUUGCUGAUCAUACUUGAUAUCAGCUAAAAAAGUUUCCAACAUCUUGUACCAUUUUUUUCCAGUGUGGGUCAUAACUUGAAGAAGCCCACCGACAAUUUCUCAAAAGCUAUUACCAUCCAACUUUGAAAAAUAAAAGUUUUCAAAAGUUACCCCAAACAACAGUCCUUGAAAGAGAGAGUUUUCCAAGGCUAAAGAUUACAAGGAUGUUAUUUACAGUCUCGACAACGACAAGCUUCAUAUUUGUUUACAAACCUGUAUUUUCAAGUUGUGCUAGCCUAGCUACUUGCAAAAAAUAUCCAGUUGGCACAUGCAUUAACGUGUGACAAGAAGUUAGUUAUAUUUGUAAAGUAAAAGAACGAAGUACAUAGCAUGUAAGUUGAUGCUAAAUAUUUGAUCAACAGAGUUAAACAUAAAACCACUGACAAUAUAACGUUGUUCACCAAAAAUUGCAUUUCGUUGAGGGUCAGUAGUGUAGGUUUCAAGAUACGAUUUAUUUUGUUAAAGAAUAUUCUGAUAUUCUAACAAUAAAAUUGGCUCAAUUUGAUAUGUUUCUCUCUCUUUUUUUGUUUCUGUUUUCCCUUUCAUUUGAUGCUUUGUUGUGCUAUUGCUAAGUUUAUCUUAGAGACCAGGGAUGCUUAGCAAGUUUCUUCACCUGCCCUUCUUCCCAUGUACUAACUAGGGAUACCAUGUCAGAAUCUUAGAUAAGAAUCCCAUGCUUUGUUGUGCUAUUGCUAAGUUUAUCUUAGAGACCAGGGAUGCUUAGCAAGUUUCUUCACCUGCCCUUCUUCCCAUGUACUAACUAGGGAUACCAUGUCAGAAUCUUAGAUAAGAAUCCCAACCCAAUCAAACUAUGACAUCUGUAAGUAUUCAAAAUUGGAAUUUGCAUUGUGAUAGUUGAGUGGAAGAAUCGAUUAAGGCUUGAGUGGAAGACAAACUUCAGUGGAGGAAAGUAAUUAAUUAGACCAUUAUUUGUUGGUUUGAUGAGAAAAGUUUGCUGGUGAUAGUCCAUAAUCUUUGUCCGACCAGAAAAUAAGAAAAGUUGUCUUGUACCAUUUCUGCCAGUGUGGGUCCCACCCACCCCAUGCGAGUAAUUUGAAGAAGUCCACCGACAAUUUCCCAAAAGCUUUGGCGUCCAACUUUGCCGACCCCAUCCCCAUGUGAGGCCAUAGAAAAGUUUUCAGCCACAAUCAAAUAAGGAACAGUCCUUGAAAAGAGAGGGUUUUCCAAGGCCAAGAUUACAAGUUCAUGUUAUUUACAGUCUCAAAAAGCUUCCAUACUUGUUUACAAACCUGUAUUUUCAAGUUGUGCUAGCCUAGCUAUUUGCAAAUCUUGGAAUAUUUUACUUCAUCCAAAUCCCUUGAAGUCUGCAGAGAAGAUAAAAGACAUGGCUUUGAUUGGAGAGGCUCUUAUCUCUGCUUCCGUCCAGGUGUUGUGCGACAGAAUUACUUCACCCGAGUUCGUUGACUUAUUUCGGCACAAGAAACUCGAUGAGCCACUCCUCAGGAAGCUGAGGACGACACUGUUGGCCUUGAACUUGGUGCUCAAUGAUGCAGAGGAGAAGCAACUUGUGAACCGAGAUGUGAAAAAGUGGCUUGACGAGCUCAAACAUGCUGUCUUUGAUGCGGAGGACUUACUGGAUGAGAUUGACACUGAAGCUUUGAGAUGCAAGCUGGAAGAAGGUGAAGAUCAAACUCACAAAUUUACCAAUAAGGUGCGGAACUUGCUCUUUUCUUCUCGUAGUCAUUUUUAUCAGAGCAUGAAUGAUAAGAUAAAAGAGUUACUAGCAAGGUUAGAAAACUUUGUACAACUGAAAAGUGCUCUUGGUCUGGGAGAAGUUGCUGGGAGGAAGGUUUCGCAAAGAACUCAAACAACCUCCUUGGUUCUUGAACCUUAUGUAUAUGGUAGAGAUGAAGUCAAAGAAAAGUUAUCAAAAGUUUUGCUAUCUGAUGAAGCAGGCAAGGAUCCUGUGUCUUUCCUCACCAUUGUUGGAAUGGGUGGGGUUGGCAAGACAACCCUUGCUCGAAUGCUUUACAAUGACGAUAAGGUGAAAGGGCAUUUUAAACUUAAAGCUUGGGCUUGUGUUUCAGACUACGAUGAUUAUAUUAAAAUUACUAAAACUCUCCUUGAGGCAGUCACUUCAAAGCCUUGUAACACGGCAAAUCUGAAUUUGCUUCAAGAAGAUCUAAGAGAGCAAUUGAAGGGAAGGAAAUUUUUAUUUGUGUUGGAUGACCUAUGGAAUGAGAAUAAUGAGGAUUUGAACUACCUUAGAGCUCUUUUUAUUACUUUAGGAACAAUGGGAAGUAAAGUCAUUGUAACAACACGGAGCAAAAAUGCAGCAUCUGUCAUGCAAAAUGUUCAUAUUCAAUACUUAGAACCAUUGUCGCAGGAGGACUGCUGGUUAUUACUUGCAAAACAUGCAUUUGGAAAUGUAAAGUGUAGUGCACAUUCAAACUUGGAAGAUAUUGGAAACCAAAUUGCACGCAAGUGCAAAGGGUUGCCUUUAGCUGCACAAACACUUGGGAGUUUGUUACGUUGCAAUAUGAAUUUCGAGUACUGGAAUAGAAUACUAAAUGAUAGUUUUUGGGACCACCCCUAUGAUAAAACUAACAUUCUUCCGGCUCUAGGGUUGAGUUACCAUUAUCUUCCUACUCAGUUGAAACGAUGCUUUGCUUAUUGUUCAAUUUUUCCAAAGGAUUAUGAGUUUGAAAAGGAAGAUAUAGUUCAAUUAUGGAUUGCAGAAGGUAUAAUUCCACAAGCUGAGAAUGGAAAUAGGAUGGAAGCAUUGGCUAGAAUAUACUUUGAUGAGCUGUUAUCACGAUCGUUGUUUCAAAAGUCAAGUAAAUUCAGCUUCAUUAUGCAUGAUCUCAUUAAUGACUUGGCUAUGUUCAUGUCUCAGGGGUUUUGCCUUAGGCUCGAAUAUGGGGUAUCCCAUGAAGUUAAAAGAGCUCGUCAUUUGUCAUAUGCUAGGGGAGCAUUUGAUGCUGCUCCAAGAUUUGAACCAUUAUAUGAGGCUAAAUGUUUGCGGACCUUCCUACCUACCUCUUUAAAUCCAUAUAGAUUUUAUGAAAGAUUUUUUGUAAGUAAAAAAGUUCUACAAGAUUUGUUGCCAUCACUAAGAUGUUUACGGGUGUUAUCAUUGUCACGUUAUCAAAAUGUUACUGUGUUACCUGAUUCUAUUGCAAACCUCAUUCACUUGCACUACUUGGAUCUUUCCCAUACCGCAAUUAAAAGGUUACCUGGGGUACUUUGCAAUCUCUUCAACUUGCAGACAUUACUAUUGUCAAAUUGUUCCUCACUCCAUGAAUUGCCUGCAGACAUUAGAAAAUUGAUUAAUUUACAGAAAUUGACAUUGGGCGGUUGUAGUUCUCUUAAUAAAUUGCCUGCAGGCAUGAAGGAGUUGACUAAUUUGCAUCAUCUUGAUGUCAGUGGAACUGAAAUAGUAGAGAUGCCGGUGCAAAUGGGUAGACUGAAAAAUUUGAGAACAUUGACUGCAUUUGUUGUGGGCAAAUCUACUGGGUCAGGCAUAAGAGAACUGAGCGAGUUCCCGCAACUUCAAGGAAAACUAUCAAUUUUGAAGCUACAAAAUGUAGUUGAUGCGAGGGAUGCACUGCACGCCAAUAUGAAGCUCAAGACAGAUCUCAAGGAGUUAGAGUUUUCAUGGGGUGCGCAGGAUGCUGAUGAUUCCCAAAAGGAGAAAGAUGUACUUGACAAGCUCCAGCCUUGCGUGAAUUUGGAGAAAUUAACCAUUGGAUUCUAUGGUGGAACCAAUUUUCCGAAUUGGUUAGGAGACUCGUCUUUUUCUAACAUACAAGUCAUGCAUCUCAGUGACUGUAGUUAUUGUUGGUCGCUCCCACCAGUUGGACGGCUGUCGGCACUCAAAGAGCUCUGUAUAAAAAGAAUGAAGUCUUUGAGGACGAUUGGCGUUGAAUUCUAUGGCAGAGAUGGAGCUUAUCUGACUCAGCCAUUUCGAUCUCUGGAGAAGCUAGAGUUUAUAGAGAUGCCGGAGUGGGAGGAAUGGGUACCAAGUGGAAGUGCAAGUGGUAGUGAAUAUGGUCCAGACUUUCCUCAUCUCCAGGAGCUGAUUCUAAACGAGUGUCCGAAGCUAAGAGGAAGUUUGCCUUGUGAGUUGCCUUGCUUGAAGAAGCUUACGGUGUAUGGGUGUAAGGUUUUACAUGAUGGAAGGGCCGCUACCGCAACUACCAAUAGUCUUAACUAUAAAUCUCUGGAAGAAUUGGAUAUAAGGGGUGGAUGCCAAACUCUGUUAUCAUUAUUAGAGACAAAGCUCCUGUCCCGACUUAAGAUUGAAAAUGUUGACGUACAGUGCUUGCCCAACUGCAAUCGUCUUCAACGUUUGACUCUUUUGAAUUGUCCAACGCUGUCGUCAUUCCCUAAAGAUGGCCUACCCACUACAUUGACAUCACUUACUAUACUCAAUUGUAGGAGAUUAGAAUUCCUACCUCAUGAGAUGUUGGCCAAAUUAACAUCGCUUGACUAUUUGGGCAUACAAAGUAGCUGUGAUUCAAUGAGGUCCUUACCGUUGGGCAUUUUUCCCAAAUUGACGACGCUUCAAAUUCUUGGUUGUGAGAAUCUGGAAUCUUUUUCCUUGAUUGAAGAAGAAGGAGCUGUUGAGAAUCUCAGCCAUCUCAAUUCCUUGCAAGUCAUUAACUGUCCAAAAAUGGUGUGUUUUCACGAGGGAGAAUUGCCCUUUCCCAACCUGAGUCACUUUGUAGUCAUUGACUGCGAGAAUUUGAAGUCAUUGCCCGAACGCCUUCACACCCUCACUGCCCUUCGAUCUUUGAAUAUAUGGAAUCUUCCGAAUCUGGAGUCAUUUGCAGAAGAUGGGGGUUUGCCUCCCAACCUCCGAUCUUUUAUCAUUAGGAAUUGUAAGAGACUGAGGGCACUUGACUCAGUGGGUUUGCAAGCACUUGUCUACCUUCAGAUCGAUGGAAGUGACCAUGUCUUGGAGACGUUGCUGCUCCCUACCACUCUUCACACUCUCUGCAUCUCUGAUCUAUCAACUCUGAAAUCUUUGGACGGAAAGGGUCUUGGACACCUCACUUCUCUUCAAACUCUAAAAAUUUACAGCUGUCCAAGUCUUCAAUGCCUGCCAGAAGAGGGUUUGCCGCCAUCUCUUUCUCAUCUGAGUAUCCGCUGUUGUCCUACCCUGGAGGAAAGGUAUAAGAAUAAAACGGGACAAGAUUGGGCAAAGAUAUCUCACAUUCCUUGCAUCGAGAUAGGGGAAGAAGUGAUCAUAUAAUAUGAGCUAUUCCAUAUUUCACGCUCAACCCUCAACUCUCAAAUCAAAGUCAGGUGAGGUAUGUGCCUUCUCUUACUUUAAAAAACUGCUUCUCUUCUUCUAAUUGAAUACAAAAACCAAAACACAUAUUCUCUUUCUCUUCCAAAAACCCAAAUACAUGUUGGACAUAGCCCAACGCUGUACUUUCAUAGGUACUGCAUGUAUAUUAUCUUAGUAUCAACAGGUGGUCUUAUGUGGACGAGAGAGAACAUUGAGGAAUUACAAAAUCUUCUUAGUGAAUUAAGCUUGCUUCAGCUCUGUUUGUCAUCCCUCUCAUUUUCUUUGUUAAGCCUUGGUUUUUUAUUAGGAGAUGAAUGCUUUUAUAUAUUGAUGUCGUAGUCAGUCUUCAACCACACUCCGUUUUUAGAAUUCGUUUAUGUUACUAGUGGAGUGCUGCUGUAUUUUAUAUUUCGUUCCUGUAAUGUUUGAUGUUUAGUUUGAGUAGUCUAGCUUAUCCAGUAGAUAACUCGUCCCCUGUUUUGUAAUGUUUUUGUUUCCUCUAAUGAAAGCAGGUUUUACUUAUCUUAAACUUUUAUUUUUAUUUUUAAAUAUCAGUAAUAACUGGGAAAGCUUGCAUCUCCUUAAAUUGCUCAUUCUUACAUCUUUUAUAGUUUGUCGAUCUUGGGCAAGUGGAGAGAGAGGCGUCAAGUGAUACACAACAACCAUUUUCUGUGAGCUAAUUUGAUAAUGAUAAAUGGUAUGCUUUCUUGUCUUAAGCUGUGUGUUCUGCAAUUAUUUAAAACAAAGAGUGCCGCGCUUCAAGUUCGAGGAAAACAGGUAUUUUAGGUUAGCUGUAUAAUUCGUGGUAAAUGCCUUUUUCUAAGGUUCAUUUAGACUCCUAUUACGAUUAAUUUGUUGUUUCUAAUUUGGACUUGUAGGAACAGACCAAAUAUGUUCACACGUGGCAUCGCUCAAGUCAUCAUCAUUUCCGACAGAAAAUCAGCCUUCAAGUGUCUGCUGAGUCAAUGAACCUUUCUAGAUAUAUCAAGUGCAAUGGAAAUUCAUGAGUUACAUAGAGAUUUGUAAACAUUUUGAAGAUUGCAACACCUGCAAGUGAGAUAGGUGGUGACGAAAUCAGAGCUGAUCUUGAAGCCUCUGAUGCCCCGGUUGUUGCAAGUUGCACCUGAGAACAUGUUUUUUUGGGGUAAAAAACUGGCAACAUGUUCGGAGCUGGCAAUUCAGUCAGUGAUGAAGUUGAGAAGCAAAGCUCCAGUAAGGAAAUUGGUCGAGGUCGCCACAGGGAUGAUUGAUGGUGAAAUGGAUGCUAUUUCUUAUUGCAGCCUGUUCUCAAAGUUCUUGUUGGCAAAUGCAAGAAAUGGAGUAUUUUGAUUGGAAGGAGAGAUAAUGACAUGUCUUGACAAUUCUAGAACAGCCCAUCUGAGUUCUUUUGUCAGGCUGCAUCAUUCAAUCCCGGCAAAUAUCCAGUUUCUGCUAAACAAUCACUUAUGGCAAGGCCAACUCUGGUAAACAAUUACAUUUUUUCUUUUGAGGAAUUUCACUUUGUCAUCAAACAGUAUUCUAAUGCAUUAUGGUAGCACUACACGCUUUUGUUGUAACAAAUUACAAUGAGGAAUUUGGAUUGAGGAAUUUGGAUUGAGUUUCUUUUAUGCUUUGUUUAGAUUAAAAAUAUCAGUUUCCUGUGUUAAUAACAUUACAGUUUUAUGGAAUGGUUUAUCUUGUUUUUCUGGACAAAAAUAUUUAGAGAAAUUUUCAGU
rnacentral:lncRNA from 1 species